GCCCUUUUCUUCACUUUCUUCCUCUUCUUUUUCCUUCUUCUUCUUCUCUUCUUCUUCUCCUUCUUGUCUUCUAGAGAGAGAAAGAGAGAUGAGAGUGUGAGAGGGAGUGGAAUGAGAGAAAAGCCCUCAUAUCCCUCAUACUAUACUCUAUGGGUUGCAAAAUUGCUGUUAAACCCCUCAACUUUCACUUUAUUACACUGCCUGGACUGGGCAGAUUUUGGGUUCGGGGACCGGUCUCCCCGACUUGGGACCGGUCCCAGAGAGCUCUCCCGCACGUCAGGGGGGCUUUCGCACGGGACAACCGGUCUCUCACUGGGGGACCGGUCUCUCGGGGACCGGUCUCUCCCCGCAAGGACCGGUUUCCGAGAGCUGGUUUUCUGGGACUUAGCCAAAUUUUUGGCUGUCUCAUUUCUCACGCGUUCGGGGACCGGUCUCUCCCACCAGGGACCGGUCCCCGAGAGCUAAAAUUCUGCAGUUUGCAGAAUUUUGACCUUUUAGCUCUCGAAAACCUUCCAUAACACACCUUUACUCAUUUUAACACCUCCGGACUUUCCGAAGUGUACCAACCUCGCACUUUGGUCAAUUGGACUAAAGUUCGAUAUUCAUUUGCCGAAGCUUUUCGGUAUAUUACAUUCUCCACCCCUUAAAAUAAUUUCGUCCUCGAAAUUAACCAUACCUUAACUCGUUGACUCGAAUAAAUGCGGAUAGUCCCGCCGUAUCGUUUCCUCGAGCUCCCAAGUGGCUUCCCACACCGCAUGGUUGCUCCAUUGGACUUUCACAUCAGGAAUUCUGCGACUCCGCAGCUUUCGUUUCUCUCGAUCGAGUAUGCACACGGGGUACUCCUCAUAAGACAUGUCUUCGCGUAACUCCACGGGCUCAUACUCUAACACAUGUGUCGAGUUGCGAAUAUACUUUCAAAGGUUUGACAAAUGGAAUACAUUGUGAACUCCCGCGAGUCUCAGUGGUAGCGCGAGCUUAUAGGCCACCGUACCCACGCGCUCCAAUAUCUCGAAUGGUCCGACAUAUCGGGGACUUAGCUUCCCGCGGACCCCAAAACGUUUUACUCCGCGCAUUGGCGAUACUCUUAAGAACACGCGGUCUCCAACCGCGAACUCUAGAUCCUUUCUUCGCUUAUCGGCGGAACUUUUCUGUCGAGAUUGCGCCGCCGCUAAUCGUUGACGAGCAAGACGAACCUUUUCUUCCGUCUCCCGUACCACAUCCGGGCCAAGAGCAGCUCUCUCGCCCACGUCGCUCCAAUGGAUAGGAGAAUGACACUUGCGUCCAUACAAGGCUUCAAACGGAGCCAUCGUGAUACUUUCUUGAUAACUGUUAUUAUAUGCGAACUCCGCCAUCGGCAAGAAAUCAUUCCAACCGCCUUUGUAAUCGAGUACACACGCUCGAAGUAAAUCCUCAAGGAUCUGUAUCGUCCGCUUCGACUGUCCGUCAGUCUGAGGAUGGAACGCUGUACUGAAGUCGAGCCGUGUGCCGAACGCAUCUUGCAAACUCUUCCAGAAAUGAGAUGUGAACCUGGGGUCUCGAUCUGACACAAUCGACACUGGAACCCUAUGAAGUCUCACAACCUCGUCGAGAUAAAUUUGCGCUAGCUUGUCUCCCGACCACGUAGUGUGUAUCGGAAAAAAGUGUGCCGAUUUUGUCAAUCGAUCCACUAUCACCCAUAUCGCAUCGUGUCCGCCUUGAGAUCGAGGCAAACCGGUAAUAAAGUCCAUCGCUAUAUCUUCCCAUUUCCAAACGGGUAUUGAUAGACUUUGUAGCUUUCCCGCCGAAAAUCGGCGCUCUGCUUUCACCUGUUGGCACGUAAGACAUUGCGCCACGAACGCCCCAAUAUCUCUUUUCAUGCCCGGCCACCAAUAAUGCCACGCCCCGGGACCGAUACCGCUUUGGCCCGACCCGAGCACGUCAAACAGACGCCGAACGGACAGAGUUUCCCCUAUCCGCCCAAGGCUCGUCACGUGUACAAAUUCAAACAAGAAAUGCACAAGCGGAAACAUACACAAACGGCUUAAACGAGGGUAAGCAAUAGCCAUUAGUGAAAGAAAGGAAAGCUAAACAUCUACACAAGUAAUAUGAUUCAUUUUAGAUCAUAUACAUUGCAUCCAUCUCUUACAUUUAGGAUUCUUUGCAUUUCAUUACAUAAUUUCAUCAUUUCUUUCUUACAUCACAUUUACCUCAAAAUAAGCUUUACAUUCUUUUCUUUACAUUACUAGUCAUCAAAUACAAAAGAUGAUCAUAGGGUACUUUACUACAAAAUGAAACCCAACUUUGGUGGCCUCUGACUAAGGCGCGAUACCUUUACCUCGGUCGCUCGCCGGCUCGCUCGGUCCUGGCUCUGUGGAAAUAGUGGGGUGAGAACUACAACAAAGUUCCCAGUGGGUUCGGCCNNNNNNNNNNNNNNNNNNNNNNNNNNNNNNNNNNNNNNNNNNNNNNNNNNNNNNNNNNNNNNNNNNNNNNNNNNNNNNNNNNNNNNNNNNNNNNNNNNNNNNNNNNNNNNNNNNNNNNNNNNNNNNNNNNNNNNNNNNNNNNNNNNNNNNNNNNNNNNNNNNNNNNNNNNNNNNNNNNNNNNNNNNNNNNNNNNNNNNNNNNNNNNNNNNNNNNNNNNNNNNNNNNNNNNNNNNNNNNNNNNNNNNNNNNNNNNNNNNNNNNNNNNNNNNNNNNNNNNNNNNNNNNNNNNNNNNNNNNNNNNNNNNNNNNNNNNNNNNNNNNNNNNNNNNNNNNNNNNNNNNNNNNNNNNNNNNNNNNNNNNNNNNNNNNNNNNNNNNNNNNNNNNNNNNNNNNNNNNNNNNNNNNNNNNNNNNNNNNNNNNNNNNNNNNNNNNNNNNNNNNNNNNNNNNNNNNNNNNNNNNNNNNNNNNNNNNNNNNNNNNNNNNNNNNNNNNNNNNNNNNNNNNNNNNNNNNNNNNNNNNNNNNNNNNNNNNNNNNNNNNNNNNNNNNNNNNNNNNNNNNNNNNNNNNNNNNNNNNNNNNNNNNNNNNNNNNNNNNNNNNNNNNNNNNNNNNNNNNNNNNNNNNNNNNNNNNNNNNNNNNNNNNNNNNNNNNNNNNNNNNNNNNNNNNNNNNNNNNNNNNNNNNNNNNNNNNNNNNNNNNNNNNNNNNNNNNNNNNNNNNNNNNNNNNNNNNNNNNNNNNNNNNNNNNNNNNNNNNNNNNNNNNNNNNNNNNNNNNNNNNNNNNNNNNNNNNNNNNNNNNNNNNNNNNNNNNNNNNNNNNNNNNNNNNNNNNNNNNNNNNNNNNNNNNNNNNNNNNNNNNNNNNNNNNNNNNNNNNNNNNNNNNNNNNNNNNNNNNNNNNNNNNNNNNNNNNNNNNNNNNNNNNNNNNNNNNNNNNNNNNNNNNNNNNNNNNNNNNNNNNNNNNNNNNNNNNNNNNNNNNNNNNNNNNNNNNNNNNNNNNNNNNNNNNNNNNNNNNNNNNNNNNNNNNNNNNNNNNNNNNNNNNNNNNNNNNNNNNNNNNNNNNNNNNNNNNNNNNNNNNNNNNNNNNNNNNNNNNNNNNNNNNNNNNNNNNNNNNNNNNNNNNNNNNNNNNNNNNNNNNNNNNNNNNNNNNNNNNNNNNNNNNNNNNNNNNNNNNNNNNNNNNNNNNNNNNNNNNNNNNNNNNNNNNNNNNNNNNNNNNNNNNNNNNNNNNNNNNNNNNNNNNNNNNNNNNNNNNNNNNNNNNNNNNNNNNNNNNNNNNNNNNNNNNNNNNNNNNNNNNNNNNNNNNNNNNNNNNNNNNNNNNNNNNNNNNNNNNNNNNNNNNNNNNNNNNNNNNNNNNNNNNNNNNNNNNNNNNNNNNNNNNNNNNNNNNNNNNNNNNNNNNNNNNNNNNNNNNNNNNNNNNNNNNNNNNNNNNNNNNNNNNNNNNNNNNNNNNNNNNNNNNNNNNNNNNNNNNNNNNNNNNNNNNNNNNNNNNNNNNNNNNNNNNNNNNNNNNNNNNNNNNNNNNNNNNNNNNNNNNNNNNNNNNNNNNNNNNNNNNNNNNNNNNNNNNNNNNNNNNNNNNNNNNNNNNNNNNNNNNNNNNNNNNNNNNNNNNNNNNNNNNNNNNNNNNNNNNNNNNNNNNNNNNNNNNNNNNNNNNNNNNNNNNNNNNNNNNNNNNNNNNNNNNNNNNNNNNNNNNNNNNNNNNNNNNNNNNNNNNNNNNNNNNNNNNNNNNNNNNNNNNNNNNNNNNNNNNNNNNNNNNNNNNNNNNNNNNNNNNNNNNNNNNNNNNNNNNNNNNNNNNNNNNNNNNNNNNNNNNNNNNNNNNNNNNNNNNNNNNNNNNNNNNNNNNNNNNNNNNNNNNNNNNNNNNNNNNNNNNNNNNNNNNNNNNNNNNNNNNNNNNNNNNNNNNNNNNNNNNNNNNNNNNNNNNNNNNNNNNNNNNNNNNNNNNNNUAGCCGAUUCAGGACUCUUUGGUCGAGAGCCCUUGGCCAGGGACGGACUCUCUGGCAAGGGGCUCUCUGGCCAGGGGGUUUCUCUCUGGCCAACGGGACGCGCGUCGUCGAGACCGACGCGCCCCUCUCGGAAGCCCUUGGCCAGGGACUUCUUCUCUGGCACAUUAUAUGGCUUUCAAGCUUUUUAUUUUUACAGCUUGAAAUCAGUUUAACUGGUUUCACGCUCCUACCAUAUGAAGCCUUUCAGGCUUCCACAAUUUUACUCAUUUUCACACAACACCUUCCAAAAGCUCUCGAUUUCUUUGUUUAAGACGUUUUGACGUCCAAAAGUCGAGAGCCCCUGGCCAGGGACCACCCUCUCUGGCCAGGGGCUUGCGUAUAUUCUACUCUGUCGGCUUUUUAGCCGAUUCAGGACUCUUUCAUCGAGAGCCCUUGGCCAGGGACGGGCUCUCUGGCCAGGGGCUCUCUGGCCAGGGAGUUUCUCUCUGGCCAACGUGACGCGCGUCGUCGAGAUCGACACGACCCUGCUGCAAGCCCUUGACCAGGGACUUCCUCUCUGGCCAGGGGCGGACGCGCUUGACGGGUCAAGCCCGUCACAUUUCUCUACUUUCAACUCCCCAAAUAAUCGUUAAUACGUUGGGUUAUCGAUACAAUACUCCCGUUUACUCUAUAAAGAGAGUAAAGGAGUGGGAGAGUGUGAGAGAAGAGAGGGAGAGAGAGAUCGUUUGUUUCCUCUUCUUCUUCUUUCCUUCUUUUCUUCCUUUUCUUCUCCUUCUCUCACUUCUUCUUCUGUUCCUCUUCUUCUUUUGGAGAGGAGAGGAAGAGAUCACGUUCUUUCCUCGUUCGAAACUCCAUUCGAAACGGGAAAAAGUACAAUUGAGGGUUUGAUCCCAAAACCUUUUGGAUCUUUACCAAAAAUACCUCGAAAACCUCAUAACCUUCGAAAAGAAAACGAAGAAAACUCUAGUUCCGGUACCUUUUCCACUUCGAACUCCACUCGAAGUAGUGGAGAUUACCACUUUAGGUUUGAUCCCAAACCUUACUCGAUCCUUACCAAGAUUACUUGAUAAAUCUCAUAUAACUUCGAUGAAAACGAAGGGUUACUCUAGUUUGGGAUCCAAACCAUAUACAUAACCUCGAUCCCGUGGUUUAACCCCGAAAACGAGUACUCCCAAAGAUUCACGUUAACUGGGAGGUUUUUGGAUUAACCCCCAUAAAGGCUGCGCAACCACGCGAGCCUAAUUGCAAUGCUUUUCAGUUUCAUUUCAAUACUCGUUUUACCGGAUUAUUCCCAAGCAAAACGGCGUCCACUUCUUGCUUCGUAGAUUUUUAGGGUUCUUUUAGUAGCCUCGUGGAAACUUUCGGAUGCUCCACCCACCACGAAGAGUUUGAGUAACUUGAAGAGAGAUACGGAUUACACAGUAAGUAAACUCGUACACAUUAUAUAUAACAACGUACGUAUAAUCCCAUUUCAUUACUAUUCUUACACUACUAUCGUACUAACACUCAUGUUGAACGAAUAUUACUACCAUCUCUUGGUUUAUUUACAGUUUUGGGAUUCACAUACGUAAUCUCUUAUCACUCGUGGGUUUCACUCGUUUUCUUGUCUCACUGUGAUAUUGUAUCUAGCUCACCGUAAACUUUUACAUUUCAUUUCUCUGUGAUCUCAAUCAUACUACGUUUCUUGGUUUCACUACUUUUCUUACUACUUUUACUGUUACACAUUUCAUUUCAUUUCACCCCGUUAUUCUUGUUCAUAACAUUGCUUGUUCUUGCGAUCUCAAUCGUUCUCAUUUCUUUACAUUUCUUACAUUAACGUACUCAAACGUUGUAUUUCACUACAUUUCUUGUGAUCUCGAUCACAUUUCAGCUCUAACUUGAAUAUUUAGGAAACUCAAUUCCUAUACUAGUAUGAACGAUACUCAAGGCACGAGCUCCCGCCAGCGAGGGGGAGCCCGCUACGCGAGGCCUCAAUACGUAGUGCCCAACCUCAUUUGGGCUUCCUGCCAGGAUCGACCACUCAAGGACGCUACUACCUGAAUUACACUUGUUCAAUUACACCGCUUUGGAGGCUCAAUCGGAACUCUAAUUUCUUGUUUCUCGUUUCUUAUUUCUUGUUUCAUGUUUCAUUUCAGUUUCUUGAUUACUCAAACGUAUUAGACGUAUAUAAAUUACAACUCGUAUGAAGAACGAUAAGCAAGUCCGUAUAAUUUUUCGGCUGUCUCAUUUCAUACGCGUUCGGGGACCGGUCUCUCCCACCAGGGACCGGUCCCCGAGAGCUCAAAAUCUGCAGUUUUGCAGAAUUUGAUUCUUUAGCUCUCGAAAACCUUCCACAACGCGCUUUUGAUCAUUUUAACACCUUCGGACUUUCCGAAGUGUACCAUCCUCGUACUUUGGUCAAUUUGACUAAAGUUCGACAAUUAUUUUCCGAAUUUUCGGUAUAUUACAAAUAAUGCUCUUUCAAGUCCUUGUACAUUUUAGUGCCGCCGGGGCGUAUACUAUAAGGGGAUUAGUGCGCUUCUUGCAUGAUCGUCCUUCGCAAGUCAUCAUCCUUAGGCAUGCACCAACGAUUUCUAAAUCGAAGUGCGCCAUCGGCUCCAAUGCCAAAAUCUUCGGCAUUGCCAAUUUUAACUUCACUUCGAAUCUUUUGGAGAUAAGGAUCCGAAGCUUGAAGUUCUUUAAUCCUCUCGAACAGGGUCGGUUGCACGAUCAAUGCAGUAAGAAUGGCCGGCACUCCCGGCGCUACUACUUCCAACCCGAGACGUUGCAUUUCCUUGUGCAAUAGCGGUUGAGGCGUAAUUGCCGUCGCUAAAUUAUCCGUCGACUUUCUACUCAACGCAUCGGCUACGACAUUGGCUUUCCCGGGGUGGUAUAGUAUAGUGACAUCGUAGUCCUUCAACAACUCUAACCACCGCCGCUGUCGCAUAUUCAACUCUUUCUGGGUGAACAAGUACUUUAGACUUUUGUGAUCGGUGUAAACCUCACAAUGCUCACCAUACAAGUAAUGCCUCCAAAGCUUCAACGCGAAGAUCACCGCGGCUAACUCAAGGUCGUGAAUCGGGUAGUUUUUCUCAUAACUCUUUAACUGGCGUGAGGCAUAAGCAAUGACUCGCCUAUUCUGCAUUAACACACACCCGAGACCAACAUACGAGGCAUCACUAUACACUACAAAUGUCUCCCCCGGGGUCGGCAAGGCAAGAACCGGGGUCGACAUCAACCUGUUCUUUAACUCCUCGAAGCUCCGAUCGCAAUCGUCGCUCCAAACGUACUUUACUCCUUUACGCGUAAGGCGCGUUAGCGGAGUGGUUACUUUGGCAAACCCUUCCACGAACCGCCGGUAGUAGCUUGCAAGUCUAAGAAAACUGUGGACCUCCGCUACAUUCGUCGGGCGAGGCCAAUCUUUUACUGCCUCUACUUUCUUCGGGUCUACUGACACUCCGUCGCCCAAUAUCACGUGGCCCAAAAAUGUGACUUCCUUUAGCCAAAAGUCACACUUCUUCAAUUUUGCAUAGAGCUUCUCUUGCCUGAGUAUCUGCAACACAGCUCUGAAGUGCUCCUCGUGCUCCUCCUCGCUUUUCGAAUAAACCAACACGUCGUCUAUAAACACCACGACGCAUCGAUCCAACAACGGCCUGAAGACUCGAUUCAUCAAGUCCAUAAAUGCUGCCGGGGCAUUAGUAAGCCCAAACGGCAUUACCGUGAACUCAUAAUGGCCAUACCGCGUAUGGUACGCCGUUAUAGAUGGAUAUCGUGAACAUAGACUUUAAAAAGAACAUAGUGAAAUACAAAAAUAAAUCACCUAAAUGUCAAAAUAGGAAUAGGGAACAACAUCAUAAAUUUGUAAAUAAUACGAGACUAUGAGGAUCUACAGAAAAUAAUAACGAAAAUAAUAGCAACAAAAAUCUACGGAAUAUACAAAAUCUGCAUACCGCCCAGACCCGUGCACGGCCCGCCCGAAGGCGACCCAGGGUCCCGCACUGUUUUAUGAUACACCAGUAUCUAACACUUUCAUUCCAAUAGUGAAAAGCAUUCGGAUUGGUUCUCCUUAAGCACAUGGCCUGCACGUUUCCACGCGCAAAGCGCUACUGAUAUAGCAGUCACUCUCGGUUUUCUUACUAGUUUUCUCCUACUUUUCGGAUAAACCGUUGGUAUCAACUACCGGCACCCCUCGUGGGUCUGGAACCUUCAUAGGCCCAACGCACGCUCAAAGGCCUACACAAAGGCCGUCUCAAUGGUCCUAACGGUGGCCUGACCCUUCAACUCAAGCACUAACUGAAUUAAGAGCCCCGCCGCGGUCAGAGCUUCCGAGGCAUAUCUUACCGUGGCCACCUCAACCACCUCGAUUUUCCUGUUAAUGUUCUGAACGAGCUAUUCCCGAAGCACUUCGGCUCGCACAGAGGCACCCCUCGAGGCCACGACAAACACUUCUUCUUUCUGCCAUGUGAAGUUGAGACGCACCUGAUAGCGCUCAACUUGUUUCAUUGCCAUUUCUUGUUCAUGGGCAACGGCUCCUAACUGCUAAAUAAGCUAGUCAACGUUCCCAGGUUCCAUAUAAGCUUUUAACUAGAGGUUAGCCCCAUAGUAGUUAAUUUCUAAUCCGGCUUCCUACACGUGUUNNNNNNNNNNNNNNNNNNNNNNNNNNNNNNNNNNNNNNNNNNNNNNNNNNNNNNNNNNNNNNNNNNNNNNNNNNNNNNNNNNNNNNNNNNNNNNNNNNNNNNNNNNNNNNNNNNNNNNNNNNNNNNNNNNNNNNNNNNNNNNNNNNNNNNNNNNNNNNNNNNNNNNNNNNNNNNNNNNNNNNNNNNNNNNNNNNNNNNNNNNNNNNNNNNNNNNNNNNNNNNNNNNNNNNNNNNNNNNNNNNNNNNNNNNNNNNNNNNNNNNNNNNNNNNNNNNNNNNNNNNNNNNNNNNNNNNNNNNNNNNNNNNNNNNNNNNNNNNNNNNNNNNNNNNNNNNNNNNNNNNNNNNNNNNNNNNNNNNNNNNNNNNNNNNNNNNNNNNNNNNNNNNNNNNNNNNNNNNNNNNNNNNNNNNNNNNNNNNNNNNNNNNNNNNNNNNNNNNNNNNNNNNNNNNNNNNNNNNNNNNNNNNNNNNNNNNNNNNNNNNNNNNNNNNNNNNNNNNNNNNNNNNNNNNNNNNNNNNNNNNNNNNNNNNNNNNNNNNNNNNNNNNNNNNNNNNNNNNNNNNNNNNNNNNNNNNNNNNNNNNNNNNNNNNNNNNNNNNNNNNNNNNNNNNNNNNNNNNNNNNNNNNNNNNNNNNNNNNNNNNNNNNNNNNNNNNNNNNNNNNNNNNNNNNNNNNNNNNNNNNNNNNNNNNNNNNNNNNNNNNNNNNNNNNNNNNNNNNNNNNNNNNNNNNNNNNNNNNNNNNNNNNNNNNNNNNNNNNNNNNNNNNNNNNNNNNNNNNNNNNNNNNNNNNNNNNNNNNNNNNNNNNNNNNNNNNNNNNNNNNNNNNNNNNNNNNNNNNNNNNNNNNNNNNNNNNNNNNNNNNNNNNNNNNNNNNNNNNNNNNNNNNNNNNNNNNNNNNNNNNNNNNNNNNNNNNNNNNNNNNNNNNNNNNNNNNNNNNNNNNNNNNNNNNNNNNNNNNNNNNNNNNNNNNNNNNNNNNNNNNNNNNNNNNNNNNNNNNNNNNNNNNNNNNNNNNNNNNNNNNNNNNNNNNNNNNNNNNNNNNNNNNNNNNNNNNNNNNNNNNNNNNNNNNNNNNNNNNNNNNNNNNNNNNNNNNNNNNNNNNNNNNNNNNNNNNNNNNNNNNNNNNNNNNNNNNNNNNNNNNNNNNNNNNNNNNNNNNNNNNNNNNNNNNNNNNNNNNNNNNNNNNNNNNNNNNNNNNNNNNNNNNNNNNNNNNNNNNNNNNNNNNNNNNNNNNNNNNNNNNNNNNNNNNNNNNNNNNNNNNNNNNNNNNNNNNNNNNNNNNNNNNNNNNNNNNNNNNNNNNNNNNNNNNNNNNNNNNNNNNNNNNNNNNNNNNNNNNNNNNNNNNNNNNNNNNNNNNNNNNNNNNNNNNNNNNNNNNNNNNNNNNNNNNNNNNNNNNNNNNNNNNNNNNNNNNNNNNNNNNNNNNNNNNNNNNNNNNNNNNNNNNNNNNNNNNNNNNNNNNNNNNNNNNNNNNNNNNNNNNNNNNNNNNNNNNNNNNNNNNNNNNNNNNNNNNNNNNNNNNNNNNNNNNNNNNNNNNNNNNNNNNNNNNNNNNNNNNNNNNNNNNNNNNNNNNNNNNNNNNNNNNNNNNNNNNNNNNNNNNNNNNNNNNNNNNNNNNNNNNNNNNNNNNNNNNNNNNNNNNNNNNNNNNNNNNNNNNNNNNNNNNNNNNNNNNNNNNNNNNNNNNNNNNNNNNNNNNNNNNNNNNNNNNNNNNNNNNNNNNNNNNNNNNNNNNNNNNNNNNNNNNNNNNNNNNNNNNNNNNNNNNNNNNNNNNNNNNNNNNNNNNNNNNNNNNNNNNNNNNNNNNNNNNNNNNNNNNNNNNNNNNNNNNNNNNNNNNNNNNNNNNNNNNNNNNNNNNNNNNNNNNNNNNNNNNNNNNNNNNNNNNNNNNNNNNNNNNNNNNNNNNNNNNNNNNNNNNNNNNNNNNNNNNNNNNNNNNNNNNNNNNNNNNNNNNNNNNNNNNNNNNNNNNNNNNNNNNNNNNNNNNNNNNNNNNNNNNNNNNNNNNNNNNNNNNNNNNNNNNNNNNNNNNNNNNNNNNNNNNNNNNNNNNNNNNNNNNNNNNNNNNNNNNNNNNNNNNNNNNNNNNNNNNNNNNNNNNNNNNNNNNNNNNNNNNNNNNNNNNNNNNNNNNNNNNNNNNNNNNNNNNNNNNNNNNNNNNNNNNNNNNNNNNNNNNNNNNNNNNNNNNNNNNNNNNNNNNNNNNNNNNNNNNNNNNNNNNNNNNNNNNNNNNNNNNNNNNNNNNNNNNNNNNNNNNNNNNNNNNNNNNNNNNNNNNNNNNNNNNNNNNNNNNNNNNNNNNNNNNNNNNNNNNNNNNNNNNNNNNNNNNNNNNNNNNNNNNNNNNNNNNNNNNNNNNNNNNNNNNNNNNNNNNNNNNNNNNNNNNNNNNNNNNNNNNNNNNNNNNNNNNNNNNNNNNNNNNNNNNNNNNNNNNNNNNNNNNNNNNNNNNNNNNNNNNNNNNNNNNNNNNNNNNNNNNNNNNNNNNNNNNNNNNNNNNNNNNNNNNNNNNNNNNNNNNNNNNNNNNNNNNNNNNNNNNNNNNNNNNNNNNNNNNNNNNNNNNNNNNNNNNNNNNNNNNNNNNNNNNNNNNNNNNNNNNNNNNNNNNNNNNNNNNNNNNNNNNNNNNNNNNNNNNNNNNNNNNNNNNNNNNNNNNNNNNNNNNNNNNGUCUGAAUAGUGCGCUCCGACUGUCCAUCACUCUGCGGGUGAAAUGCUGUACUGAAAUCCAAUCGGGUGCCUAAGGCGUCCUGUAGACUCCUCCAAAAGUGAGACACGAAGCGCGUGUCGCGAUCAGAUACAAUCGAUGUAGGCACUCCAUGAAGUCGCACAAUCUCAUCAAGGUACACUUGUGCGAGCUUCUCUCCGGUCCAAGUCGUAUGAAUAGGUAUGAAGUGCGCCGACUUCGUCAACCUAUCCACGAUCACCCAAAUAGCGUCAUGCCCCGCCUGUGAGCGUGGCAAUCCUGUCACAAAGUCCAUGGUGAUCUUCUCCCAUUUCCACACGGGAAUAGGCAAACUCCGAAGUUUUCCCGCGGAAACUCGGUGCUCAGCCUUUACUUGUUGACAAGUUAGACAACGAGCUACAAACUCGCCAACGUCCUUUUUUAUCCCGGGCCACCAAUAAAACAACUUUAGAUCCUCGUACAUCUUGGUGCCUCCCGGAUGUAUAGCAUACGGCGCUCGGUGCGCUUCUUGAAGAAUGUCUUCUUUAAUUUCUGAAUUUGCCGGAACACAUAGUCGUCCUUGAAAGCGCAUCAACCCUCGGUCGUCCACAAGGAAAUAGCCGGUGCAACCAUAAACCAUUUUUCCUCUAAUCUUUUGCAAUUCCACAUCGGAAACUUGCUUCUCUUUGAUUCUGUCCAACAAGGUAGGUUGCACUACUAAUGUCAUCAACCUCAAGGGUGUGUGUAAUACACUGGACUUUCGCAAAUUGCAGAGUUCGAGUGUGUGGAAGGAAGUGUGGAACUAUCCUACAUGUUCUAAAUGACUUGGACAAGUUUUUGAACAAGUUAGAGAGUGAUUGGAAUGCUAAAAGUGAGAAAGUGCAUUGAACUGGUGAAAAUCAGCAUUUUCUGCUUGCUGUACCGGUACAGCCAUCACCUUGUACCGGUACAAGCUGGCAGAUUCGUGGCAGCAAGGCUAGUUUGGUAAUNNNNNNNNNNNNNNNNNNNNNNNNNNNNNNNNNNNNNNNNNNNNNNNNNNNNNNNNNNNNNNNNNNNNNNNNNNNNNNNNNNNNNNNNNNNNNNNNNNNNGAUUUCGCUUCACCUCGAUCAACCACGGAUUCACGACACAAUCCAAUCUUCUUUCCAACAUAAGAAAAUAACACCUAAAUACAUAUAAAACAUGUAUUUUUGGAUUUUGUCGAAAUCCGUGCGUCAAAAUCAAAAUCCGACAGCGCCAAUGGUUCCAGAAUAGCUGAACCGGUCGAAACGAGCUAUUGGAUCGCUAUGAACGGAGUCUGAUACGCGUAGAAAGCCAACUCUACUCCGUGGCUUCACCGAAAAAUCGGAGUUACUAUUCACUUAAGUGAAAACUAAUAAUCGCGUAACUUCUCCAUUUUAGCUCAUUUUCUCCUGAAACUUGACGAGUGCUUAUGUAAUUAAAUUACACACAUAAACAUCAUCAACAGAGAGUUUAGUUGCACUGCAAAAAUCUCAGUCCUUACAGCCUUCUGCAGCAGCAGCUGUGUUGGCGCUAGAUAGUUGCGCUUCCAGCUUUGCAUUUUUUUUCCUUUAACAUUGCCUUCUCCUUUUCCAAAAUCUUAUUCCGAUCUUUUAAUUUUUUUACAGCUCGCUCUAAUUUAUUCAAUAAGGAGCUGAUAUUAUUGCUAUUUUCACCGGCACCAGCUGUUGUCACGGGGGCCGCUGCCUGUACCACAUUUGAGUGAAAUGUACGAAAGGACAAUAUCACAAUUUGACAAAUAAACUCUAACCAAAUAAUAUUUUCUACUAACUCAAUUCAGCAAUACCUGCUCCGGCAGGCUGCCAUGUAACGUAGGCUUCAAUAUUGACAUAUCAUCAAGGCGGUAGGUAAAUGUAGAUACAACCUGCCAUAAAGAUAAAUCUAUUUAAUAAGUAUUAUAAGAAAAUUUUAUAAAACUACAUUCAUUACAUAAAUGAUUACCUCUGCAGGAGUAUAGCUCUACAGCUUUUUUAGUAGCUUCUCGUAACUCCGAUAGGCUCUUGAACCCUUCCAUUUUCUCAUCCGAGGAACAACCUUGUCUCCGUCGGAAUUACCCAACCUCUUUAUAUGCUCGUAAGCCCAACUCUGCAAGUUUAUCAAGAUUUAACAUUGUUAUUAUCAUAAAAAAAAUGUGCAAAAGAAAUUCUAUUGACAUACUAAUUUAUGAUAUUACUUACCAGAAAUGCUAUUGUACAGCAGUCGAUAUAGCCGCCAACUCUUUCUUGGCCGCUAUUUCGACGCUUCACACGUGGGGAGGCUCUGGAGAUCGAACUUAUAAGAUAAUUACAUACAGCAUGACCCCAGACAUAUUCCCCUAUUCUAUGUACAUCAUCUAUAUAUCUAUAUAGUGCCUUCGGCACAUUGUAGUGGCUGGUAGGAAAGAGGACGGUCGCAAAUACGUAUAAUAUAAAUAUAUGCACAAAAUCAGCUGCCAUCUCCUCUCCAUUCUGACCAGUAAUACUGUACAAAAUAUGUCGUAAUUUCGACCUAUCGGCAUGCCGAUAGUCACCAUUGAAGUAUUUAUCAAGAGUGCUCGACUUUACACUCUUGUUCUGCCAUUCUAUUGGUUCCCCUUGUGCUGGCAGCCCUAUCAAAAUGGAGAUUUUCUCUGGAAUAAAGGGGAGAAAGGUUUCUCCAAAUCUAAUACCUCUUCUCUCUUCGUCCCAAAAAUUGAGGAGGGAAUCGACUAACACAAGAUCUUGCUUAAUUAGAGGCAAGUCGAGAUAAGAAGAGAAUGGAGUGGUCUUCAGAAGUGCCAUUUGUUCAUCGGACAUAACAUCACGUAACGCUGGGCCAGCUGUCUGGAUUCUGCCCACAGUCUUCGGCAACUCUGAAACACACAUUAUAGUGUGCAGAUGAACUGGGUAACAUCUGCCCACAACAAGCUCGAUGGUCGGCCUUUUAGCUUUGGAUGGCCUCUCUGUUCUUUUCUCUGCAGAAUGCGAAGAUGUGCAUUGACCACUUGUAGUGGCCUUCUUGCCAGACCGGGUUGACGACUUCGCUCUGGUGGAAACCAUAUUCUCUGCUGCAUUUUAUUCACCACAAGUCAGCACAUAACUUCAUUAUGAAAGUAACUAGAAAAUAAAUUAAUUAUGUUCAUCCUAUGAAUGCAGAAUAUGUACAGUUUGACACUAUUAUGACAUAAUAGAACAUUCUUAUCAUAUUUUAAUUUUUGUUUCGUUGACUGCGAACAUAUAAAUGCUAUGCAUAAUAGAACAUCUAUUAAUUGCAAAAAUAAUAUAUACAACUGUUAAGAGUGUUUCCAAUCAUAAACCUAUUAAGAGUGUUCUAUUAACCUUUACAACUGUUCUAUUAUGGCAUAAAAGUGUUCUAAAUUCUAAAACUGAUAGGAGUGUUCUAUUAAGCUUUAAGAAUGUUCUAUUAAGUCAUAAGAGGGUAAGAUUGCAAUGCAUACAUGUUCGCAACUUUAAACCUGAAAAAGGUAUUCUAUUAAGCUCUAAGAGUGUUCUUCUAUGACAAAAGAGUAUUCUAAACCCUAAAACUGAUAGGAGUGUUAUAUUAAGCUUUAAGAAUAUUGUAUUAAGUCAUAAGAGGGUAGAGAUGUCAACAGGUCGGAUUUGGGGAGGAUUUUCAAAAACCGAACCCGAAUCCGACUCCAAACCCGACACCCGACACUCGAACCCAAANNNNNNNNNNNNNNNNNNNNNNNNNNNNNNNNNNNNNNNNNNNNNNNNNNNNNNNNNNNNNNNNNNNNNNNNNNNNNNNNNNNNNNNNNNNNNNNNNNNNNNNNNNNNNNNNNNNNNNNNNNNNNNNNNNNNNNNNNNNNNNNNNNNNNNNNNNNNNNNNNNNNNNNNNNNNNNNNNNNNNNNNNNNNNNNNNNNNNNNNNNNNNNNNNNNNNNNNNNNNNNNNNNNNNNNNNNNNNNNNNNNNNNNNNNNNNNNNNNNNNNNNNNNNNNNNNNNNNNNNNNNNNNNNNNNNNNNNNNNNNNNNNNNNNNNNNNNNNNNNNNNNNNNNNNNNNNNNNNNNNNNNNNNNNNNNNNNNNNNNUAAAUUUUUAAAAUACAAAUUCAAAUAUAACAUCAAAUUUAUAUAUAUAUAUAUUAUAUAUAAUACAAAAUAAAUUCGAGUUCGAGUCGGGUUCGGGUUCGGGUUCGGGUCGAGUACAGUCAAAAUCCAUAUCCGAAUCCAUAUCCAUCGGGUUUCUAUUUUUGAUAUCCAUAUAUGAAUCCAUAUUCAUUUAGCAUCGGAUAUAUCCGUUUCUUUCGGGUUCGAGUUCGGAUAAAAUUUGGGGUAUCCAUACCCAUUGACAUCCCUAUAAGAGGGUAAGAUUGCAAUGCAUAUAUGUUCGCAACUGUAAACCUGAAAAAAGUGUUCUAUUAAGCUCUAAGAGUGUUCUUCUAUGACAAAAGAGUGUUAUNAUGUUCGCAACUGUAAACCUGAAAAAAGUGUUCUAUUAAGCUCUAAGAGUGUUCUUCUAUGACAAAAGAGUGUUCUAAACCCUAAAACUGAUAGGAGUGUUAUAUUAAGCUUUAAGAAUAUUUUAUUAAGUUAUAAGAGGGUAAGAUUGCAAUGCAUAUAUAUUUGCAACUGUAAACCUGAUAAAAGUGUUCUGUUAAUGUCACGUCCCGCUAUCGCCAAUUUGGUCGAUCCGGGCCCGUACACAGACGCCGAACGAACAGCACCUCCUCUGUUCGCCCAAGGCUCAACAACAACGGAUACAUGUAUAAAGAAAUUAAAUAAUUCCCAGGAUCAUAUUUCAAUAUACAUGGCUUGCACGAAGGCAAGCAACAAACACAAGUGAUAGUAAGUCUAACUAAACAUGAAAUCCACUGUAAUUUAAAACUUUACAUAACUAAAACAUUUAGUUAUAUACAUGCUUUAUAUACAUUCAUUUACAUGUCUCUGUACAUCAAAAUGGAUGAUACAUGAACCCAAAUGGUAUACCACUAGUACUCGGGUGUCCACUAGCUAGGCUGCGGGCUCUUGCCUCGAUCCUCGGCCACAAUACUCGCACUGGAACCUGUAUGGUUAGUGGUGUGAGAACUACAAGAAAGUUCCCAGUGGGUUCGGCCGCCGACCUCGCCGACUCACCCACUAGGUCUACUCAGGCAUAUGUAGACAAGAAAAGUAAACAGAUAGUAACCAACUAUAACAUGUAACUACUACAAUGCCUGNNNNNNNNNNNNNNNNNNNNNNNNNAAACACUUCCAAAAUACACCAAGGGACCUUCCCAAGCUACCAAUUUAAUUUGGAAGCAAUUCCUUUUCAUUUUGACAUUAUUUGAGCCGAAUUAGAAAUAGAAUCGGCUCCAAUUCCAUUACACGGCAGAAAUUUCUCCUUUUUGCACUACCACUUCGCACUGAACACUUCAAAACCCUUAGAAAACACACCCUUGGCUUUUCCGAAACUUCACAAUUGAUUCGGAGAUUCCACAAUUUAUCCUUACGCCUUACUUUAAUUCUUUUAAUCAACGUUAGCGUCGGAAUUUCGAAAUUCUCUUUUUACAUUUCGUUUCGCGCCCAAUUGCGCCGAAACACUUAUUUCUCUUUGGAACUCAUUCCAACGCAUCACAAACCCCUCAGGGAUGAUGUCCAACUAGCUCAAUCCUCACUUUGACCCUCUAGGUCAAAGUUGACAUCGCAACUCCAAGUUUCCAUAUGUUACAGUUAAGCUUUAAGAGUGUUCUGCUAUGACAAAAGAGUGUUCACAACCAUAAUACUAUUAAGAGUGUUCUAUUAACAGUUACAACUGUUCUAUUAUGACAUGAAAGCGUUAUAAACCCUAAACUGAUAGAAGUGUUUUAUUAAGCUUUAAGAAUGUUCUAUUAAGUCAUAAAAGGGUAAGAUUGCAAUGCAUAUAUGUUCGCAACUGUAAACCUGAAAAAAGUGUUCUAUUAAGCUCUAAGAGUGUUCUUCUAUGACAAAAGAGUGUUAUNGUAAGAUUGCAAUGCAUAUAUGUUCGCAACUGUAAACCUGAAAAAAGUGUUCUAUUAAGCUCUAAGAGUGUUCUUCUAUGACAAAAGAGUGUUAUAAACCCUAAAACUAUAUUAAGCUUUAAGAAUGUUCUAUUACGCCAUAAGAGGGUAAGAUUGCAAUGCAUACAUAUUCGCAACUAUAAACUUUAUAAAAGUAUUCUAUUAAGCUCUAAGAGUGUUUUACUAUGACAAAAGAGUGUUCACAACUAUAAUCCUAUUAAGAGUGUUCUAUUAUCCUUUACAACUGUUCUAUUAUGGCAUGAAAGUAUUCUAAACCCUAAAAUUGAUAGAAGUGUUUUAUUAAGUUUUAAGAAUAUUUUAUUAAGUCAUAAGAGGAUAAGAUUGCAAUGCAUACAUGUUCGCAACUGUAAACCUGAAAAAAGUGUUCUAUUAAGCUCUAAGAGUGUUCUUUUAUGACAAAAGAGUGUUCUAAAUCCUAAAACUGAUAGGAGUGUUAUAUUAAGCUUUAAGAAUGUUCUAUUAAGUCAUAAGAGGGUAAGAUUGCAAUGCAUACAUGUUCACAACUGUAAACCUGAUAAAAGUGUUCUAUUAAAUUCUAAGAGUGUUCUAUUAUGAAAAAAGAGUGUCCAUAACCAUAAUCCUAUUAAGAGUGUUCUAUUAACUUUUACAACUGUUCUAUUAUGGCAUGAAAGUGUUCUAAACCCUAAAACUGAUAGAAGUGUUCUACUAAGUCAUAAGAGGGUAAGAUUGCAAUGCAUAUAUGUUUGCAACUAUAAACCUGAUAAAAGUGUCCUAUUAAGCUCCAAGAGUGUUCUACUAUGACGAAAGAGUAUUCACAACCAUAAAUCUAUUAAGAGUGUUCUAUUACCUUUACAACUGUUCUAUUAUGGCAUAAAACUGUUCACAAUCCUAAAGCUGAUAGGAUUGUUCUAAUACGCCCUAAAAAUAUUCUAUUAUGCCAUAAGAGGGUAAUAUUGCAACUCAUAUAUGUUCGGAAGUAUAAAAAUAAUAAGAGAGUAAGAUUGCAACUCAUACAUGUUCGCAAGCACAAAUUUUAUAAGAGUGUUCUACUAAGCGUGUUCUUUUAUCGCAUAAGAAUUUAAGAUUGCAACACAUAUAUAUUCGAAAGCACAAAAGUGAUAAAAAUGUUCUUAUAAGCUCUAAGAGUAAACCCUUUAUGACAUAAGAGUGACAGAUUGCAACACAUACAUGUUCACAGCCAACUAUACAUAUACGAAUACAAACAAAUUAAUUAUUAAUACAAAUAUACAAGUAUAUUAUUUCGUUUCAAGCAGUGUAGCAAACUAACUCCUAAAACCAUAUAGCACCGUUCUACCAAUGCAUAAGAGAAUAUACUAGUUGUAAGGAAGUGAAUUCUCGAAAUCCGAGGAUUGUACUUCGCCCAGGAUCGACUAACUGUCGAGAGUGUAUCCUUUGUGGGAGUUAAGAAUGUCCGAAACACAAAAAGUGCUUUGGAGUUGAGUCCGCGAGAGCAAAUGGUGCAAACCGCAUUUUUGGGCUGAUGUUGCUCUCGGGGACCGGUCUCUGGAGGUGAGAGACCGGUUCCCUCGGCUAGGUGUAGCGGGGUUGCUUGGUGCAAUCGGUCCCUCGCAGGAGGGACCGGUUCCCGAACGUGGUCCCAGUGAGAAAUGCCAAAAUUCGCUAAGUCCUAAAAAUCGAGCUCUCGGGGACCGGUCUCUCAGGUGAGGACCGGUCUCCCGAGGACCGGUCUCCCGGGGAGAGACCGGUUCCCGAACGCGUGCGCCCGAGGGAAGCUCUCGGGGACCGGUCCCAAGUCGGGGAGACCGGUCCCUUCGCGCGAAAACUGCCCAGUAAGGACUGUGCAAUAAAUGGAAAAGUGAGGGGUUUUUAUGCAAAAUGGCCUUUAUUAGAGUGGGCUGAGCCCUCUCUCUCCCUCACACCCUCUCAUUUUCUCUCUUUCUCACACUCUCUCUUGCUCCCUCUCUUUCUCUCUAGAAAAGAAAGAACAAAAGAGAAGGAGAAGAAGAAAAAGAAGAAGAAGAAGGAGGAGAAAAAGAUAGAGAAGGCUUGGAGCAUCUUCCUCUCUUUCUCUCUUCUCCAUUGGUGUAGCUCAAGAGGUAAGCUGCAAACCCUAGCUUGUAAAACUUAGGGUUUUGGGUUUUUAUGCUUUGGAAUGGGUCAAAUGAACCCUAAGCUAGCUUCUAAAUGGAUCAAUCCCAAGAAUCUAGGGAUUUAUUGGGUGGUUUGCUAUAGGUGCAAACCUAGGGCUCCAAAAUGGGGUUUUCGUGAAAAUAUGAGAUUGAUCUCAUUUGAAGCCUUGGAAACCCUAUUGGUAGGUCACAAAGCGUGGGGGCGAAGUCGGUUUUAGCCUUCGGCGAGCCGGCGUGAAGUUCUCGGCAAGAUAGGGCCGGGAUAGCUUGGAUUUGGGCAAGGAAGGCUAAAGCCUUUUCGUAAAGUUCGCCAAGAAGGAUUUCCCAAGCCUCUACAUCGAUUAAAGGUGGGGGGUGCCAUCCCGAAGCUUUCGAACUCCUUUCUAUGUCUUAGAUUGCAUUUAAUCUCAUCUCUUCAUGUUGCAUUGUAGGAUUGCAUAGUAGCUCCAUUCCUUAUGCUUUCUAAUUGAUAACCUAGUGUACUUGGAACGCUUGGUAACUUAGAUAGGUGAGGAUUGGGUCGGAACGUGGAUCCUAUGAUGCGAAAGAAAAGAGAUGAACCCGAUGGGGGUGUUGAUGACAUAGAAAGUAGUGUUAAUGUUAAAGAACAAACGAGUGGCAUCCAAACAUUGAAUGAUGACGAGUGGCAUUAAUGUAGUGUAAAUGACACUAGAGGUCGAUGGACCUAGGGAUAGGUGGAUCCCUUAGAAAAUGCCUUGUGAACAAUGAAUUUAGAAAACUAAAUAGCAUUGCAUGAAUGUCGGGAACCGAUGAUUCCGCGAUAGUCGUUGACCCUAGUGUAGGGCGUCCUCACUUGGAGAGGAUUCGAUUGGGUUAUUGACUCUAGUUGUAGAGCCUCCUCACUUGGAGAGGAUUGGAUUGGGUGUUGACCCUAGUUACAGUGUAUCCUCACAUGGAGAGGAUAGAUCUAGCUCACAGUCUGCGUUUAGGAUGGUAUAGCCAUCCAAUCCCCACAUGGAGGGGAUUGUCGUCGAGUACUCCGGAGUGUCGCGCGACUAGGACCACUUGGAGGUCCGGACCACAUGGAGGUCCGCAGACGGUCCCGGGCUUGGGUGCACUUGGAGCUCCCUCCCCACUUUGGGAUUGAAAGGUGAGUCAUGGGCGAGCCCUAGGGCCUCGCAACAGAUUGGGUAAAUGAAAGGCUAAAGGUUAUAAAUGUUAUUGAAUAUUACUAUUCGAACAUGGAUCGAAUUUGUUAGCAUGGUAGCAAAUCUUUAUCAUAUGAUGCAUGCAUUCAUAUUCAUGAUUAUGGGCAUAGUAGCAUAGUUUUCCUACUAUCGCAUUUACAGCUUUCAGAUACAUAUCGAUCAAUCUAUCUAUCUGUUGUUGCUUGUGCCCACUUGGACCUAGUGGGGAGAUCGGCAGAGUCGGCGGCCGAGCCCACUGGGAACUAUGGAAGAUAGUUCUCACCCCACUCUAUUUUCAGUGGUAGGUUCAGGACUGCAGAAAGAGGACCGCGGCAAGGGCAUCGUGCCCGACCAGUGAGACCGUGGUAGUAUAGUAGCUUUCCUUUUUGCAUUAGCACACCUAUGUAUUGAGAGAGAUCAUUGUAGGUGAGGAUUUGGAGAGCUAUGUAUUUUGGAUGAAAAAUGUACUCAUUCAGAGAAAAUGAUGAAACUAUUGUAAUAGUUAGUAAAGUACUCUCUUUGUUUCACUUGUUUUAUCUUGUGGAUUGUUUGCUCUUUGUAUUGUUGGCACUGUUUGUGCCCUUGUAAAUGUGUAUACUUAGAAUUUAAUUUUCUGGGUAAAUUCUUGUACACAUUCUUGUUGUUGAGCCUUGGGCGGACCGGGAAGGUGCUGUCCGUUCGGCGGCCCGCUGCCGCUGCCGAACCGUGCCAAAUUGGUAGUGGUUUCGGGGCGGGGCGUGACACUAGUAACCCUAAACUUGUUUUCUGUACCUUUUUUUCUAUUCAAACGAAAUCAAACUUUACCCUAAACACUAAUUUGUAUAUUUGAAAUGAAUACAGUUUUCUAUCAUAAACCAAGCAAAAUUUUAUGAAAUGCAUGAAAUAUAUGUGUGUUACUGUGGAAGCAUCUUCUAAACACUAAACCCUAUCCUAAUCAUAAAUGCUUUAUUUUUUAAAAUGCAACAAAAAAUAUAAUAUACCGACAGUGUCCUAAAAAUAAAAUGAAUCAGCUAGUUGGUGACGAAAUCCGGAGCUUGCAAAGACAAACCCAAGUUACAACCCUGAACCCUCAAAAUAUAAAUUUUAUAUUAAAUUUAAAAUUUAAAAAAAAAAAUUAUAGAAAUUCAAAAAAUUUCCUGUUUGAGUUGAAUCCUCUGUUUCGAUUGUGAAAUUAGCUCCGAAAUCAUUCCCAAUUUCGAACGCCCACGAGUGAAGGAAUGCCUGACAGGUACUAGGAUGAACAAGGGAGCAGUUGAGAGGCGACCUCGUACCAAUGGAGAGAGGCGAGGGCGAGAGACACCCUCGAGACGGCUUGGGGACAUGAGCUUCUACCGAGGAAGACAAUGUGUGGAAUGAGCGCUGCCGAACUUCUGCCCGAUGGAGUGCCCUACGAGCGAGAGAGAGAGAGGAGAGCGCAAGAUCAAGAGAGAGGCGAAAGAGCGAGAGAGAGGCGAGGGAGCGAGAGAGAGCGAGAAACAGAGAUAGCGAAAGGGAGCUGUGCGGGAGAGAGAAGUGUUGUAGCGUUUGGUUUGGGUUAGCUUUAGCAAAAAGUAAAAAGGGGAUGAGCUUAGAAGCUACUGUGCUAGUGGAUUAAUAUAAGCUGUUGGAUCCCAAGGGUGUAGGAUGUACACCUUCUACCGGGAGUCCAGCUAGACUUUUCCAUAUCUAAAGUGUUUGGGAGAAGAUAUGGUAAGUACAUAUGGACACAUGUUAUGUUGGUUAAUUUGGCGCACCCGGUGCAUCAUAAACCAUACAAAGUGGGUGGAGAAGAUGAGGAGGAGACACAUGUUGUGUUGGUUAAUUCGGUGCACCCGGUGCACCAUAAAUCAUACUCAAAUAUCUUAAAUUUUAAUCAAUUAAUAAUCUAAAAAUUUAUAAUAUUUAAUAUGUAGAUAUUUUGAAUACCAUAAAAUACAUUUAACAAAGUCACAUUUAAUAUACUACAAAAUAAAUUUAAUUAAUUAAAUUUUAUUUUAAAAUUUUAUUUUUUAUAUUUUUAUCAUACAAAUUUACUGAUGGAUGUCAUUACAAAUAUGCGUUCAAUACAUAUAUUUAGUAGUAAUAUAUACUAUAUGUUACAAAUAUAACUAAGAACAUAUUUAUCGAACCCACAGUAAAGUGCGGGUACAUUGCUAGUACUUAUUUAUAUACGAUAUAAGAACAAAUGAAAGAUACCAAUUAUGCUAUCUAUACAAAUUUGCAUAAACGUACUUACUCAAUGGUAUAUAUUAGAGGUAUUAUUUUUUUCAUUUUUGGCACAAUUUGAUGGUAAAAUUACUCUUUACACUUUUAUGCUUUCUUUUUUUUUUUUUUAAGGAAAAUAACUAUUAUAAAUAAAAAUUGAUAGUAAUAACUAUUAAGAAAAUUGUUAGAACGACAAAGUGCUUAGUGGUUGGUACUCGAGGUUUCAAGUUUGAAUUCUAGUUGAUUGACAUUUUCAGCUAAGUUUAUUUCUAAAGAAAUAAAUGAAGCGAAGCGCGGGUUCUUAAUUAGGUUAGAUUGGACAACACCUCAGGAAAGAAUUUGUUUUCUAAAUAAAAUUUUGAUGAGGCAAAAUUCUAAAUUUUUAUUUGUGGAGGGUUAAAUAGGAGAGAAGUCCGGGCGGUCCACUGUGAACCGGGUUCGGGCAAAAAAUCCACGAGUACCCAAUCGCCCCUCCGUGAAUUCGUCCCGUAUACUACGGUCUUGUUUACUGGGUUCGUUCCUCCCCUCCGAAGCGAUUCCGAAUUCCAUAUCUCUCCGAUCUUAUCGAUCUUACCAAAAUCCUACAAACCAAAGGCGCCUUCGUCCAUGGAGAGCGGCUGCGGCGACUUGGGCUCGUCCACCGCCCCCCUCACCUGGCACGACUUCUUGGAGCGCAUGCGCCAACCCUCCGCGGCCGAUUUUGUCAAAUCCAUUAAAAGGUCUUUUUUUGGCUUACACACUUUUUCCUACAUCUUUUGCAUCUUUACUCAAAGUGAUCACGGUGGAUCGUAAUUGGUUCUGGAUGCUGCAUUGUGCUCGAAUCCCGGUUGAUUAACGCAGAAUCUUGUGAGAUUUUUGUGUUUGUUGGAGUUGAGCAGAAUAUCUUUCCUAUCCUUGGCUGUUGAUGGUUCAAAGAAAGCGCUUUUUAUUCGGUAACUUGUUUCUAGUAGCGGAAAUGGAUUACAUUGGGAGGCAGAUCAAGGUUAUGCUUUGGGAUGGAAUCUAGUCUAGGUACACAACUAUAUCUUGAUAGAAAUUAACGAUGAUGAAUCAAGGCAUAUUUAUGUAGGAAUGAAGUCCCUUAAAGCCUCUAAACAUGAAAAAACUCGGAAUGAUUAAGCAUGAUGGAAAUAGCCUUCUCCGUGCUACUGUGUCCUGUCAUAAUGGGAACUGCAAGAAGGUAAUGUUGAAGGAACGCUGACUGGCCUCGUAUUGAUAAGUCUAAUGCUACGGUUUCCUCUGAACUCCACCCAUUUUAAAUGGUGCAAGUUCAUAUAGAUAGAAGCUUGUUCCUCAUCUCUUUUCGCUUGAAAUGCUAGUCAAGAACUAUAAACUUGUUCUCCGAGCCCCUCAGCGUUUAUAUUCGUGAUGUAAACUGCAUGGACAGUGUGAGAAGGUACAAAUAAUGGAUCCAUCUCAUAACUUCCAAAAGAAAUCACCUCAUAAUUUUAAUGGACUUUAAGUACCACUUCAUAACUUCCAAGGGAAAUCAAAUGGAGAUCUUUCUUAAACACAAGCUAAAUAGAAACAGGCAGCUAAGAGUAUUUACCAAUUUGUUCUUUUAGUCCCUAUGUCACACCCCGGGGUUCUUUUGUAUAAUCCUGUUUAUGGAAAUUAGUGAAAAAUGUAUACAUUUUUUUUUUUUCAAACAACCACCAAAGAACACGCCGAAACAUAUAUAGACCCGGCACAUAGACAGAAGCUCCUCUAUACAAACAGACAGAGUCUCCCUUAUACAAUCAUGGCAUAGAACCUAGAGUACAACGUCAACCACACAACCGAACAUGAUAACAACAACACCAACGAAUAGGUAGAGGAUAAAUACAACUAAACAUGAUCCAACAGAUAGGUAAUCAAGAAUGAAACUAACCAUCCAACCAAUAGAUAAAUAAAUAUACCUAAAUCCACAAUUAUACCACAAUAAUGACCUAAAUGCAGGUAAACGUAAACUCACAAUUAUUAACACCAUUAUUAAUCAUGGUUAAUGAGAUAACCAAUUAAACUAAAAGUAAUCUAAAAUGAAUGCAAGAAUGUAAUAAACUAGCAAUCAACGAAUCAAAUUCGGGACACAUCUAUCUAGUAGUGUCCUCACGCACCGUCCCGACCCUCACCUCUCGUGUCAUCGGUAGAAAUAGGGGGUGAGAAACAUGUAAACAUGUUUUCGAGUAGGUACUGCAAGUCGAUGAAGGGAAGCUGUACUUACUGGCAAAUAAGAGUGAUAAUAAUCAACUAAUAUGAACAGAUAUCAAGUACAGUAGCAAUAACGAACUGAAAGGAAAUUAUAAAGUAUCAAUAAAUAUACAACUAACCGCUACUGUAAUAUGAAAUAGAAUGCAAGUAUGUGUCUACCCAAUGAACGGUCCAAAUAAACUGAAUCAAAUCGCCAUGUUGGUCUAAUGACCUCAGACAAUGCCACAACUUGCUCAUCCACCGGUAUAUAACGCUAGCAAAUAAACCUCAUAGGGUUUACGAGUCGAAAAUACGACCAUUUUUCAAAAAAGAAUGCCACUGCGAUGGCCAAACUGCUGGUUUACGUGAAAUGCUCAAUGAGCAAUGGUGCUCAAUGCUAUAUGCUCAAUAGCUAUCUGUCGGCAGGUAGCUGAGAAAGAUCUAUAAGAAUUCACUGACCAAUUAGGUCAACCAUAUCUCAAAGAUAGAACUGUCAUGCCCCAGGUUCUAGCACUUCUUGGGCUCGCCAACAGAUCCACUGCAUACACAGGAAGCCCUGUGUACACGAAGCGAUAGAAGCACCUGUAACCUGCACAAGAACCACUAUUAGAGAGUAAUAGAGACACUAAAAACAGAAGUAACUACUCAUCUGUACAUACAUAUAAUCCAAUGUUUAUACAGUAUCCAAUACAAUAUCAACAUAUUUCAACUCUGAGCAGAUGAAAGAAAAUACAACUGUAUGUACAUGACUAAACAAAAGUAAAUUAUCUCCAUAAAUAGGUACUCCUCUAGCACGAUUACCAGGGUAGAUAGGGAUCUAGUUCAUGACUCCCUUACCUCAAUCAGAAGCAGCAGUGGCAACCAACGACUCUGCAAGAAAAAAGUGGCAAUAAUAAAUGUGAGAACUACUGUAAAUAAGGUAGUCUUCAGUUGGUACUGUCACCGAGCCCAACAGCCUACCCACUAAAUCUACGAGACUAACAGUAUAGCUAAUAGGUAGAAGAACAAUAUGGUAAGCUGGAAGAAACUCUACAGCUAGCCAUUACACUACGACUACUCAUGCCAUGCUCUCUGUGUAGAUAUGCAUCACUAGCUAAGAAAUAGUCACAACUGAUUCAAUCCAAGGGGACUGCGAACCGGCUAGUCCAGUCUGUGCUUAAGCUACUUUGCGCACCACCCGCGGGGGGAUGGCCGAUCUAAGUAGAAUGACCAAAAGGGUUGCUGCGACAAAAAUGCGAAAAGGCCUCACUUCGGAGUGGCACUUGGGGGAGCUACCUAGCCGAGCAAAAGAGCGUACUUUGUCGAGCUCAAUCAGGCUCACGCAGGCUGUAGUCAAUGCAAAUGCUCAAACGGUUCCAAGAACCAAAGCUCACGUGUUCUCAGUACAAUCUGAUGCAAAAAGUAAAGAUCCGGGUCUACCGUCAGUCUGGACGGCAUCAGACAACACGACACUAAUAGUGACGCACUAAUAGUGAUAAUACAAUGGUAAAAUCAGCUCCUGAAGCUAAAUCUGAGCAAAUAAAUGGCAAGUUCAGUGUGUAGGUUUUCUUCUAAGUUAAUUCCCAAUUCAGCAUGUAGUAAUCAUCUAAAAUAUCUAAAUCAUGCUUCAAAUUCAGAUUUCAUAUAUUAACAUGCAAAUCUAUAAUUUGAGCUACUAAAUGUGAUGAAUCAUACAUGAUAAGACAUGCUAAAAUUCUAUAAAACUUAGGAGGAAUUCCAUAGAAUUCGGUAGAUUAAUACCCACAUCAAACACUAAUCCAACGAUGGCAGGAACUCGGCUUCAAAUACACCACACUUCAACCCAAUCCAGCAAGAAUUAGUUGAGGGGAUUCCAGAAAUUCAGCAAGGAAGGGAGUGAAUAUAGUCCAAUCACUGCUGGAUUUUCAUUUAUGUCUGAAAUUUACUAAACUUUAGCUUAUACUACCUUACUACUAUCCAAAGAGGAUGUCCUCCAAGCUUCCUGUCACGCCCCGAGCCCCGCCUAUUUGGUCUGGUUCGGGCACGCCGACAGACUGCCGAACGGACAGAGUUUCCUCUGUACGUCCUAAGCGUCGCAAUCAAUACAAUACAAAGGUUCCAACCAGGAACAAUAUUCAACAUACAGUUGCAUAAGGAAGUAUCAAAAACAUAAACAACUAGCUAUUACAAGCAUUCACCUUAGAUGCAUUCUACAUCACAAUUACAUUUUUCUUCCAACAUACAAUCUGAGUUAUUACAAUAUUUACUUAUUACAAUUUGAUGCAUUUGAUCUUUUCAUCUCUAUACCCCUAGGAUAUGUCGACUCAGGGUACUGCUAUCUUUAGUCUCUGGGGUAGGGCGCUAUCUACGGAGCUACGCCCUUGCCUCGCGUCGCUCACGUGCGAACCUGUAACACCCCAAAGCAACGUGGGAUGAGAAACAACUCUAUAGUUUCCAAUGGGUACGGCCACCCAAGGAAAAAGUUUGACCAAUAGGUCCAAGGGAGGCAACAACAGGUUAGUUCAAUAAGCAGAUAGAUAUAUAUCUUAAUUAUGCAACUAACAAUACCAUGCUUUGCCUCACGAAUGCAAUAAUGCUAUGCUAUAUGCAAUCAUGCAAGAAUACAAUGCAACAUCUCAAGUAGAUCACUCGAUUCUACUUCUAUCUUGCUAUCUCUCUCAGAUCCAACUAACCUCUAAGGUUUCUAUUACCUUAGAUCCACUACAUUACCACUAGCCCCUAAGGUUCCAUCUACCUUAUUCAAGCUAGCCACCCGACUCGGCCGCUCUGUUUGGCUCGAGGUGAAGGAACACUCGUAUGCACCUCACCUUUCAAUCCACAAUUCAAGUCGCCGACGGGUCACCCAGAGCUGCGUACACCCGUGGUCAGGGACGGUAGGAGGGGGAACAUGCCACACUCGACCCGCGGUCCAAGACCCUCGAUAGGGAGGGGAACAUGCCACACACCCUAGCGAAGCACGAUUCUGCCGGUGGGAGGGGAACCUGCCACACUCAACCCGCGGCUUUGAAUCAAUCAACAGCUCAUCCUCGAAGUUCGUCUAGUGGGAGGGAGAACCUGCCACACUCGACCCACUGCUCUAGAAUUAUCGAGUUCACAAUCCUAGAAUUCCGGAAUCUACUUUCCAAGUAUCUAGGGUAGUCUCAACCCUAUAAUAUCGACCUAUCUAGGUCCAAUACACUUUCCACCCUAGGUCUAGCUGACUCUAGGUUUAAUGCUCUUAUCACAUAACCUAGGCUCAUUCAAUUCUAGGUUCAAUCCACAACCUAUGUUCUUUAUUAAACUAGGUUUAAUGCUUCUCUACCUAGAUCUUAUUAACUCUAGGUUCAACAACACUAGCUUCGAUGUCAACCUAUGUUUAACAACACUAGGUUCGAUAUCAAUCUACCUAGAUCUUGAUUCUAGGUUCAUUCUGUUCAACCUAUGUUCACGACACUAGGUUAAUGCCAUUCGAUCUACCCUAGAUUCACGACACUAGGUUCAACGUCAUUCUUAUUCAUCCUCGGUUCACGACUCUAGGUUCAAUACAACCUAUGUUAUAUAACACUAGGUACAAUGCCACUCGAUCUAUUCGAUACCUAAGUGUCCACAUCGAGUUCCAUAGCCAUGCCUGUUCACUGUGCUAACAUGCAUCUCAUCCAACAUAACACUAUAUGUUAAUAUGCAUGCUCUUUAUCAUGAUCUCAUGAUGCUAACAUGCACCUAGCAUAUAAUCCACAAUGCAUAUAUUCUACGAGAGGUUACCAUGCAUUUCACUUUGCUUUUCUACAUUAUGUCCCAAUGCAUUUAUCAUCUUAGCAUAUUCUAUUUACAUACUUUAACACAUUCAUGAUGCCAUCAUGCACCUAUUCCAAUCAGGCUAACAUGCAUACAUUCUAUUUAUUUGCUCUAGCAUGCUCUACAAUGCCAUCAUACCCAUACAUAUGCGUCAACAAGAACUCAUAGUCCACUUUGACAUGCAGACGACCUAGUCUCUUCGGUAAGCACAACCCACCUGUUAUCGCGUUUCGAUUUCUUAUAGUCACUUGCAAUCGACCGCCCGAGGCACCCGCUAUCCGACUCGGCCCGAACUCGCAAUUGCGCACCAACCGUGCGCCGCUUCGCAGCCCCGGAAAUUAUAGAUCUUCGGUUAUGUGCUACGGUGCUUGGAAUCCAAUUUCAUAAUUUUCGGACGUCGCCUCGGCCCUCCAGGCGGAAACGAAGCUCUAAUAGUCCGUUUUCCCCAUAACUUCGCGUAGGCUCGACGAACCGCCGAACCGACUUUGCCAACGCGUUCGCGUACCUAGCAAUUAGGUUCACGUAGGGUUAAUUUAGAUCAAACCCCUAUACUUUACAAAACCCCAUUUUAACCCUAGAUUUCAUCUAUUGCAAGAAUACACUAUAUAAACCUUGGAUUCAAGCAAUAAACAUCUCAUUAGCAUGAUAGGGUUCCGAGGAAACCAAAUCUAGAGCUUAAAAUCAACACCCUAGAGAUCUACCAUUGUUAAGCAUCAAAGCUUACCUCAAUCAACUCCUCCAAUGGUGAGGAAGAAGAUGAGAGGAAGAAGCUUCCUCUUCCUAGCCUCCUUCUCCUUCUUUCCCUCCUCCAAGAUCCAUCCUCUUUGAGAGAGAGAGAGAGUUUAGAGAGAGAGAGGGAGUGCUUUAGGGCUAAGACAUGAGAAAUAAGGGAGAGAGAGGAAGCCCUUGCUUCUAUACCCUCUCAUAAGUGCAAAAUUGUUGAAAACACCCUCAACAAUGCCUCUUUUGCAACAGCCCAAACUGGGCAUUUUCGGGCUACGGGGACCGGUCCUUGCAUGAGGGACCGGACCCUCAAGGACCGGUCCUUGGUUGAGGGACCCGUCCCCGUAGGUCCAAAAUUCCAGACUUAGCCAAAUUUCAGCCUUUUUCGUUUCUCCUCCGUUUUCGCUCGUUUUUGCUCGUUUGGUCUCCGAUUCAUUUCAUAUCGAACCGAGACUCCCAAAACAUAUUUUCGAGCAUAUUUACAUCAUCUUUUUCAUCCACGCUAAUGCCGGAUUUAGUUCACGGCCCAACAUAGCCUUUCGGGUUUCGUUUUCGCGCCUACGCGCACUGAAACGCCCGAAUACUCCCGAACCUCACCGAACUUCACCGGAACUAUUCAAAUGGCUUUCCAACCAAAUGUAGGGGGUGUUUGGCCUAGCUUUUAAAAAGCACUUUGAAGCUGAAAAGUGAUUUUCGGCUCAAUAAAGCGUUUGGCAACUCGAUUUUAAAAUCUGAUUCUGCUUUUUAGAAUCAGAAAACUGAUUUUGAAGGCUCCAGAAUUAGAAGCAGAAAAAAAGCUGCUUCUUGAAAUCUGAUUUUGAUUUUGGAUUUAAACUUCAAAUUUUUAUUUUUAUUUUUAAUUUCAAUAUUUCAAUCUAAAUUUAAUUUUAAUUUUUAAUUUUCAGAUUCAUUUUUGAAUUUUUAAAUUUUAACUUUUAAAUUUUAAAUUUUAAAUUUUGAAAAAUAGAUUUCAAACAUUAAUUUUUAAAUUUUAAUUUUAAAUUUCAAAUCUCAAAUUUUUGAAUUUCAAAUUUCAAAUUUUGGAAAUCAAAUUUCAAAUUUCAAAUUCAAAUUUUAAAUUUCUUUUAGAUUCUAAAAUUUAAAAUUUUUAAAUUUUAAAUUUAAUAAUAUUUAAAUUUCAUAAUUAUUUUAAAUUUUAAAUUUUUAAAAUUUUAAAUUAUUUUUUGAAUUAAAAUACCAAAUUUUAAAUUUUGUAAAAUUUUGAAAUUUAAAUAUUUUAAUUUUAAUUCAAAUUUAAAUUAAGAUUUUAAAUUAUUUUAAAAUAAAAAUUAAUAAAAAUAUUAAUUUAUGCAAACAUUAAAAAAAAUUUGCCAAACAGCUUUUCAAAAUCACUUCAGAAAAAUCACUUUUAUCUAAACUCCGCCAAACACUCUACAGCUUUUAACCAAAAUCACUUCUCCAAAUCAAAAUCACUUUUUCAGAAAUCACUUUUUCCGAAGCUAGGCCAAACAGGCCCGUACACCGUAACUUCAUAAUUUUAGAAGUCCGGUACCUUACACUUCCUAGCUUUAGUGCAAGAAGAAAAGGACAAGGGAAAAGUUCCUCUAACCAGGGAUUUGCUGAAAUAAAGCUUGGAGUCGAGAAAACUGAACAAAUGUAAUUAUGGCUUGAAAAUCCAAUUAACUCAAAAUUAAAGCAACGUACCUCUCAAUUCAGUUGGAAGCACCUUCAAAUCACUUGGAAUUGAAGGAAAAUCCAUCAAACAUCCUCCAAUUUCACAGCUAGAAGAAAUGGAAAUAAGAAUUUAACAAAAUCCAUCCAUCACCAUAAUUUUAUCACUAAAGAGAAAAAUUUGGCAAGUUAACUCUUACUAACCUGCAAUUAGGUUUGAGGAAUAAGAUUACGAGGUCCUUUCCUUCACUAGUACCCCACCAAAAGCUCAUUUUUGCAGCUAGAAUCUGGAUUUAAGACUCGGAUCAAAAGAAUUAACGAUAUUCCAACAAGAGUUAAAAAAUCAGCCCAAUUCUCAAUUCUAGUUCAAAUUCAGGUUUAUUAACCUGGAAUUCCAGCUUAUAGAAUAUGCAAUCUGACCACCAACACUCCCUUUUCCUGUAAUUAACCCUCAAUUAUGAAGUAGAACUUUCUAUACCCUCCAAUUAUUUCCCCUCCUCGGAAUCAGCCCUGCUGCCAGCAAACUGCUGCUGCUGGCAGCCCACUGCAGUUGUGCUGAAAAUGCAGCUUGAUGCUACAAUUCUCUUGAUCCACAAGAAGAUCUAGGGCAGGGAGAGGACAAGGUGCAAUCCAGUGGUGAUCCCAAGUUCCUAAACUACAGGAAAAGUCCACAAUUCACCACAAAAAAUUCAUUAUAAAUAAGAAAUAAAGGUGGAGAAUUCAGCUUCUACAUAAAAACUGUUUUUCGAUUUUCGAUCUUAAUGAAAAUUGAAAUUCUCAUUCAUUUUACCUCCAAAUUGGUCCAAACAAGAUUCUAAUCAUGAGAGGAUGAAGUCAAGAUCACUCCCAAACCUUCAAAAGCUCAGCUUCUAGAAAAAAUUCACAUGGAUUUUAUCAAAAUCUGAAAUUGGUUCAUUUCAGUCCAGAAAAUCAGCAUGUGUACAAUCUAUGACCAACUUUAAAAUUAGAGCUACUAACCUACAAUUCAAGCUCAAGGAAGGUACAAACUGGUUCCCAACUUCCCCCCACACCACUACAUGUCUUCAAUUUCGAAUUUGGACCUUCGAAACUCCUCCAAUUAACUCCGAAACUCCAGCUGAUCCUGCUGCCAGCUGAGCUACUGCUGCUGGCAGCCUUGCUGCAGCUGUUGAUGCAACCUGCAGCUAGUUGUUGCUGGCAGCUCUCCCCAGCUGCAGCUAAAGAGGGUGUAGGAAAGGAAGAAAAUAAGGGAAAGAUAAGUUAGAGCUAGAUGCCAACUACUUCAACUCUUAUCUUGCUGCAGCUACCACAAACUGCACCACCUUCUGCUCCUCCGUUGCUGGCUGCAGCUCAAUUGCUGGCAGCAGCAGCAAUUCCACAACAUGUAUGGGAAUGCAGGGCAGGGGAGAGGGAGGAGAAGGAAAGGAAGUAGAAGAAGAAGAAAGACAGAAUUGCCACCUACUAACCUCUACAACCUCAGCUACCAACUAGCUGCUGCUGCUGCUGAGGAGGGCCUCCAAGCUGCACUUGUGCAGGACCAGCAGAGAGAGAAGGACCAGUGCAGAAUAUAAAAUAUUAACAACAAUCGGUCUGUGAAAGCUUAAGAUAAAGAUAUUAGGGCUUGUUUGGUUCAUCCAUUUUGGGUAUGGAAUGGGAAUCAGUUUGAUCAAAUCCGGUUAAUUUUGUUUGGUUCGCAUGAAUCGGUUUGGGAUUCCUAUUCCGGACUGGAAUGGGAAUGACCCAUUAGCCUUCAACUUGAUUCCGGUCUUCUAGCCUGGAUUGAGAUUUCAUUCUGGAAGCCCACUAAGUUCUCGAAGCCCAUGUGACCAUCUCACCCUCCUUCUCUUCACCCCUUUCUCAUCAAAAAAAAAAAAAAAUCUAUCCUCUCUCAAAACCCUAUCCCUAACCCACAUCAAUAAAAAAUUUUAAAAAUAAAUUUGAUAUUUUUUUUGGAAAACUUACUAGAGAAUAGUAUUAUAUUUUUCAUAAAUUUUAAAUAAUAUAAAUUUAUAUUUGAGAGUAAAAUUAGUAUUAUAGUAUCCUAUAAUUUUUUUAGUUUAUACGAACCAAACAAUGAAAUGUGAAUAACUCAUUCCAAUUCCCAAUCCACAAAUAAACCAAACGUCUUGGGGGAGUGGGCCAUUCCAAUUACCAUUCCAAUUCAUUCCCAUUCCAUUAUCCAUUCCAAUUCCACCCUUGAACCAAACAAGCCCUUAGAAUAAUCUAUUGUUUUCAUAUGGUAUCAGAGCAGAAGGUUUUUAGAAUAAGUAGUUGUUUUCAUCGAUCGCAUUUAAUUUCUUCCUAUUUAAAUUCAAGUUCAUAUGUUGGGAUGAUGCAGCCAAAAAAGGAUUAGCUAGGAUUUUAAAUUUAUUUUUUAUUUUUCGGAAUUAUUAUUUUUAUUAAUUUAUUUUAGAGAAUUUUUUUUUAGAAUUUAUUAUGUGAAAUGAAUUUCUAAAAAUUAGGGAUAUGGUUUAGAAUUUUUUUAGAUAUAUUUGGAUUAGAAAAAUAUCCCUAGAACUAUGGGGUUUGUUUUAGAUUAGAAUUAGAAUUAGGAUUUGAAUUAGAAAAAUAUCCCUAGAGGGAGGUGCCUCUACGCUUCUAAGUUCUUUUCGAUGAUGGGACUUUCGAGUCGACGACGGCUUCGUUAGACUUGAGUAAGAAUAUUCGAAGUAUCUGAAAAUUUACAUAGAGAUUGAAUUGUUUCUAGAAAACAAUUCGAUAUUAUUUACAUAGAGAUUGAAAGGACUAAAUUUUCAUGAAAAUUUAAUAAAAAUCUAUGCCAAUGUGCUAAAGGAAUGCCACUAGCAAUGGGGGGCCGUGCCGACGUUGGUAUGCCCCGUGCCGCUGUGCUGUGCUAUUGGCAUAAUGCCAUGACCCGUGCUAGUAACACGGUAAUCCUUAGUUCAUAGGUCUUUGUGAUUGUCACGGCCCGAGAUCCGCCACUUUGGUCGGAUUCGGCGCGCCAACAGACCGUCGAAUGGACAGAGUUUUUCCUGUACGUCCAAAGCGUCACUGUCAUGCCCCAAACCCGAGGCGUAACAGACGCCGCAUACCUGCUAAACUAGCAAAUAUGCAAGGCUACAGAAUCAGACAGAAACUAGCAAAAAGAUGAUUACCAAUUUUUCCACUAAAUCCAAAGAAUCAUAAGAUAGACUAAGAAAUUGAAUUUCAGCUAAAAUCAAACGGAAUUCUCUCAUCUAUAAAACUAAAGCUUACUACGAAUCACAAGAGAGAUUCGGUCUACAAAAUACCAUAUAAGUAAUAAAAGUGGGUACGAAGAAAUAACGAAAUAAAAUAGAUAAUAAACGAUCAUAGAUAAUCCGAAAAUACUAGAUGUAAAAACAAAAGGGACUAAAAUCAAAACUAGCUAUGUUAAACGUUUACUCGGUCUCAGCCCCGCCCGGCAAAUCAGUCUCGGUACCUGGGUAAGCAACCAUACACCACAUUAGUCGGAUUAAGCAUACAAUACAAAUAAAUAAAUGAAUACAAAAUUUAAUUCAAGCGACUGGUCUUUAAUUUGCAAAAUUUAGAAAACAAGAAUUUAUCAAACUUAAAAUUCAGAUCAAAUUGGAACUAUAAUUUUAUAAAGCAUUUCUCUUUAAGCAAAUAACGAAAUAAAUAUUAAGUCUUUGGCAACUAACUAUAUCAUAUAAUCCGUUGGCGAGAUCCAGAGGCACCCGAAGGCGCAAACAGAACAGAAGCACCCGAAGGUGCAAACAGAACAGAGGCAUCCGAAAGUGCAUGUACAAAACAGAGACAUCCGAAGGCGCAAACAAAACAGAGGCGCGGAUAGGCGCAGGCACCCGAAGGCGUAAUACAAAGAAGAAACUCGCUUCUAUAACAAAAUACAUGUCGACAUGGCCAACGUUAGCAUAGUAGAAUACCAAGAGACAUUAUAAUUUAAAAUUAUCCAGUCACUAACUUACAGAACAGAUUAUCAAAUUUCAAAAUUUUCUAUUAAAAGAAUCUUUCAAUCAUAGUUGAAACUCAAUUUGCAAAAAUAUUUAAUAUACGCUUAACCCUUAAUUUUUAAAAUCUACAAAAUAAAGAUUUUCACACAAUCAAAGUAUUUCCUAAAUUAUUUUACGAAAAACUAACGGGUGUCCGGUCGCUUACCUCAAGAGCGGCUUCUAAGCUAAGAAGCUAUCCAGUCAAAAAUCGCAUGAAAAUCAAUCGUCGGAACCUAAAAUAGAGAUAUACGAUUGUCUAUAAGCUACUCAAAAAUAAUUUACAAAAAUAAUAUAUAUACAUUUAGAAGGCAAGCUUAUACAAAAAUCUGAAUUCGGAUAGGUUCACAUAGGUCAACAAUGUCGGCUACAAAUGCAUGCAAAAAGGUCAAGACGGAGCACGAAAGAGAUUUAGAAUAAUAAAUUCGACGAAACUCAAUUAACAAUCAAGAGGAUGAUGAGUUCGAAAUAUUAAAGUUUUCAAAGAAGCAAGAUAACAUGAAUGAAGUUUUAGAUAAUAAACGAAGGAUCUAAUGCUCGAAAAGAGGGUUUUCAAAUGUUGAAACAUUGAUGGACAAUUUACAAUUAGAUGGGAUCGAAAUUAGAAACAAAAAUAAGGUUCGCUCUUAGGCAUUUUAUCGAACAUGCAAGGAGCAUUACAAGAAGUAUGUAGAAUAUGGAGAAUUUGUAUAACUAAAUAAGAUAGGGAUACAAGAUAAAAUGAUAGUUGAAAUAACGCAUAUUUAGAUCCCAUCUAAUUGUANUGGAGAAUUUGUAUAACUAAAUAAGAUAGGGAUACAAGAUAAAAUGAUAGUUGAAAUAACGCAUAUUUAGAUCAAAGCAAAUCAGAUUUUGAUAGUUUUAAUUCCAAUUAUCAAGAGAUAAGUAUUCAAGAUCAAUCAUAUAAUAAUGAACAAGAAGGUUGGAUGAUCUCAAGAUUUAGUGAAAGAGAAAAGAGAUUAAAAAAAGAACCUCUUCAAAGACGGAGACAACGAUGACGAGAUAUCGUCAACGACGAACCAAAAAUGCCGAUAGAGAUCAAACAAAAGGGUUGCGGCAGCAGCGACCACGGAUAACGGCGACGACGGUAGGGAUCGGAUAGCGUCGCGCGUGCACGUGCGGAGCGGCAGAGAUGUACGGACGCGGUGAAGGAGGAGAGAGAGAAAGAAUCGUGCGGGAGAGGAAAGAGAGAUCGGGUGAGGGUUGGUUGGGAAGAGUUAAUUAAGUUAGGUACUAAUUAGGUAACAAAAUGCCGCCGAGUCCCUCGAAGAUUGAAAAUUACGAAAAGCUCCAAACUUAAUAAGAUAGGUGUAAGGUACCGGACUUCUAAAAUCAUGAAGUUAUGGUGUAAAUUUGGUUGGAGAACCAUUUGAAUGGUUCCGGUGAAGUUCGGUGAAGUUCGGGAGCAAUCGGGCGUUUCGGUGCGCGUAGGCGCGAAAAUGGAACCCGAAAGGCUAUAUUGGACCAUGAGCUAAAUCCGGCAUUAGCGUGGAUGGAAAGAUGAUGAAAACAUACUUAAAAACAUGUAUGGAGAGUCUUGGUUCGAUUUGAAGUGAAUCGGAGGUCAAAUGAGCGAAAACGAGCGAAAACGGACGAAAAUGCUGAAAAUUUGGCUAAGUCCUUAAGGCUGGCUGGAAUGCAUACGGGGACGGGUCCCUCAGCUAGGGACCGGCCUCUCAGGGACCGGUCCCUCAUCCAAGGACCGGUCCCCGUAGCCCGAAAAUGCCCAGUUCGGGCUGUUGCAAAAAGAGACUUGUUGGGGGGUUUUUAUGCAAUUGUUGCAUAGGUUAAGUGUAUAGAGAGGGUUAGAACACCUCUCUCUCUCUUUCCCUCACCGUUUCAACCCCAACACCAUCCCUCUCUCUCUCUAAACGAAAAAGAAAAGAAGAAGAGAAAGAAGAGAAAGAAGAGAAGAAGAAGAAGAUGGAGAAGAUGGAGAUGGAGGCUAGGAGAAAGAGCUUCCUUCCUAUCAUCUUCUUCCUCACCUUGGAGCAAACCUAGAGCGGUAAGCUUCUAAGGCUUUAAUGGUAACUUCUUAGGGUUUGGUUUAUACCCUCUAAGGAUGGUUUAGAUGGAAUCCUAGCAUGCUAAAUAAGUGGGAAAUACCCAAUUCUUGAUUCGAUUUGGAGUAUUUUGACGUAGUUGCAAACUAGGGCUCGAAAGAGGGUUUUUGUAAAUAGAUGGGUUUGAUCUCAUUUAGACCUCUGUAAACCUAAUUGCUAGGUAAACGAACGCGUUGGCGAAGUCGGUUCGGCGAUUCGUCAAGCCGUUAUAAAGAUAUUGAAGAAACAAGCGAUUUAGCUUCGUUUCCGCCUUGAGGGCCGAGGCGACGUCGUAAAAUCGUGGAAAUGGAUUUGGAGCACCGUUGCACAUAACCGAAGACUUAUAAUUUUUGAGGCUGUGAAGCGGAGCACGGUUGAGGCGCAGUUGUAAUAUCAGGCCGUGCUAGAUACGGGUGCCGCGGGAGGCCGAUUGCAAGUGUCGACAAGCAAUUGGAACGCGAGUUAAGGUGGGUUGUGCUUACCGAAGCGACUAGGUCGCCUUUAUGUCUAAGAAAGUUAAAAUGCUAAGUUGAUGCAUGUAGCUAAUGCUAGAUAAUGCAUGUGGAUAAUGUAAUGCAAAUGCUAAGUAGAUGCAUAUAAAAUGAUAUGUGAGAUUAUAAAUGCAUGAUUAGCAUUGUGAGAUUAUAAAGGGUAUGAUUAGCAUUGAGAAAUUAUAUAUGCAUGUGAACUUGGUUGAUAACUCUAGAUUGAGUAGAGAACAUGACAUUGGAAAUAGGAACGUGAAAACUAUAGAAUACUCGAUGGGACAACUAGGGUGUCGAAUAGAUCGAGUGGCAUCUAACCUAGUGUUAGUAAACAUAGGUUAAACAGGAAUGACAUCGAACCUAGUGUUGAUAAACAUAGGUCGGACAUAGUGAUGUUGAACCUAGUGUCAAUGAACAUAGGUUGAACUAGUAAGCUAGAGUUUUGUAACCUAGAGUGGCUUUGAACCUAGGUUGUUGAGUAUAGUGGUAGCAGCCACUAGGAUGUUCUAGGUCGACAGCAUAGGGUUGGUUAUGGACCCUCGACCUGUGGAAGUGGAUUCCGGAAUCCUAGGAUUUGUGAUGAUGACCUUGGUAUCAAGGCUAGGACGUGUGCGGCGACUUCGUCGCCGAGAUUGAUACCAAGGAUGGAUUGGGGGUGAAUGUGCAGAGAUCACCGCCCGCGGCUUGAACCAUUGUCGUGGCGUGUGCGACGAUUUCGCCGCCUGAUGGUUAAGCCAGUUUGUGGAUUAUGCUGCCAGAUCGACUUGAGCCAUUGUUGGGUGAGGUGCGAUUCGUUCGCCGCCAGAUGGCCAAGUCAAGGGACUUGAACCAGUGUUCGGCGUGUGCGAGGACUUCGUCGCCAGCUGGUUAAGUCUUAGAGGGCGACCAGUGCGUGGACUAUCCGCGGAUGAUUGACUCGAGGCCGAGUCGGGUGGUUAGCUUGAUUAGGUUAAUGGAAACCUUAUAAGCUAGUGAUAAAGGUAAGAGCUAAGGUAAUAGAGACCUUAGAAGCAAGUCGAGCUUGAGUGUGGUGAACUAAGGUAGUAGAAAUCUUAGAGUCAAAUAACAUGAGCUAAAACUAGCUGAGUUGAAUGUAGAAUCAAUAGAUCUACUGAAUCAAUAGAUCUACUGAAUGGUUGCUUAAUUGCAUAGAACUGCAUAAUAUUCAUAUUGCAUAUUGUGAGGCAUGUUAUCUGUUAGUUGCAUAGUAACACUAUGAUAUAUAUCUAUAGAUGUUUUUUGGACUAACAUGAUUGCAGUGCCUCCAUGGACCUUUUGGUCGAGCUUUUCCCUUGGGUGGCCGUACCCACUGGAAACCAUGGAGUUGGUUUUCACCCCACGCUGUUUUGGAGUGUUACAGGUUCACACGUGAGCGGUGCGGCGGCGCGAGGAAAGGGCAUACCUAGAUAGCGCCCUACCCAGAGACCAGAGCUAGCAGUACCCCGUCGACAUAGCUUAGAGGUAUGGGGAAUGAAAAGAACACAAUGUAUCAAAUUGUAAUAAGUAAACGAUGUAAUAACUUAGAUUGUAUUUGGAGGAAUCAAAUGAAAACUGUGAUGUAAAAAUGUAUGAAUGUGAAUGCAUGUAAUAANCAAUGAGAACUGUGAUGUAAAAAUGUAUGAAUGUGAAUGCAUGUAAUAACAUAGGAUGUGUUAUGUUGUUGAUACCUUCCUUAUGCAAUCUGUUUGUUGAGUACUGUUCCUGGUUGGAACCUUUGUAUUGUAUUGAUUGCGAUGUCUUGAAUGUACAGGGGAGACUCUAUCCGUAGUACAGGGAAAACCCUGUCCAUUCAGCGCUGUUGGCGCUGCGACCUCGGCUAAAUAGGCGGGUGGUCGCGGGUCGCGACAAUAGGAGUCAAAACAAGAGGUUUAAAAGUAUGGGGUGUUACAGUCACAAUCAUUCAGCUCAAGAGGUUCCAAACAGAAACAGAAUGCAUAUAUAGAUUGUAUAAGGAAGGCAUUAGAAACAUAAAUACUAUGCUAUUACAAGCAUUCAGUUUACAUUUACUGUAACGAAGUGAAUCCUCGAAACUCGAGGAUUAGACUUCGUUUAGAAUCGACUAAUGGUCGAGUGCGUAAGCUUCGGAAAGUCCGAAGGUGAUCUUAAUGCAUAAAGUGCAUUAAAGAGAGGUCCGCGAGAGCACCAGUGCAAAACUUGCACUGGAGCAGAAAUGCUCUCGGGGACCGGUCCCUGGCAGGAAGGGACCGGUCCCAUCAAGCUGGGUUGCGGAGGUCUCUAAUGAGACCGGUCUCUAGUGGGCAGGGACCGGUUCCCGAACGUUGGCCCGGCGAGACUUAGCCAAAUUUGGCUAAGUCCCGAGAAUGCAGCUCUCGGGAACCGGUCUCUCGGACAAGGACCGGUCUCCCGGGGACCGGUCUCUNUGAAUAAGAUCGAUGAACAGGUACAUAGCUUUACCUUUGACAUGACGACAGGUUAGUUGCUUACCAAUUCAUUGGACAUGCAUUCAUAUAUCUAUGAUUGGGCAUAGUAGUGUAGCUUUACUUUCCCGUCCUUACAGUUUUGCCUAUUAUCUAUAUAUAUCGGUAUAUCUACUUGUGCCCGCUUGGACCUAGUGGGGAGAUCGGCGGAGUCGGCGGCCGAACCCACUGGGAACUAAGGAAGUUAGUUCUCACCCCCCCAUUUUACCACAGGUUCUAUUUCGGGCGUCCCUGGCGAGCGUGAGGAUCGCGGUAAGGGCCCGGCGCUCUAGUCACAUUAGCUACCUCCCUUUUUUUAUUAGCUGUCACCGUUUUAUAUUUGAGAGUAGAUGAUGUAUAGGGUGAGGUUCGAGUGAUUGUACUUAUACUUUUGAAAGAAUGUAAAAGAUGGAAUUACAUGCAUAUAUAUUAUGUCGAAUGAAUGUAAUAGAUAGCCUCUUCUCUCUUUAUGUACUUGUAUAUGUUUCUAUACUUGUAUCUUGCUCUUGUUUGUCGCACUGGUGGUGCUUCUUGAUCGUGUAUUUAUGAAUUGAAUUCCUGGGUAAAUUCUUAUACAUGAUCUGUUGGUUGCCUUGGGCGGACAGGGGAGGUCCUGUCCGUUCGGCGUCUGUUCGACGCGCCCGGGCCGGACCAAAUUGGUAGCGGUCUCGGGGCGUGACAUUACAUUCUCCCAAAUACAAUCAAACUUUAACACAAUUUUGUCUUAAUUCUUUUCUUCUCUACCCCACUAAGCUAUGCUGACUCGGGGUACAUCUAUCUCUGCUCUCAAGUGGUAGGACGCUAUCUACCGAGCUACGCCCUUGCCUCGCGCCGCACGUGUGGACCUAAAAAACAUGAGGGUGAGAACUAUAAACAUAGUUUUCAAUGGGUACGACAACCUAAGGGAAAAGCUCGACCCACCAGGUCCAAAGGAGGCAAUAUAAGCAAGUUAGUCCAAUAUAUAUAAAUAUAUCACUGUAAGCAACUAACAAAUAUCAUGGUUAUGCCUCAACUAAAUGCAAUAUGAAAUUUAUGCAAGUAGAUCUACCAUUUCUAUUUUCUAUUUGACAAUUCAUUUCUAAGGUUCUUUACCUUAUCCAAGCUGUAAUAUACCGAAUUUUUAAUAUAAAAGUGUAAAUAAAAAUAGUGUAAGAUACUAUUUUUAUUGGACUUAGAGCAGUAAAAUAUAAGUCGGAAAUGACUUAUGCUGAAAUUGGAAUGGAAACAGAAGAUUUAGAAUUUUCUGUAAGAAACGGGACUGAUAUUUUAGCAGAAAAUUCAGUGUCAGAAAAUUAUGAAAAUUGGAGAAUAUGUUGGAAUUAUUUUUAUGAGGCUAGAUUUAAAGUUUCAUGUCAUUUUGACACUCGGAAAGUGAAAAAUAAAAUCUAACUGCUAUCUGCUAGAGAUUCUAGUUGGUAGAGCUUUCGGUGACCAAAAAAUGGUCCAAACUGAAAAGUUAAGAUAUUUUUCUCCUUAUUAAUUUUAAUCGAGCCUGACUGUCAAAUUUGAGAGCAAACGGACAUUCAGAAGGACUUCGGCGAAAAGUAUCAGAUUCUGAACUGGGAACAGAUUUAAUUAAGGAUAUUGUGAGGGGUUUAUAUGCAAUUGUUUAAUCUUAUCCUUUAAAUCCAGCCCUCCACCAGCCUUCCCUGUGUACAGGGUGGUCUUUUCCUCCUCAUUGUCUCUUUCACUCUCUCUCUCUCUCUAGAACCUAUGGUAGGUGGGUUUAAUGGAGAACUUGAUGAAGUAGUGUUGCGGGCUGCGAGGAAGCCUUUUGAGCAGUGAAACCAGCUAGGGAGCUUCCGAAUUGAGGUAAGGUGGCUGUAAUCUUUGGUUUGGGUUAGGUUAUUGGCUCUAAAAAGGAUCUAAGCUAUAUAUCCUUAGAGUUAAGGAUCGAUCAUACUUGCAAUGAGUUCCGUGCUCGAGGGCGGUAGCUCCACCUCGAGCGAUGCGCUCCGGAGUUUUGCAUCACGAGUUGGAGUCAACCCGAGAACGGUCUUAACGGGAGGCAGCUGAGGGCCCGCGAUGAUGGACUUAAUGUGGGCAAGUUAAUGUGGCGAAACCCCCGGGUUAGCCGUGAGAUUAAAGAACAAAGAACAAAGAUUAAAGAAUAAAGAGUAAAGAACAAAAAACAAAGAUUAAAGAAUAAAGAGUAAGGAACAAAGAACUUGCAUACUUGCAUGAUUUACGUUAAGCAUAUUCCUUGCUUUAUUGUUCAGGCAUAUUAGCAUCAUGAUUAUAGUUGGUUACUAUUCUGCUUGUCCUUUCUAUUAUGCCUGAGUUAGUCCUAGUGGGAAAGUCGGUGAGAUUGGGGCCGAACUCACUGGAAACUUUGUUGUAGUUCUCACCCCACCAUUUCCACAGAGCCGGGACCGAGUGAGCCGGCGAGCGACCGUUGUAAAGGUAUCGCACCAUAGUCAGAGGCCACCAGAGUUUGGUUAUUUCACAUUUUGUUAGUAGCUACCCUAUUGUCAUCUUUUGUACUUGAAGAUGUUUAAAGUAAAGAAAAAGAAUGUAAAGUUUUAUUUUGAGGCAAUGUGAUGUAAAAAGAAAUGAUGCAAGUGAUGUAAUGAAAUGUAAAGAAUCAUGAAUAUGAAGGUUAAAUGCAAUGUAUGUGAUCAAAAGUUGAAUCAUAGUACUGGUGAAGAUGUUUAGUUUCCUUUCUUUUACUCAUGGCUAUUGCUUACCCUCGUGUAAGCCAUAUUUGUAUAUUUCCGCUAGUGCUUUUCUCUACUUGAAAAUGUACAGGUGAUGAGCCUUGGGCGGACAGGGGAAACUCUGUCCGUUCGGCGUCUGUUUGACGUGCCGGGCCGGCCCAAAUUGGUAUCGGUUUCGGGGCGUGACACAUACUCACUAGUCUGUUUUCGCUUGUCGGUGGUCGCUCUACCGAAGCACGAGUCUCCAGAGUACUUCACUAGGGGCAGACGUAGUUGUCCCGCAGACGGUCUCGGUGUGCGAGUGUAGCUUCUCCCCACCUAUGAGAUUGAGAGUGAAUCGAGGGUUUAACCUACGGGUUAGCCAAGUAGAUUGGGUAAUAAACAUGAAUGGCAUAGUAGAAUUGCAUUAUUAUCUCGAGUAGACAGUGUAUGUUGUAGAUUGCAUUGCUAUGUACUUCUAUAUACUCAUGACCUGAUACUAGCAUGAUAGUAGUUGUUGCAUGCAUCGUUAUCAUUGGUGGCAUGAUAGAGUAGUUGCAUUUCAUUUCUCUAUAUAUCUAUCUAUCUCUCUAUCUGUGCCAGCUUAGACUAGUGGGUAAAUCGGCGGAGUCGGCGGCCGAACCCACUGGGAACUAUAUUUAUAUAGUUCUCACCCCGUGUGUUUUUGGGGGACAGGUACACACAGGGGCGAGCCGCGCGAGGAUCGCGACAAGGGCAUAGCGCCCUAAGUGAGUAGUUAGUAGCUUUCCUUUUUGCAUAUAGAAUACCCUCGUGUACUAGAAGAUGUAUAUUUUGGAUAGGCAGUGGAGAGCUAUGAUGUAUUUUGGGAAAAACAUGUAUUUACAUUUUGAAAGAUGAAAAUGUAAUGUAACCAAAUGAUGUAACUAUUGAAUGGUUGUAAUAGCUAGAUAUUUCUCUCUUUAUACACUUGUACAUUUACUCGUGGUUCUUGCUCUUAGUUGUAGAGCACUUGUGUGCAUCGUAUUGAUCAUGUAUAUUAUUUAAGCAUUUCCUGGGCGCUUAAUUGUACUUGAUCUAGUUGUUUAGCCUUGGGCGGACAGGGGAGGUCCUGUCUGUUCAGCGUUCGUCCGCCGCGCCCGGACCGGACCAAAUUGCUUGUAGACACUUUGAUAUGGAAGCGACCUAGUCACUUCGGUGAAGCACAACCUACCUCACAAAACUUUCUAAAUUGCUUGUAGACACUUGCAAUUAGGCCAACCUCUUGGAUCUCCAAGCUUGCUCCCAAGCUUUUCUUGCCCUAUGGCCUAUACAAGAGAUCCAUUCGUUACCACUUUCGAACCAUUAAAUAAUUUUUUUUCUUGAAAUCAAGUGGCCACACAUGAUUUCCUAAACCUCAAUUAGGGUUUUAAAGGGUUAAAAUAUUUUUAGAACUCUCCACAAGCAAACUCCUCUUUCAACCUAGGGUUUUUCCAAAACUAGAGGAGAAACCCAAAUCUCAAGUUAAAUCCUACUAUUUAUGGUCUAGAUUUAACUAGGAUUUACCAAAAUCCUAAAUCCAAGGAUUAACUCAAAACCCUAACCUUACAUUCCAAAACUCACCUCGAGUCGGAAGCGCUCCGAGCCACCAAGCGCCUAAGAGCUCGAUUCACUGCUCCUCCGAGCUUCCCGAGUUCGAUCUCCACCAAGAUCUCCAAAUCGGAGAGGAGGAAGAAGAGAGAGAGAGAUGAGCUCCUCUCUUUCUCUCAAUACGCAUGUGUGUGUGUGUGUGUGUGUGUGUGUGUGUGUGUUCUGGAGAGAAGGGGAUGGGGACCCCUUUAUAUAAGCCCCCAAUUAAAUUACCAAAUUACCUUUCAAAAUCAGUAUUUUGCAGGGCAGAGUACCGGUACUCGGGUUGGCGUACCAGUACUCAGGCAUCCAGUACCAGUACUCGAUUUUCGGUACCUCAAAACCCGAACGUUAGAUUUCCAAUUUUUCUACUGUGUAUCGGUAUUCAAUUUCCAGUACCGGUACCCAAUACAAAUCCAGUAUCGGUACUCAGGUUUGAUUCCUCAAAACCCGAGAGUUCGAAUUCCUCAUUUUGUAUUGCGUACCGGUACUCAGAUUCCAGUAAUAGUACUCAAUACAAAUUCUACAACUUACGCAGAUUUCAGCUUUUGGAUCGUUUUCGUGCCCGAUUUGCGCCUAAAAUACUCAAAUGCUCCCCAAUCUUCACCAGAACUACUUAAUUAAUAGCUUUUUAAGCUAGUUUACACCAAAACUUCAUAAUUGUACAAGUUCGGUAUGUUACAGUGAUAUUGCACUUUCAAUGGUUUACAUUUUGAAUUUACAGCCUUUAUGCUUCAAAUUUUAAAUGCUCGUCGUUUGUGGAUCCCCAUUGUGUAUCUGUACUGCUAUACGAUGCAUUCAUUGUGUGAAACUAUGUAUACAUCAUGAUGUAACAUCAAAUGUCAUUCGCUUUAGACUUUUCAUAAGUUUCCUGGAUAAAUUAAUACUCUCUGAUUUGCUUGACUGUUGUUCUACAAUUUUUCGAUUUAUUUUAGUUGGAAAGCUAGUUCACAUUUUUAACCUGAUUAUAACCUAAUCAUACUCAGUCUGCUCUAUUCUACCUGUCAAUUACUGUAAUAGCUGGGUGUCUUCUUACCCUUAUGAGUCAUGAGGCUGAGUAGCUGAGUGUGAAUAGCAAGUCUGAGUUUUUGAGUUCUCUGCUAGUAAGUCUAUGCUUGUUUUGAGGGUUUUCAUUGUUUAUUGUGCAGGAAUGCUCUGUUCUUGUAUUCAUGCUCUACUUCUAAUAUAUGCCGAUAUCAUUUAAGUUGGAUUUAUUUGACUUGACAGCUUCAUUGUGACCUUCUCAAAUAAAGCUCCUGACCUAGAGAAAGAUAGCGACGCUGUGCAAGAGUUUCUUGCUGACAUGGAAGAUGCUUUUCGGGCCCAUAAGCUUUGGGCCGGUAGUUCAGAAGAAGAGUUGGAAAGUGCUGGUGAGGUACGAUAGAUAUUCCAUUUUGAUUACUUGAAGUAUGAUAGUAAUUGUAAAUGCUGGCAAUACAAGAGAGAAAGAAUGACAUACUAGACAGUCUAAAGCUAGAAGGCUAAGAAUUUUGGUGUCAUAUAUAUGAAAUGGGGGGACAUUUUCUAAAGUUGAUUUAUCCUAUCAAAGAAUUUUCUGUUCUUCCUACACCUUUUUUAUAAAAAAGGCCUUCGAUUGUUGGGAAGCUUGUUCUAUUGCGUCCCAAGCGUCAUGAUCAGAUUGGCAGAAACAACUUCUUUCUGGGGUUAAGUACAUAUGGUUCUUCUCAGACCCCUGGUGGGGGUACCUUAUGCACCAGCUUCCGCUCUAACAACUAACUGAAUUCUUGUUGUUGGGAAAAGCAUGAUGGUUCAUGGACAUAAGAAUUUACCAUUAUAUCUUCUUGCAAGUAACAGAAUAGGAAGAAAAAAAUUAAACCCAGUAAGUGUAGUCUUAGUAUGGCUUCUAUUCUAGAAAAAUCUUUAUAUCCUACUUAUCUUUUCUGUAGCAAAUGGUACCAAAGAAGUUCUAUCAUUUAUAUAAAUUGCAUCAGCAUAUUGGCUUCCUAUUAGUUGCUGUAGGUCUUUAAUCUUCCCAUUUUUAACAGCACAUGAUGAUCUAGCUCACUAGCUGUAAAUGUCCAUAAAUGCAUAAAGCAAGAAUGGAUUCAUUGAUUGAUUAGUUUUCUAAUAUAACAUUUGCAAUCAGAGAAGUUUUAUUCAGUUGUAUGAACUAUAUCAAUUUCUGGUUUUUCUACUUGAUUCUCUGGCUUUUUUUCUUAUUUUUUAUUAUUUUUUUUAAGAACUAUUAGUUGAUCAGCUAUAGUGCCAUACAUCCAAUGGCACUUGAAUACACAUAGCAGAAGAUCCAUUGCUGGAUUGUUGUUUAUAGUAUGAGUCAAUCACUUAUUUAUUUCUUAGCAUGGUUAUGUUAAUAAUUGAAGACAACUGUGAAAAAACAAAGGAUACUUGUCAUUAUUAGCUAGCUUGCAAUGAAACCUUAACUAGAUGUUAAAAGACAUCUUUUUUUAAAAAAAAAAAACCCUAAAGGAAGUUACUAUGAAGUUUUUGUUUUUCAUGGCCAAACAAAACCUGACAGAUGAAUAGACUGCAAGCACUCCACCAUCCACCCAUACACUGCAUUAUAUAGAAUUUGUGUUUGUCAAAGAAGAAACGCAACAAUGUUAAACAAGGCCUAAGUUAAGUGACACGGAUCAAAUCUCCCUUUACAACUGUCUUCUAUUACUCUUGUUAAAAAUUCAGCAAAUAUUUGAAUCUCAAUACUGCAUUUUAAGUUUCGCAAGGCACAAACAUAUCUGGUUGUACUAUGAAGGACGACAACCUGUCUCUGUGUAUACUAUAAUUCAGAUGCUUUAUGUAUCUAUUGAAAUGUUUAUGGGUGAUUGCCAUCUCGCACUAAGCACUUCUUACCUACAAGUAUAAAUAUGUUGUCCCUGGUAUCACUUUUACCAUUUUAAACAAGUUUAGUGUGGCUUAGAGGUUGAAAGUCAUUUUGCUUGUUGGUUAUAAAAUUACCUUGCAAGCAUGAGCUCACAUAAAUUCUGUUGGACGUUAGUUAUUGUUUUGAGCUAGUUACCUUGCAAGCAUGAGCUCACAUAAAUUCUGUUGGACGUUAGUUAUUGUUUUGAGCGAGUGGCGAUACUUUAACUAUGAUGACCUCCUCUGUCAAGCCUAUUGAAGAGUGACAAAAUCCAUUGUCAUUCGUUUGUAUUGGAGGUUAUCAUACUUCAGUCUGCUUUCAGUAGCGCCAUAGUUGUAAGUCUCUAUACUUCUAUUCUAACACUCCUCAUUCCUUUGUUUUUAUCCGUAGGGACAAUUUGUGUGGUGGCAAUUACAUGAUUUAUCGUUGAAAGUCCCAAGGUUUUAAGUGUCCGUCGGCACGGGCCGUAUCCACCUUGCCGUACCAUGCCAAUAAGAUACCGGCACGAUACAGACCCCGUGUCGAUGGCACAGCUCAAAACCCUCUAUUCUAUAAAUUAGUAAGUAAUUUUCUCAAUAAAGUUCAAAAGAUAUGAUAAAAAGACAUAAUAAAUAGUUAGAAUAUUUUGUUGCUAAAGAAAAUAAAUAUUUCAUGCUAUUAUGUGUCGGCACACAAGAAAAUUUUUUUGACCGGCAUGCAUCGGCACGACUUGGCACGCACCGUGCCAUACCGUGCCGGUAAGUUUCCGGCAUGACCCCAUGCCACGGCACUUAAAUCCUUGAUUGAAACAAAUGCGCUUUCUAUAGUGUAUUUUUAGAGUGUCAACCUAUUUGUAUACCAUAUAUUUGGAUUUCCUUGUUCUAAUAACUGUGGCAGUUGCAUCUCUGUGUUGCAUGUGAGCAUAGCAUAUGCACAGUGUUGUAUUUAUCCUGAAUCAAAGGAACUCUAAGCUUCUAACAGUAGAGCAAGUGUUUUCAUUGAAUAUUUUUUAUAACUAAUCCUAUCAAUUUUUAUAAUUAUAAAAUAGUUUUCUUAAAAAAAUAAUUAUAAAAAUGGACCUUUAAAUGCGGUGAAUCAUUCACCGCAUUCAUAACUUUUAUUUAGCAGUAGAAAAAUAAUAAAAGCGGUGAACCAUUCACCGCUUUUACCAUCGUAGAAUUAUAAUAAAAAGGAAGAAAAAGAAAGAAAGCGGUGAAUGGUUCACCGCUUUUAAAAGCGGUGAAUCAUUCACCGCUUUUAUAAGACUAUAUCUACAAAUAAAAUUUUAACAGAUUUAUUUUUAAAAUAAAAUUUUAGAAGAGGACUAUUGAACUAAAAACCCCGUUUUCAGUCCUAGCAUCUUUUUACAAAGCUCCUACCACCUAAAAAGAGGAAGAUAUUGGCAAGGAUUGUUGUUCUUGUAAAAUUUAUCAACUCAAGAUAUGCUAAUCUUUACACGUUAUUUCUAUCAUUACCUCCAUGAUGAGUAUCCCUGCUUUUAUGCUGUCUUGCUCUGUGUUCAUCUCUGUAUGCUUCCCUGUUGUAAUGUGAAGACUGUUUCUGCUUACAGGGUCUUGAGAAAUAUGUCAUGACGAAACUAUUUAAUCGGGUCUUUGCGUCAGUUCCAGAAGAUGUGAACAGCGAUGAACAACUUUUUGAGAAAAUGGCUUUACUCCAACAAUUUGUGCGACCAGAAAAUUUGGAGAUCAAACCAGCGUUUCAUAAUGAAACAUCUUGGUUGGUGAGUACAAUAGGAGACUUGCUAAUAUUUGACAUGUCAAUGAUAACAUUAGAGUUAUAUGAUCAUAUGAUCCGAUGGUCCUCUUUUCUUUAGAUAAGACAAUGAAGUAUUUGACCUUUUGACAUGAAUUACCUGAAGUACCCACUGUUCUAUUACCAAAUUUUAAGUUUAAAAGAAUGAAUUAAUUUUUUUUCCCUCCAGUACAGCAUAGUAGCUUUUCUUCCUCAAUCUCUCAUUGGAGUAACUCGCGGAGAAGUUCAUUAAUAUGGUCUGCAAAAGGGAUUUAUCUUUUUAUUAAAUAUAUAUUAAAUAUAUAUGCACUUCUUCCUUUGUUAGCUAGUGUCUAUCUAGAGGUAAGUCAAAUGGAAAUAACUCUGGCAAUCAUGACUUUUUGAGGUAUUGUUGGUCUUGUGCACUUCUCACAUGACAAUCAAAUUAUUACCCUAGUUUUUGAAAGCAUAACUAGCCUUUGCUUUGGACAGUUUGUGUGUCAUGCCCCCACCCACAACCGAAGCCUACCUCAAGCACGUGCACAGACUCGCCGUGUGUACAAGAUUGCCGCCCGCACACACGUAGGUCAACAACCAACCAAAUUUUGUCACUAUUAUACAUCACAAUAUAGUAGAUGAAAUACAAGUUGAUGGGUGCCAACAACAUAAACAACUAACAACUAAACUUAAACAUCAUACAUUUAACAUCUAUACAUCAACCUCAAAAUGGAUACAUCUCUAGUACAUGUUCAUCUUUCAAGUUAAAUAUAUAAACUUGGCUAAGAUUAAAUAAAUCAUCAUCUGACAACAUAAAUCUCCAAAACAUAUGAAGAGGGACAACCUCUACUUGUUCCAACAUAGGUAGGACGACACUAGCUAUCAGAUGACUCCCUUUCCAUGGUCCUGGGCUUCCCUACCUGACAAAGGCUCUAAAAUAGAAAAACAAGAAAGACAGGUAGUGAAAACUAUGAAAUAUAGUUUCCAAUAGGUAUCGCCGCUGAGAGGGGCAGACUAUACUACUAGGUUAGUUGAGGCAUGAGUAGUAAUAGUAGUGAUUGGAAUAGUGGCAACUAUGCUAAAGGAAGCAUGAUAAAAGUAAUACUACUAUUGUAAGGAAGUGAAUUCUCGAAAUCCGAAGAUGGUACUUCAUCCAGGAUCGACUAACUGUCGAGAAAAUACCCUUUGUGGGAGUUGAAAAUGUCCAAAACACAAAAAGUGCUUUGGAGUUGAGUCCGCGAGAGCAAAUAGGCAGAUUUUUGCUCUCGGGGACCGGUCCCUGGAAGGGAGGACCGGUCCCCGUAGUUGAUGGUCGCGGGGGAGGUCGAUGCGACCGGUCCCUGGCUGAGGGGACCGGUCCCCGUGUGCGACACCCGCGAGAGGAAGCCAAAAUUUGGCUAAGUCCUGAAAGUUCCCCGUUCGGGAACCAGUCUCUCAGGAAAGACCUGUCUCCCACGGACCGGUCCUUCGGGUGAGGACCAGUUCCCGUGUGCGAAAAGUCCCCAGCCUGCAGGGAGGGCUCUCGGGGACUGGUCUCCCCGACCAGGGACCGGUCCCUCUGGGCGAAAACAGCCCAAUGACAGCUGUGUGAGAGAUAAAAAGUUGAGGGGUCUAAAUGCAAAAUGGCCUUUAUUAGAGAGGGCUGAGCCCCCUCUCUCCCUCACACUCUCAUAUCCCCUCUCCAUCUCUCUCUCAUUUCUCUCUUGCUCUCUCUCUCUCUAGAAAAGAAAGGAGAAGAAGAAGAACAAGAAGGAGAGGAAGGAAAAGAAGGAGAAGAACAAGGAGGAGAAAAAGGAGAUCAAGAGGAAGGCCUUGGACACCUUCAUCUCCCUCUACUCUUCUCUUUGGUGUAGCACAAGAGGUAAGCUCUUGAACCCUAGCUUCUAGAAUUUGGGGUUUUGGGUUUUUAUGCUUUGGAAUGGGUCAAAUGGACCCUAAGCAUGCUUCUAAAUAGAUCAAUCCUAAGAAUCUAGGGAUUUAUUGGAUGGUUUGCUAUGGGUGCAAACCUAGGGCUCCAAAAUGGGGUUUUUGUGAAAGUAUGAGAUUGAUCUCAUUUGAAGCCUUGGAAACUCUAUUGUUAGGUCACAAAACGUGGGGGCGAAGUCGAUUUUGGCAUUCGGCGAGCCGGCGUGAAGUUCUCGGCAAAAUAGGGCCGGGUUAGCAUUGAUUUGGGCAAGGAAGGCUAAUGCCUUUUCGUAAAGUUUGCCGAGAAGGAUCUCCAAAGCCUCUACAUCGAUUAAAGGUGGGGGGUGCCAUCCCGAAGCUUUCGAACUCCUUUCUAUGUCUUAGAUUGCAUUUAAUCUCAUCUCUUACAUGUUGCAUUGUAGGAUUGCAUAGUAGCUCCCUUCCUUAUGCUUUCUAAAUGAUAACCUAGUGUACUUGGAACGCUUGGUGACUUAGAUAGGUGAAGAUUGGGUCGGAACAUGGAUCCUAUGAUGCGAGAGAAAAGAGAUGAACCCGAUGGGGGUGUUGAUGACAUAGAAAGUAGUGUUAAUGUCAAAGAACAAAUGAGUGGCAUCCAAAUGUUAAAUGAUGACAAGUGGCAUUAAUGUAGUGUAAAUAACACUAGAGGUUUGAGAACCUAGGAAUAGGUGGAUCCCUUAGAAAAUGCCUUGUGGACAAGAACUUAGUAAACCUAAGUAACCUCACAUGGAGAGGUCGUCGGUGAGUCGAUUGAGACAUUGACCCUAGUUGAGACGUCGUAAAAUCCUGAAAACGGAUUUGAAGCACCGUAACAGCAAAACGAAGACCCUUUUUCCAUGGGGCUGCGAAGCGAUGCGCGGUUGGUGCGCAACUACAAGUUCCGACGGAACCAGGCGCUUGAUGCCGCGGGAGGCCGAUUGCAAGUGUCGACAAGCAAUCGGAACGCGUGUUAAGGUGGGUUGUGCUUACCGAAGCAUAGGUCGCCUUUAUUGUCUAGCAGUUAAGAAGUUUUGUGUUGAUGCAUAUAGUGUUGAUAAGGCGUGAUAAUGGAUUGUAAUGCAGUGAUAAUUAUGCAUUGUUAAUGUAAAUGCUAAUAGAAAUCCAUAGUGAGCAAUUUACAUUAAUACUAGUAAGCAUAUAAUAAAUGUAAGCAUGAUAAUAAUGAUAUGUAAAUGCUAAAGUAGAUGCCAUAUAAAAGGUUAUUAUGCAUGUAAACUCGAAGAAAGCAUGUAAGCAUAAUGCAGUCACGAAUGAAAUGAAUGUUGAUAGACAUAAGUAAAAAGCUAAUAGAUGAAAUAAAUGAUUGUGAGAUUUAUUGCGAUGAAUAGCUUGUGAGAUUAUAUAUGCAUGUGAACUUGUGAUACUCAAAUUGCCGUCAGAGAACAUGACAUUGGAAUAGAAACGUGAAAACCAUAGAAUACCGAUGGAAAUAGGUCUGUCAAAUAGAUCGAGUGGCAUCUAACCUAGUGUUGAGUAAACAUAGGUUAAACAGGAAUCAUAUCGCAACUAGUGUUAAUAAACAUAGGUGGACAUAGUGAUGUUGAACCUAUUGUUAGUGAACAUAGGUUGAACUAGUAAACCUAGAGUUUUAUAACCUAGUUGUGGUAUAGUAAACUAGAGUGGCAAUUUGAAUCUAGGUUUUUGAGUAUAGUGGUAGCAACCACUAGGAUUUCUAGUCGACAACAUAGGGUUGGUAUGCAUCGACCUGUGGAAGUGGAUUCGCAGAAUCCCAGAACUUGUGCUAUGCUAACCUUGGUAUCAAGGCUAGGGCGUGUGCGGACGAUUUCGCCACCGAGGUUGAUACCAAGGAUGGAUUGGGUGAGGUGCAGAGAUCACGCCGGGGCUUGACCAUUGUCGUGGCGUGUGCGACGAUUUCGCCGCCGAUGGUUAAGCCAUUUGUGGAUUAUGCCGCCAGAUCGACUUGGCUAUUGUGUGGGUGAGGUGCGAUUCGUUCGCCGCCAGAUGGCCAAGUCAAGGGACUUGAACUAGUGUUCGGGUGUGCGACGAUUUCGCCGCCAGCUGUUAAGUCACCGAGGGCGGCCAGUGGCGGGACUAUCGCGGAUGUUGACUCGAGGCCGAGCGGGUGGUUAGCUUGAUUAGUAAUAGAAACCUAAAGGUAAAGGCUGAGGUAAUAGAAACCUUAGAGUAAUGUGAAUUUGAGUUGUGAACUGAGGUAAUAGAAACCUUAGAUAAAGAAAUAUGAGCUAAGUACCUAAGUAAAAGGUAGAAUCAAAUGAUCUUAGAUGGUCAUAGAGUUGCAUGACUUGCAUAUUGCAUAUGUUAGGCCUAACAUGUAUUUCAAUUGAAUAUUUUGCAUUGUAUAUUGUUGAAAUAACAUGUUGCAUGGGCUACUUAAACCUUUUGGUCGAGCUUUUCCUUGGGUGGCCGUACCCACUGGAACAUGGAGUUGGUUCUCACCCACGUUGUUUUGGGGUGUUUACAGGUUGUACGAGUGCGGGCCGGGCGGCGCGAGCGAGGCAGUAGUCGUAGAUAGGCCUACCCAGAGACCAGAGCUAGCAGUACCCCGUCGACAUAGCUUAGGGGUUAAGGAAUGAAAGGAACAUAAUGUAUCAAAUUUGUAAUGAGUAAUUUGUAAUAACUAGAUUGCAUUUGGAUGAAAAGGAAUGUAAAAAGAAUUGUAAUGUAAAAAUAUGUGAAUGUGAAUGUAUGUAAUAAUAUAGGAUGUGUUAUGUUGUUGAUACCUUCCUUAUGCAAUCUGUUUGUUGAAUACUGUUCCUGGUUGGAACCUUCGUAUUGUAUUGAUUGCGUUGCCUUGAAUGUACAGGGGAGACUCUGUCCGCAGUACAGGGGAAACCCUGUCCAUUCGGCGCUGUCGGCGGCGCCGCGAACCUGACCAAAGAGGCGGGGGUCGCGGGUCGUGACAACUUCGGUCAAUUUGACUGAAGUUCAGUAUAACGCACUGGGAAUUCAGUACACUAUAUUAACGGAGGGAGUCUGUCACACCCCAAUAAUCUCACAUCGGAUAGGAAUGAGGAUGUGAUUAGGUAUAUAUGAGACUUAGACACUAAUAAUAAUAACUAGGCUUAAACAUUUUGGGCUGGUGUUUGGGCCUAACGAGUUAUUGUUGCUAGUGGGCUGGGUCAUUACAUCUCUUCGAUCUUUGAACCAAGGGUUUGGGCUUAGUCUCCAACCCUAAGGAGAAUUUUCCAAGUCAUCAAAAUCUUCAAAAAUCCUUAUAUUAAAGUUCUCUAAAAAUCAUAUGAAAAUAGGGAGAAAUUACCUAAAUUGGUAAUUUCUUCUUGUAACCUCAAUUAGAGUUGUUGGGGCUUCUAAUCCAACCUACAUGAAGGUUUCUAACCUAUUAAUUUCAGCUAAAAGCCCUCAAAUUGGAGAACCCCAAUUUAAACCCUAAUUUGUCAUGUACUAUCAAAUCCCUAAAAUACCCAAAAAUCUUCAAAUUAGCGGCUCAAAUCAAGUGAACUAACCUCUAAAACAAGAUUAAUCCACAUUCAAGAUGAAGAGGUUGUUGAUUGGAAGCUCCAAAGCCAUACCUCUUCAUAAUUCCUAGCUCCAACUCCAAGCUUGUGGGAGGUUGAAGCACCUUGAGGAAGGAAAUAGAGAAGAAGAAAACUAGAUGAAGAGGUUGAUGAAUGGAAGCUCCAAGCCAUACCUCUUCUCAAUUCCUAGCUCCAACUCCAAGCUUGUGGGAGGCUCAAGCUCCUUGAGGAAGGAAAUAGAGAAGGAGAAAAAAGAUUAAUGGAGAAAGAGUGAAGAAGAGAGGUAGAAGAUUGAAAAAGAUGGAGAAGAGGAAGAAAAACUUAGCCAAUUCUCUUGACAAGAAGAGAAAUGAGGGCGAAAGAGAGUUUGGAGGGUAUUUAUAGAUGUAACAAUAUCCAACUAGGUCCCCCGAACUUGAGAAAUUGCCAUGAGCAACUUCAGCCUUUAUGCUAGGUUUCGGGUUGCCGAAAAUCCCAGGUGACCCCUCCUAGGCUUUUUGGGUUGAGCGUCCGAAUGUUGAUCUGCGCAUUCGCCGAACUGUUCGGACAUCCGCAGGGCAAUUUGGGUACCUGAAUAAUUAACCAUCUGAGUUAUCUUCCUGUUGGGUAGAGCGUCCGCUAGGAAGCUGGCGCUGACCGGACGAUCUGCAUGUUUCGGGCACCCGAAUCAUUUUUCUAUGCGUUCGGAAGUUCGGGGAAAAAACUAAUUUUCACUUCUCCCAAAACUCCGAUUCGAUUCGAAUCAACUCCAAAUCAAUUCUAACUCAGCCUAAACUUCCCCAAAUCCAUUCUUGUCAUGUCUAGCACGACUUUUAUCCUUAUUUUGCCAAUUUGCCAACGUUUGAUACAUUACAGUGAAUUUCAGUACACUAAAUUGUGACUUGUUUAGUUUUGAUCUUAAAUUACUAAAUUGGAAAAGUCAUCAGCUUUUUAUCUCUCAAUUAUUAUCAUAACAUAAAAGGCUAUCUUUUGUAAAUUUUCUUGUGCAUUAGACUCUCUAUUGUCUUCUCAACUGUUACAAGUGAAAAAUGCUUUGCUAGAUCUUGGUAGAAAUGUACAGAAUUUUUUUGAACUAUGGACCAUUUUGAAUUGGCUACCCAAUCCUUCAAAAUUUUGAUUUUACUACCCAACCUUUUAAUUUUUUUGAUUUACAUCAGUCAAUGAUAGUUUAACUUCAAAAUCUGAAAGUGUCGAUUAUCUUUACUGGUUUAUUUAGUAUACUUAAUGCAAUUCUCACAGCUAUAAAUUUAUUAAAAUAAGUAACUAGAUUAAUUGAAGCUAAACUAUCGUUGAUUGAGGUAAAUCAAACAAAUUAAAAGGUUGGGUAGUAAAAUUAAAAUUUUGAAAUGUUGGGUAGCCAAUUCGAAAUUGUCACGCCCUGCAACCAACCGCCAAUUUGGACCAGGUCGCGGCGCUGGCGACAGACCGCCGAACGGACCGGGGUUUCCCCUGUACGCGGACAGAGUCUCCCCUGUACGUUCUAGGCGUCGCAAUCCAAACAAUCAACGAAUGUCCCAACAAGGAACGGAUACCAAUCCAGAUUGCAAAGGAAGUAUCAAAUACAUAAAAACUAACUGCUAUUACAAGCAUUCAUUUUCAUUCACUUAGUACAUUUCAAUUCAGUUUAUAUUUUACUUUCACUUACAAUCAUUUGCUUCACAAGUUUAAUACAUCUUGCCUUCUAGUCCCCUAAGCUGGACUGCCUCAGGGUACUGCUACCUCGGUCUCUGUGGUAGGGCGCUAUCUACUGAGCUACGCCCUCGCCUUGCGCCACCGCGCUGCACACGUACAACCUGAAAACCCUGAAACAACGUGGGGUGAGAACCAACUCCAUGGUUCCCAGUGGGUACGGCCACCCAAGGGAAAAGCUCGACCGAUAGGUCCGAGGAGGCACUGCAACAUGUUAGUUCAACAAUAUACAAGAGAUAUAUAUUCAAUUGAAAUACAUGCCAUGCCUCACGAUAUGCGAUAUGGAAAUCAUGCAACUCUAUGCAAUAAUUAGUAGAUCAUCUGAUCCUACUCAUUACUUAGCUACUCUUAGCUAUAUCUUUACUCUAAGGUUUCUAUUACCUCAUGAUCUCAACUCAGUCCACUAGCCUCUAAGGUCUCUGUAAGAUAUCGAAAUUCGACGAUAUUGGCUAACUUUGGCCAAAUGGACCAAAGUGAGCGAUUAAACGAAUUGGACGAGUUCCAUUCGGUGUUUCAAUAUGUUUGGAAGAGCAAAAAUGAGUUCCAAAAGUGUUGGAAUAGUUUUAGCGUUAUUGGACGCGAAAAGAAAUCAAAACAGAUUGAAAAUCAGCAAUCUGGAGCUGUUGUACCGGUACAAGGGUGAUGGCUGUACCGGUACAACCAUCGCAGCCAGGCUGCGUAAUCUCGGGUUCGAAGGCUUCAGGCGCUGUACCGGUACAAGGCUGGCUUGUACCGGUACAAGCUCUGCGAAACAGGCAAACCCGAGGCUCGGUUUGCGCUCGGUUUAAGGGCCUGUACCGGUACAAGGUCCCGUGUACCGGUACAAGGGCGCGGCAGCAGUGGGUUAAGUUGCAAAAUCUGUUAAAAGGAGGGCUUUUUAGCAUUUUGUUACAAUAGAGGUUAUAUCCCUCUUACUCUCAGCCCUCUUCCCUCUCACUCUCACAGCCCCUCUCUCUCUCUAGCUCUCUCUCUCUCUAACCGGUUGAAGGAGAAGAAGGAGAAAAGGAAAAAGAGAGGAAAAAGAAGGAAAAAGAGAGGAAGAAAAGGAAGGAGAAGAAGGAGAAGAAGGUUUUGGAGCUCUUCUUCACCUCAUUCUUGGCUUAGGGCUUGCUUUGGAGCAAACCCUAGAGGUAAGCCUUAACCCUAGUUUUGGAUUUCUAGGGUUUGGAUGGCUUUUGUUGCUUUUAAUGGUUCAAAUGGAACCUAAUGAGUUUAGAGAUGAUGGAUCUAGCUCACAUUGAGGCUAGCAUCCAUGGUUUUCCUCAUAGAUGCUAAACCUAGGUUUUAGAAAGGGUUAUGUUGCUUAAGAAUGGUUUAAAUGGAAACCAUUGAAGCUUAAGAGAAGGUUCAAUCCCAAAUUUGGAGCUUGAAACCAUGAUUUCUCUAUUGUUGCUAAACCUAGGGUUAGAUUUGGGGUUUUUGGAAAUAUAAGGGUUUGAUCUCUUUUGAGGGGUUAGAAACCUAAUUGCUAUGCUUAUAAACGCGUAGGCGAAGACGGUUCGUCGAUCCGACAAGUGGGUGCGAAGAUAUCGCCAUUUGUUGUGCUAAGGGGUUAGAGCUAACCCAACAAAAAUUAAGCGGCGACAAGACUAGCACGAGAACGCGUCUCGGAGUGUUUUCGGCAUCACCCAAGGUGGGGGAGUGCCAUACCGAAGUCAUCGGGCAACCUUCUAUGUCCAAGUUUAAUGUUGAUCUAAUUGCAUCUUGUUAUAUCCAUAUAGGGUUAGGAAAUGAUUAUUGUUGCUUAUACUUGCAUGCUAGUAAUUCAAUAAAUAUGUUUUGCUUGGUUGGUUAUGAUCUAGUAUGCAUGAUGAUUGUUGAUGAAAACUACAUGUUGAGAAUCUAGACCCUAUAUGAGAUGAUUAAUGUUUAUGUUGCUAAAGAACUAGUAUGAUGAAACUAGUGUUAAUAAUGAGUCAAAAUUGAUGAGUGGCAUCUAGUUUAGAAAACUAUGACAAGUGGCAUCUAGUUAGAAAAACUAUGAUGAUUGACAUUGAUGAUGUUUCCUUGAGAUGAUCACAUUAGUGUAGUUGAGACACUAUGAGAUUGGGUACAAGUAUACCUUGAUUCCAUGAUGAUAUUACCCUCAAAGGGGUUGUUGCUGUUGCUCGUGAGAUGAUCUUGCUCACAUUGCCUGUCUGCGCUUGGUGGGGUCGCUCCCCUCAAGUUGUGCGCUCCGGAGUUUGGUCACUAGAGAGGCAGCCCUGCUCGCUGCUCGGAUAGCCGCUUGUUAUCCGCAGGCGUACUCGGGGAUCGUCCAGCUUGGCAUCCCUAGGAGAUUGAUAUGUGAGCAUUGCUUGUGAACCUUGCGUUCACUUGAGGAUUGGGUUACCCAUUGAGUCUUACCCAUGAUUGAUGUUCAUAGUAGCUAUUCAUUGUUCAUAUCAGCUUACUUGCUUACCUAGUAGCAUGUUUUAUAGUUACUAUGAUAGCUGUUGUAGAUGUUGAUAGUUGCUUACUUACCCAGCUUUGUUUAUUGUUCAUGCAUUCAUGAUUCCAGAUUGAGGCAUAGCUUGAUAUAGUUGUUUACAUACCCGCUUUCCGUUCAGCUUAGUUUUAUAUAUAUAUUGCAUAUAUAUCUCUCUAUGCCUACUUGAGACCUAGUGGGUAGAUCGGCGGAGUCGGCGGCCGAACCCACUGGGAACUAUUCGUAGUUCUCACCCCCGUGUGGCUUUGGGGGUACAGGUACACAGGACAGCGGGCCUUCGUCGAUGGAUCGCGGCAAGGGCAUAGCGCCCUAGCAGUUGGUUGAUAGCUUUACCUUCCCUACUUGCAUUAGCUCUACCCUGUACUUUUGGUUAUACAUUUUGAGAGUAGAUGUUGUAUAGGGUGAGGUUUUGGAGAGCUUAUGAUGUAUAUUCAUUUUGGAUAAAGAACGCAAGUUGUAUCAAAGUUUAAAGUUAAAUGAAAUCGAAAGAGGUUAAAUGUUUCAAUGAUGUCUCAAAUAGCUAAGUUGCUCUCUUUUGUAUACUUGUAUGGUUUUACUUGUAUCGCUUGCUCUAGUUGGUUGUAGCACUGUUUGUGCUCUCGUUUAUCGUUGUUUGAUUGUGUAUGUAUUCAAGUUGUAUUCCUGGGGACUUGUUGUACACAAUCUGUUGCUUAGCCUUGGGCGGACAGGGGAAACUCCGUCCGUUCGGCGGUCGCGCCACCGCCCUCGAACCGGACCAAAUUGGCACCGUUUUCGGGCCGCGCGGUUGGGGCGUGACAGUCUCUAUUACCUUAGCUCAAGCCUCUAUCUCUAGCUCAUGAGGGUUCCUCUACCCUAUCACAGCUAACCACACGACUCGGCUCCGAGUCAAUUAUCCGCGGAUAGCCCGCGCGCUGGCUGCUCAUCAGCCUACCGCCCUAUCUGUCUCAGCCCCCUAGCGGCGAAGUCGUCGCACACGCUAAGCUCGGCUCCAGUCGCACGACUUGACCAACCGGUGGCGAUUGCGUUGCACUUACCCAGCGUGAGCUCGAGUCCUGACACAUCGUCUGGCGGCGAACGGAUCGCGCCACACCCAACAACGGUACAUGUCAGACUUAGCCACCUGGAGGCACCCGCAUCGUACUUACCCAGCAUGGAUUCAGUCUCCUCUGGCGGUCUGAUCCUCAAAUGGCCUAACCAUCCUGGCGGCGAAAUCGUCGCACAAACGCCAUGGCAAUGGUUCAAGCCCCGGGCGGUGAUCUCCAUGUGAUCGGCCCCAAUCCUCCCUCGGUACCAAGCUCGGCGGCGAAGUCGUCGCACACACGCCCUAGCUUCUACCAGGGUCAUCACAAGUCAUGGGAUUCCAGAAUCCACUUUCACAGGUCGAGAGUCCAUAGCCAACCCUAUAUUUUCGACCUAGCUCAACCUAGUGGCUGUACCACUAUACUCGUCAACCUAGGUUCCAAUACUCUAGGUUCUAUGUCCAUGUCACUUAACCUAGAUACACUUGCUAGGUUCUUGUCAUCUUUCCCUAGAUGUCUCCUUCUAGGUUUACUAGUUCGGCCUAGGUUUACUAACACUAGGUUCGAUGCCACACCUAGAUUGUUCGACUCUAGGUUCACUUGUUUAACCUAUGUUCUUUAACACUAGGUUAGAUGCCACUCGAUCUAUCUGACAACCUAGUUGCCCAAUCAACUCUACUCACACUAGAGUUAUUUUCUAGUUCACAUGCAUAUUCUCCUAGCAUAUUACUUAAUGCCGAUUAUGCAUUCUUUACUUUAGCUAACAUUAUUCGCAUGUCACGUCAGCGUUUUAACGUCUCAUUCAUCAUGCUUCUUGUCCUUGUCUACAUGCGCAUGCAUCAAUAUGGAGAUACAUUGCUAAGACAUAAAGGGCGACCUAGUCGCUUCGGUAAGCAUAACCCACCUUUAGUUAGCCUUCUGAUUGCUCGUCGACACUUGCAAUCGGCCUCCCGCGGCACUCGGCACCCAUUUGGGGCCCGAUCUCAUAGUUGCUCUCCAAGAGCGCGCCGUAUCGCCGUCUCAAGUGCUAGCGAUCUUCGCCCUGCCUCUACGGUGCUCGGGACCCAAUCUCACAAUUUAUGGACGUCGCCUCGGCCCUCCAGGCGGAAACGAAGCUCCGAGCGCCCGUUUCUUCAGUAUCCUCGCAACGGCUUGUCGGAUUGCCGAACCGACUUCGCCAACGUGUUUCGUUACCUACCAAUUAGGUUUACAAAGGGUCAAAUGAGAUCAAACUCACCUAUUUACAAAAACCCCAUUUUGGAUGCCCUAGAUGCCAUUAAUACCAAACCCACCAAAUCGAUCUAUGAUUUGGGCCUAGUCCAUCAAAAUUGCAUGCUAGGGUUCCAAAUAAACCAUUUCUAGAGAUCAAAAUCCUAUCUUUAAGGAUUUACCAAGAGAAGCCAUGAAACUUACCUCUCAAAGAGCUCCAUGGAGAGAAGAAGAAGACGAAGAUGAAGAUGAGGAAGAGGAUCUCCUCCUUAGUCCUCUUCUUCUUUUCCUUUCCUUUCUCUUUUUCUUCUUCUCUUUUCUCUUUUCUUUCUUUUCUUUUUUUCCCCUUCGCACGAUUAGAGGGAGAGAGAGAGAGAGAGUGGCUGAGGGAGUGAGAGAGAGAGAGAGGAAAGAUCUCUCUCUAAUACUCUCUCUCAUUUUGUAACAAUAUCCCCAAAGGCCCCUCCACUUUUCACCUCUUACACAACCCCCUACUGGGCAUUCUGCGCGCGGAGGGACCGGUCUCCCCGACCUGGGAUCGGUCCCCGGGGCCUCCCCCCCGCGGACACGCGUUCGGGAACCGGUCCCUCCCUGAGAGACCGGUCCUCGGGAGACCGGUUCCUCUCAGAGAGACCGGUUCCGGAGAGCUAAACUUUCGGGACUUAGCUGAUUUUCGGCCAUUCUCGCGGGUGUCGCAGGCUGGGACCGGUCCCUCCUCUGCCAGGGACCGGUUGCAUCAGCAACUCCACAGCCUUCAGCUGAUGGGACCGGUCUCUCACCUCCAGAGACCGGUCCCCGAGAGCAACCUCAGCCCAAAAAUGCAGAUUGUAUUAUUUGCUCUCGCGGACUCUAUUCUAAUGCACUUCUUUGGUUUCGUGCACCCCAAGCUUUUCCAAAGCUUAUCAACUCGAGCCUUGGUCGAUUCUGGACGAAGCACGACUCUCGGAUUUGGAGAAUUCCUGGGUAUGACAGAAAUGGUCUUAGUUCACAUUUUUACCCUCGAUAUAGCUUAAUUAGAGUAGUUCUUCACAGAACUUUUUGUUAAUUAAGAUUCUACUUGCUUCUUGUGCAGACAUGGGAGAGUAAACUUUUAUAUGAUUGUAUUCUUGCCUGUUAUAGGAGAUUUGUCAUUAAUAUGCCUUAUGCAGUAAAUUUUUUCAAGUCAGAGAACAAUAUAAUAAAUUGUUGCGGUUGUGUUGCCCAUAACUUCAUGCUCACACUCGAAAGUUCGCAACAACAGGUCGCUGCUGUAGUUAUGCUAUUUUAUUUUGUUCAUUUAUAAUCUUCUAAUGUUUUUGUCAUAUUUGAUGGUCACUACUGGUACUACCGUUUUUAUUUGUCUCCACUGAUUAAUGCUUUGACUACCAGUAAAUGAAUAAAUAAACACCCCGUGAAAGCAGACUUCCUUGCGGAGCUCUGCACCUGCCCAUAAACACAUUUAAAAAUUGUAGUUUCUCUCCUCUAAAUAUUUAAAACAUGAAUGCACCAGUGAAUACUGAUGUGAAAGUCUAAAACUGACGCAUGAAUGCAUGCAUGUGGGCACACAUGCGUGCAUGCAUGCAUCCAUGUGUGCUAUAUUCAUGUAUUUAUGUGAAAUGAAAUGUAUAUGUGUGCAGUGCGGUUCAAUGUACUAAUACGUCUAUUUUUACUUGUCGUAUAGCUUGCACAGAAGGAACUGCAGAAGAUUAAUAUGUACAAGGCUCCUAGAGAUAAGCUUGUUUGUAUCCUCAAUUGUUGCAAAGUUAUUAAUAACUUACUGUUAAAUGUUUUUAUUGCAUCGGAUGAGAACCCUCCCGGAGCUGAUGAAUUUCUUCCAGUCCUCAUUUAUGUGAUUAUUAAGGUAAUUUCAGUUUCAAGCAUAGACAUGGUUGUAGAGUCAAUGUAGUAAGUCACCUGGUAAGGCAUAAUUCAGCAAUGCACUGCUUGAAUGCACCCUCUUUGGUGCUUUAGAUGGUCUGAAAAUGCUAGACACUUCCUCCAAUCUAUAAAAUGGCGAUGGGAACUCUACACUGAAGAAGCAUUUGACCAGAUGCUGCUUUGCUGGUGGUUCCCACAACCAUUUCAAAGCAUUGAAGGUAGGGGCUUCCGAAGUGCAUUCGGAUUUUUCGGGCUCUCUAAAGAAUCAUAUUGGUGUGUUUUGGCAACACCAACUGAGGCCUAAGUUCACUUGUUUCUACACUGCAAGAUCAGGCCAGUGUUAAAUUUACAGACUAUAUCUUCCACAAUUAUAAGUGUAUGCUAACUCAGCAUCAAUUUCAUUACAUCAUUGCGCUAUUAGAACUAAAAUUUGUUUACUUUUUUGCGACAUUUGUCACUUUGCUGGAAAAGGUCACUUUUUCAUGUUUAUAGAAAAGCUUAUGACUCCUGAUUUUAGAGCAACUGUUCUUCAGCAUUCUGUUAGUUUUCUAAUUUGUUAUUAAUGUGCGUUGCUUAUAACUUGUUGCUCAUUGUGUGAUCAAGGUUUAGAUUUUCGCUGUAGGUCAGUUUUUCAGAGUAGCUUUGAUUGCUCAUCUUGGAGAUGCUGCCAAAGUUGAUAGUGAGAAGCCAAGUUAUUUUGACUGGCUGUGAUCAAGGAUUAGCAUGCUGUUUGGCACAGUUGGCAUGUUCUGGAUUUGCCGUUGUGGCCGUUUUGUGUGUCAAUGCAUCCCAGCAUGCAAUCCUUGAGUCUUGGCCUUGUCCUAGAGGCAUGGUCUGUGCAAAUAGUGUGAAUAUAGUAAUGGGAAAUCCUUUUUUUCCAUGAUAAAAUAGAGGUAUUAGUGGCAUGUCCUAGAGAUAUUGUCACAGCCCGCGACCACUCGCCUAUUUGGCCGAGGUCGCGGCGCCGACAGCGCCGAACGGACAAGGUUUCUCUUGUACUGCGGACAGAGUCUCCCCUGUACGUUCAAGGCAUCGCAAUCAAUACAAUACGAAUGUUCCAACCAGGAACUGAUAUCAAUGAAGAUUGCAUAAUGGAAGGUAUCAAACAACAUAAACACAUCCUAUGUUAUUACACGCAUUCGCANUUUCUCCCAGAAAAUUCUAAAUCUUCUGUUUUCGCUCCGAUUUCAGCACAGGUCAUUCCCAACCUAUAUUUCGCUUCUCUAAAUCCGAUAAAAUAGUAUCUCAUACUAUUUUUAUUUAUUUUCACUUUUCUAUUUAAAAUCCGGUAUGUUACAUUCCACCGCAACCUUACCGGAACCAUCUAAAUGUACACCGUGACUUCAUGAUUUUAGAAGUUCGGUAUGUUACAGAUAUCGAAUUACUUCUGCAAUUUUUGAUACAGUAGAAGUAUUAUUUUUAAUAGUGUACUUGUGAAACAUUUGAAUAGUGGAAGGAUUUUCUUUUUUCCUCUUUUGAUGGGGAUGACCAAUAAGUUUGUAACCCCAUUAGUCUUCUUCCAUAAAAUUGCAUAGUAAAGUUGGCUAUAUGGAACAAAUACAAAGAUAAAUUGUUCAACAUUUGCAUUCAUGUGCUUGAGCUUGAAGCUUAAUAUUGAGUGGACUAAACCAAUUAGGAAAACAAGUAGUUUACGAGUAAGGCUAAUUGAGGAAGCCAUCAACUCAACUAUUUGAAAGAGACGAUGAUCAAAAGAGGGUUACCUCAAUUGGGUGCCUUACCACUCUAUUGAUUUAUUUUACACAUCAUAAUGCCUCUUUUUCAUGUAGAAACAUUUUUCUCUAUAUUUUUCUCAAUUGGUUGCUACAAACUUGGUUGCUAGAAACUUGAUUGCUACAAACUUGGUUGCUAGAAACUUGAUUGCUACAAACUUGGGUGCCUUACCACUCUAUAUUCUUAUUACUUGAUUGCUACAAACUUGCUACAAACUUGGUGGUGAAAACUUGUUGGGCAUUUAUUACUUGAUUGCUACAAAUUAUCAGCAUGUAUCUUUUUGUUAUAAUUCUUACUAAGACCUGGAGAUUUAUCUUUGUUUUUCAAGCAUCAUUUGAUGAUGAAGUUAAGAUUUGUAUAUUGGUAAUAUGUUGGACCACAUUUGAUAUCCUCUUUCUUAUGCAGGCAAACCCUCCACAGUUGCAUUCAAAUCUGUUAUACAUACAACGAUAUAGACGUAAAUCACGAUUAGUCUCUGAAGCUGCAUAUUUUUUCACUAAUAUCCUCUCCGCAGAAACUUUUAUUUGGAACAUUGAUGCACAAGCACUUUCAAUGGAUGAAAUUGAGUUCCAAAAGAAAAUGAAUUGUGCUAGAGAACAUUUGCUUGGUUUAUCAACUAACUCAGAAAAUCCCGUAAGUCAAACCAAACUUGAUGGCACGCAGAAAACAGAAGAAAUUUUGAAAACUAACAGGCUUUCGGACUGCUAUCUACCUGCAAUCAGGCAACAAAACAAUUCAAACCAAGCAAAUGAGGUAAGCAUGAAUUUAGGUGGCCAGAAUAUACUAAUUCCAAGGAAGCAAUCCGUUUCAGAUUUAGAGAAUAAAGGAAGCAGCGAUCUACUGAAGGAUGAUCACUUGAUCAGAUAUUUUCAGCAGUACCCUUUCCUAUAUGCUCGUGCUGGAGAUCUAUCAGUUGAGGAUGUAGAAAACCUCCUGAAUUGCUACAAAAAACUUGUUCUAAAGUAUAUAUCUCUUUCCAAAGGAAUGGGUGUUAUCAAUGAAUCUCUUCCUGGUCAAAACAUGCAAAUGCUGUCAAAAACUGAGACUCUGAAAGAAUUCGAUGAUGCGAAGGUGCUGGGGAUAAACAGUGAGAAAGAUGAAGGGAUUUACAGAGAAGAUGAUGUUUCAAUUGAAAAUUUGCUUUCUGGAGGAGAUGACUCGGAGACCAAGAGAACUAGCGGUGGAUUAGUUGAUAAUCCAAGUGCAGAGAGGGAGAAGGAAGUCUGUCCUUAGUCUUGAUGCACUUCACCACUUGUUUGAAAUGGGAAAUUUCUCUUAAUCCAUACUUUUAAAGCAGGGAAAUAAUCGUCUGCGCGAAAAGUGUUAUUCUAAACAAUUUGAUGUAUCAAAUCGAGCAUUUUACUGGUGUUUCAUUCCCCGUAUCAAAACCUCAUUAGAAGCAGAAACAAAUCCUUCCUCUGAAGAAACAGAUCGAGUAUUUCAGCAGUGCGCACAUGUGCUGGUAUGUAUACUCUUUCGAGCAUGAUCUUGUUUUAUAAGAUGGUCUCUCUUGUUUGACCUCAGAGGCAUGUGUCCCUGUUAACUUAUUCUUAGCUUGUGCAGCUUGUGCAGAUGUUCAUCCAUUUUUUUUUUGUAUGUUGUAAUAUUAAUGUGUAUCCGUUUUUAACAUUCCUGCCAUCUUAAUUGGAGCUCUGCUGGGAUUACUUCAUGAACACAGUGCGCUGCAUAUGGAAUCUGAUGCUUAAAUUACCUCUUAGGAAAUUUUAUAAACUAAUAAUAUUUCAAGAAGUUCUAAGCUGCCAAAACAAACUCAUCAUUAAUUUCAUGCUUAAGACUGCUAAUGUACCGUCUAUGCUCCUUAAACUGCUCGUUGGCUGUUAACUUUAACGUUGUGUAUGUUGUGUAAGAUAACAAAUUAAAUCAUAAUAAAUAUUGUUGGUCGUGAUCUAGACACAGGUCUCUCUGCGAGUUUUUGAAGCUCCUCGCUAGUUUUAUUUGUGAAUUAAAAUUUCAAGUGUCUUAAUUGUAUUAAAAUUAUUUGUAUUAAAAUUCGCAUUGCUUAUAUUUUUUUGUUCUUCGCUGGAAAAUAAUAUCAGAUAACUCAAGUGACUUAAAUUUUUUUUAGAAAAAGCCAUAAUAUCAAUUUAAAUAGAAAGGAAAUGAAUUUAAAUAUUUAUCAGUUUCCUGACAAAGGUUCCUUUGUUAAUGACUUGGCCAACUUGAACAUCUUAAAUUAUGUGCAUGAAUCAAUUGAACAACAUGUUACAAUACGCCGACACAUCAAGAGCAAGAAGUAAGGGCAGCACUUUUAGGAGCUCGUGAAGGCAGCAUUUUUAGGAACUUAUAGCAGUACUCCGAAAAGAUCACAAAGGAAAAUGAGAAGGCAUCCAAAUGAGAAUGGCUUUGCAACAUUACUAGGAUAAUUAAAGCAGAAUACAAGUGCUGUAAAUUGUUAGGAGGCAAACUCUGCUGUUGAUGCCGUAUUAAUGUGUAAAUUCCACCACAAGUCCCCGAACCCGAACGUUUUGGCCAAGUUUAAUGUUGAUUCUUGAACUUAUGCGUCACAUUCGAUAAUCAUACUUUUUAAAGUAUUUCACUUUAUUUACUUAAUUUUCUUCCUUCCUUAUUUACAACUAAAGGAAGGAACUGUAAAUAUUUUUGUGCAGCAUGCAUGUAGUGAACACUCAAACGCAUCUUGUAUUCCAUUUCCACCGUCCAUUGAGCAUAGGCUUUUGCAUAGAUAUUCGACAUUUGAAUUGUUCAUUAUCCGUUUGAGAUGAACGUUUUGCAUAGAUAUUUGACAUUUGAAUUGAAAGUAUGGGUUGGGAGAAGAGCUCAUGGAUGCAGGAGGCAUGGAUGUCAAGAUGCAUUUGGUGCAUGCAGUAUUUUCCAUCUAUGCAAAAACACUCUUUUAAGUAAAGCACUUUCAAAAGUUUCGUGUAUUGAUGAAUGUCUAACUAGUAUAGUCUUCUUCUCUGUUGUAUUCUCAGUUGUAAUAAUGGGCGUUCGAGUUCCUAGGAAUUGCUAGAUUGUCUCUGUAGCAUACCGGAUUUUAAAAUAAGGGUAAAAAUAAAAAUAGUGUGAGAUACUGUCAAGCCCCCGCCCCGAGCCCGCUACCAAUUUGGCAUUAUUCGGGCGCGGCGAGCGGACCGCCGAACGGACAGCACCUCCUCUGUCCGCCCAAGGCUCGAACUACUAGAUUGUGUACAACAAGUUCCCAGGAAACAACUUGGAUACAUACACAAUCAGCCAACCAUAACAAUUAUGAGAGCACAAACAGUGCUUAUCAAACAAGAGCAAGCAACACAUGUAAAGCAUACAAGUGAUAAAAGAGAGAUGUACUUAACUAUUAACUAAUUAACUUAUACAAUUAUUCAUUCUUUACAUUCAUACAAAAUGUAGGUACAAUCCACUCAAAACCUCACCCUAUACAUCGUCUACUCUCCAAAUAGGUAUAGGGUGUAACUAAUGCAUAAAGGAAGUAGCCUCUACCAAUGUCACUAGGGCGUUACGCUCUUGCCGCGAUCCUCACCGGGGACGCUCGAGCUCGGACCUGCAAUGUGGUGGAGUGAGAACUACGAAUAGUUCCCAGUGGGUUCGGCCGCCGACUCCGCCGAUCUCCCCACUAGGUCUUAAGCAGGCACAGAUAGAUAUGCAGAUAAAUAUAGAUAUAUAAACUGAAAGCAGUAACGGUAAUGAACAUCUAUGAACUAUAUUCUAUCAAUGCCUCAAUCCAGUAUAAUGCGUGCAUGGAACUCAUAGUAAGAAGGCUGGCUAUCCUACUACCAUGUUCAACAACAAGGUCAUUCAUUUGAUUACCCAAUCUCUCGGCGAACGCAAGGCUCGCUCACAGUCUCACGUCUCUAAGUCUCAUAGGAGAGGUGGCUAGCUAUUCACCUACCCCGAGACCGCCUGCGGACACUACACUGGUCCAAGGGCACUACACUGGCCCCCUCGCGUGCCAAACUCCGGAGUGCACUACCUGUGAGGAGCUACCUCCACAGGUGCAGACAGGCUAAGUGAGCUCGAUCCAAUCUCAUGAACUGGGAACACCCUAACCAACCAGGGGUGAUAGCAACAUAGUAUCUCACUAUACUAAUGUCCUCAUGCCGCUCUUGCACUACUUAAUGCCACUCGUUCAAUGUUUAAGAUUAACUAGAUGCCACUCGUUCUCUUGACAAGUUCUUGAUACACUAGUUUCCAAUACACUAGGUUCAUAUUCACAUAAACAUAUUCAUCAUAUAUAGGGCGAACUAUCUCAUAAUAUUUAACUCAUGCAUACUAGGUUUUCAUUCAUGGUAUCCACAACCUAAAACAUCACUAGCAUGCAAGGAUAUGCACAAUCACAUUUAACACCCUAUAAUGCUAUAUCGCAAUAUGUAAAUGAUCGACACUAGUACUCAGACAUAAAGAGCAGCCCGACUGCUUCGGGAUGGCACUCCCCCACCUCGUGGUGAUGUCGUGACUCUUCGAUUGCGAUUUGCCGACGUCUCGACGCCUCGUUGGCCUUCUAGGUGAGAACGAAGCUCCGGAGGUCUUCUUGGCGAUAACUUCGCACCUACUCGACGGAUCGACGAACCGUCUCCGCCUACACGUUCAGGGACCUAGCAAUUAGGUUUGCGACCAUUCAAAUUAGAUCAAAACCCUAUAUUUGCCAAAAUCCCAAAUCGAAGCCCUAGAUCUCGAUAUUGGAGAAAUCCGCGGUGCGAGCUUCGAUUUGGAGCUCGAACCUUCUCCCUAGCUCCAAUAGGUUCCAUUCGAACCAAUCCUAAAUCAGAAAACCCCCAAACCCUAGAAAUACCAUCAAAGGGUUUAGAGCUUACCUCUAAACAAAGCUCCAAGCUUGAAGAGGGAGAGAAGAAGAUGAUCUUCUUUUUCUUCUUAGUCUUCUCCUUAUUUUUCUCCUUCUUUUCCUUCCUCUCCUUCUUCUUCUUCUCCUUCUCCUUCUUUUCCUUUCUAGAGAGAGAGAGGGAAAGAGUGUGAGAGAGGAAGAGAGCAACUGAGAGGGAGAAAGGGGUCCCUAAGCCCUUAUAUAGGCCAUUUUGCAGAUAGCCCCCUCAACUUUUCAUUUCCCGAAACAGCCCUCCCUGGGCCAUUUUCGCAGUGAGGGACCGGUCCCUGCUCGGGGAGACCGGUCCCCGAAAGCUGCACAACAGGCAGAGGGGAUUUCGCAUUCGGGAACCGGUCCUUGCCUGAGAGACCGGUCGCUGGGAGACCGGUCCUUGUCCGAGAGACCGGUUCCCGAGAGCAACACUUUCGGGACUUAGCCAAAUUUCGGCUUCUCUCGCUGGGCCAACGUUCGGGAAUCGGUCCCUGCCUGCCAGGGACCGGUCUCAACAGAGACCCCCGCAGCCCAGCCCGAUGGGACCGGUCCCUCCCUGCCAGGGACCGGUCCCCGAGAGCAUUUCUGCUCCAGUGCAGCUUUUGCACUGGUGCUCUCGCGGACACCUCCUCAAUGCACCUCAUGCAUUGCGGUCACCUUCGGACUUUCCGAAGCUCGUACGCUCGACAAUCAGUCGAUUCUUGACGAAGUCUAAUCCUCGGGUUUCGAGAAUUCACUUCCCUUACAUACUCACUGCAAAGUUAUACUGUUAGGGUGCAACUGAGUAGUCUAAUGUUGUUCCGAUUUUCGUUCUUGUGAACGUUGACAUCGAUUCAUUCCAAAUUCACACUCUCGGGGCAUAAUAGAGCAUCUCGGGGCAUAAUAGAGCAAUAUAAUAAGGUUUUACUCUUUGUUCGAUAGAAUGAGAAAAAGUACUCCUUACAAAGUUAUACUGUUAAGGCGCUACUGAAUAGUCUAAUGUUGUUCCGGUUUUGAUUCUUGUGAAAGUUGACAUCGAUUUGUUCCAAAUUUACACUCUCGGGGCAUAAUAGACCAAUAUAAUUAGGUUUACUCCUUGUUCGAUGGAAUGAGAAAAAGUACUCGUUGCAAAGUUAUACUGUUAGGGCGCAACUGAGUAGUCUAAUGUUGUUCCGAUUUUUGUUCUUCUGAACGUUGACAUCGAUUUGUUUCAANGUUAAUUAAGAGAAACCAUCUCUCUUUCUCUCUAGUAUCUCCGUUUCUCUCUCUCUCUCUUUUCUUCGAACGAGAGGUUCGGAGAGAGCCAAACCCGUGGUUUCUCUUUUCUCACGUUCAAGUGUAUAUAUAUAUAUAUAUAUAUCUCUCUCUCUCUCUCUCUCUCUCUCUCUCUCUCGUCCCGACGACACGAGAUCCCUCGUGCCUCCGGAGGCACGAGGACUCGGCAAAAGCUACUACCUCAAAGGCUUAGUUGCUAGCCGAGGCAAUUUGAACUAGAUCGCAUAAACUUCAAAGAUCUUUUAUUAAAAACACUAAAAAGCUAUAGUAAAUGGAUCGUUAGCUUUCCUAAGUUUUAGUUAUUAAAAAUUGCCAACUUUUAUUUUUAGGAUAUUUUUCACCACUAUAUCGUGAUUUUAAAAGCUAGUCUUUAUAACUAGAACAAUAUCUAUCAUAUUUCUGAGGAGAAAAUUGGAAUUGCUUGGUGGUGUAGCAAGCUUGGUGGAGAAGAAGGCUUGGAGUUGAAGCUUCAUCUUCAUCUUCUCCUUCCUUGGUCUAAGAGGAAACUUGAGAGGUUUUCUGACGCGCUGGCGAAGUCGGUUCGGCGAUACGACGAGGUUACGCGAAGAUAUUGAAGAAAAGGCCGAUUUCGGUACAGAUUGCCGCAGCUCGUGGCGUAAGCUCCCAAAAAUCACGAAACCGGAAUCGUAGCAUCGUGACAUCACCUAAAGUCUUGGAGCUAAAAAAGUCGGGGGCACGAAGGGUCGCGUGGAGCUCUCGGUGGGUUUGACCUCGCUACAAAUGAGAAAAUCUCAUUUAUGUGGAUUUAAGUAUCGUAAAAUGGAAAAUCACGCAUUUUAAUGAAAAAUGCAUUAUUUGUGAAUUUUAAAAUGCUUGAAAUGCUUAUGUUAUAUACAAUGCAUUUUCGGACCUCUAUGUAGUAGAGAGCUUGCAUGUAAGACUUAUGCAUGGGUUUAGCAUUCUAAUUGGGACUUGGAAUCAUGCUUCAUAUAGUAGACAUGACAAAUGUGUAAUAUGCCUUGGACAUAAAUCUCAUUUGGACAUAAGAGAAUACAUUAGGCCAUAAAGUGGUUUUGGACUUGAAUAACUUGUGAGUUAGGGAGCUAAUGUCGUAAUGCGACAUCGGGCUUGAGCUAUGAAUGAGCCUAGCAAAGUAAUGCCAUAGAGAGGCAUUAGGCUUGAAUGAUAUGUGAAUUGUAUAUGCAUGUUAAUAGUAUGAGAAUUAUGCUAAGUUGGUAGUUGCAUUGGAAAGUGUAUGCAUGUAGCAUUAUGAGAACUAUGCUAUGUUGAUAGUUGUAUACGGAUGCAUUGAAACCAUAUGCUAGUGGAUAGAUGCAUGUUAAUAUUUAUAUGCAUUGUGGAAUACAUGCUAGGUACAUAUUAGCAAUGUGAGAUCAUGCUAGAGAGCAUGCGAAUUAACCUAUUAUUGAUAGGGUAAGCUAAUGUCAUAAAGAGGCAUUGGGCUUGAAAUUUGUAAGGUACAGAACUUCUUAAAUUCUGAAGUUACGGUAGGAUGUAAUAGGUUUUACUCUUUGUUCGAUAGAAUGAGAAAAAGUACACGUUGCAAAGUUAUACUGUUAUGGCGCAACUGAGUAGUCUAAUGUUGUUCCGGUUUUGAUUCUUGUGAACGUUGAAAAUUCGUUCCAAAUUUACACUCUCGGGGCAUAAUAGAACUAUAUAAUUAGGUUUUACUCUUUGUUCGAUAGAAUGAGAAAAAGUACUCGUUUCAAAGUUAUACUGUUAGGGCGCAACAGAGUAGUCUAAUGUUGUUCUGGUUUUCGUUCUUGUGAACGUUGACAUCGAUUCGUUCCAAAUUUACACUCUAGGGGCAUAAUAGAACUAUAUAAUUAGGUUUUACCCUUUGUUCAAUAGAAUGAGAAAAAGUACUCGUUGCAAAGUUAUACUGUUUGGGCGCAACUGAGUAGUCUAAUUUUGUUCCUGUUUUUGUUUUUGUGAACGUUGACAUCGAUUCGUUCCAAAUUUACACUCUCGGGGCAUAAUAGAACAAUAUAAUUAGGUUUUACUCUUUGUUCGAUAGAAUGAGAAAAAGUACUUGUUGCAAAGUUAUACUGUUAAGGCGCAACUGAGUAGUCUAAUGUUGUUCCGAUUUUGGUUCUUGUGAAUGUUGACAUUGAUUCGUUCAAAAUUUACACUCUCGAGGUAUAAUAAAAUAAUAUAAUUAGGUUUUACUCUUUAUUCGAUAGAAUGAGAAAAAGUACUCGUCGCAAAGUUAUACUGUUAGGGGGCAACUGAGUAGUCUACUGUUGUUCCGAUUUUGGUUCUUGUGAACGUUGACAUCGAUUCGUUCCAAAUUUACACUCUCGAGGUAUAAUAGACCAAUAUAAUUAGGUUUUCUCUUUGUUCGAUAGAAUGAGAAAAAGUACUCGUUGCAAAGUUAUAUUGUUAGGGCGCAACUGAGUAGUCUAAUAUUGUUCCGAUUUUGGGGACCGUCCUCUGGCAAGGACCGGUUCCGAACGUUGAAUAUCCCCUUUGCCAGUUUGUGCAGCUUUACGUGGACGGCUCAAAGGGGUCGCUCGCCCGACAAAGGUGACCACCGGUUGGUCCCUCACUGCGAAAAAUACCCAGGGAGGCUGUUUCAAGAAGUGAAAAGUGAGGGUUUUAUGUUGCAUCAAGUGGGUUAUGAGAAGAGGCUAGGCUUGUCCGCCUCUCAUCGCAUCACUUACACUUCAGUGGAUGCCCUUCUUCACGUCGUGAUGUCGUAGUCCUCCAUACUCACGACCUCUGAUGUCUACUCAUCUUCUGGCUCUCUGAAAGGUUAUAACAAAAAAGCAUCAUAUCGGAGGAAAAGAGGAGAAGUAGCAGAAGGCUAGUAGAAUGAUAGAAGGAGACGAGAUAGAGACUGAAAAAGAGCGAGAAAGAGAGGUAUUGACAACUAAGACAGGAAUGAGAAGCAUAUCACGCGAGUUACACUAUUCAUCAUCUCCUCUUGCCCAAAGCUUGGAGCUUGGUAAUGAUGUAAACCUCAACCUUUGAUGUGGUUUCAAUAGGCAGAGGUAGAAGUUUUAUAAUACGAAUAAGCGCGGUUCAAGACUGAACCUUAUUGAGCUGCAUAACUGCCAGGUCGAGAUAUGUUUCGACUCGAAAUCGAAGCUCGCAGCCGGCAGAGUAGUCGUAUCUCAUCAAUGGCCGCAUGAUGCGUGCAUUGUGCUUUUCGAUAGUCUUUCGAGAAUAGGUUGGCCAGAGCAUACUUGAACUGGGCUAUUUAAUUCAAAUUAAUUUCGGCACACCUAAAUUCUAAGGUCCCGAAGUCGUAGGCACAGACGGUGUGUCGCAUUACCGUCGAGUAGCAGUCGAAGUUAUCGCCAAGAGAGACCUUCGGAGCUUCGUGUCCAUGCCUAGAAGGCUAACGGCGUCGAGACGGUUCUAAGGCACGACACAUCGCAAUCGAAGAGCUUCCACAGAAGUCCACCCACCGAGGGGUGGAGCAUCACAGUAAAACCCACCAAAAGUCCUCACCAGGGCGAGAGUGGCGCUACACGAGCUAACCAGAAGGGUGCGGGCGAUCAACAUGGUCGGACUUCACUUUCAUGCUUUAGAUGUCUGAUGUCAUCAUCGAAAGACUUAACUAGUACGAGUUUAUUACAUAUUGUGAUAUAGUCAAUUACUUGACGGAAUUGUCUUAACCAUGGAUUAUCGCUGCAUAUCCUUGCAUGCUAAGGAUGGUAUAGCUCUGCGUUUGUUCAUCAUCGUCAAGACUGAUUUAGUAAAACAUGCAGAGGUGAGCGAUCGUUUGAGAACAGACACCCAAUGAAAAGUCGCCCUAGUCAACUAACGAUAAGAAUUAUUGUUUCAGUAGAUGAUAUAUGAACCUAGUGAUACCUUGGAACACAGUUGUAUUCAAGAACUCUGUCAAGAGAACGAGUGGCCAUCUAGUUAACCUAAACAUGAACGAGUGCAUUAAGUAGCCGGUAGGCAGCGCAAAACCUAAGAAAACUGCCUGCAGCUUGUCGAGAGACUACAUCAGUAUCAGAUAGUGAUGGAUCAGCGCCACCAAUCAAGUUGCUACUACACCGAGGCUAACCUCUCGGUGCCACGAAAUUCCGCCGAGUAUAGAUAUGCCCCCUGUUGAUCAGGGCGAUAUUACGAGAUUAUCAUGACAGAGAUUGAAUCGAGCUCACUUAGCUGCUGUCUUACACCUGUAGGACAGUAAGAAUCCUCGCACCUUCCUUACGAUGCUUUAAGUCGUUACACAACUCCCGGAGUGCUUCUUCGGCGAAGAUAUCUCGCAAGAUACUGGCGGGCCAGUGUAUGCCCUGGAGCCAGUGUAGUGUCCGCUCUCGGAAGAUAGGAUCCGGUCUCCGGGUAAGUGAUAUAGCUAGCCCACUCAUCCCCUAUGCAAGCAUCUUAGACGACGUAGAGGUACACGUAUCAGAUGUCACAAUGAAAACCCGACGGCGAGCGAAACUUGCGUUCGCCGAGAGAUACGAAACUAGAUAUUCCACAGAAUAUAGCCCGAAGAUCCUGUUCAAUCAUGUCCAUGAUGCUGACUCACACUUAGCAUUGUGUUUGAUGGAAGCAUGUAGUCCCGAAAGGCAUCACCGAGACAGCCUAGCAUUCUUACUAUGAGUUGUGCGAAGACAUUCGUAGUGGCAUCCUGAAUUAUGAGGCAUUGUAGUACCUGUGGCGAAUCUAGUUUCUAUGGACCAUCAAUUCACUCUCAGCCCGGAUCUUAAGCUGAAUGGUACCGCUUUCAGUUAAUAUAAUCUAUCUAUCUGCAUAUCUAUCUGUAGCGCGGGGCUAAGACGCUAGUGGGAGGAUCCGAUGCAAUGAGAUCUUCGGAGCAGAUACACGCCAGAACCCACUGGGAAACUAUUCGUAGUUCUCACUCGCACAGAGUACUAUCGCUGCACUGAGGCUGGCUUCCAAAGAAAGGAGACCGUGUUCAAUCUGGGCAGGGGAUACCCCUGUUUCUUACACUGUGACUUUGUUGAGGCGGCUCGAAUCGCCGGAAGGCGUAAGCGCCCUACGGGUUGACAGUGGUAAUCCAGACGAAGAGGGUUUUUCACUUAUUUAAAUAUCAAAUUUUUUCUUGACUUAGCGCCUUAUUUAGAAGACAGGGCAGCACCUCUAGUCGUCUAGGGAGAUCACACCUGGCUCUAUGACCUCCUUUAUCACCCUACCUCAGCUGGCGCCUUCCCUUUACUUCAGCUCCCAGGCAAAGCAAUAUAAGAUUAGUCAUAGCCAUCGAGGAUCGAUGGUGGUUGCCAGACACAGUGAUCUCAUACUGCGGUCAGCACGAGGUCAUCCUGUUAUCUGGUAGUCUAGAGAGUUGUAGGUACGAAUUCACAGACUACAUGGUCAUAUCCAAUGAGUGGUCGCAUUCUUAAUCUUAUGUCUAAUAUACACGGCCGGGCAUUCAACAUUAUUGCCCUAGUAAAGAGAUAUCGCAGCGAAAUAGAGGCUCUAACAUGCUCGGUUAAUAAAUAUAUUAUAAGAAGUUAGCUCGGCAAAAUAGGAUCACCCAUCCUCCGCUCGCAUCGAUAGUAAUGUUGCCUAGUGAAAAACAGUCCAUUAGGUUCGAAUUUUAUUACUACUCAGAUCAGGCUAGAAAAACCCGAUCAUCGUUGUACCAAGAAGUAAAGCGGCGGUGAGUACCAUACGAGCAUAAGUGUAUGCUCAGCUGACAGGCGAGUAAGCAUCAUCCUGCUAGAGGUCGUCUCGAUCUCGAAGUGUACACAUCGAGUGUUUUGCGAGGAAAGACCAAGCUCACAUGCAAAUGAAUGCGAAAUAAAGAGUGGCGAUGCUCUUCACGUACUCGAAAAUGAGCAAUUCUAGCAUCAGAUGAAAUGUUGAAGGUAUGGACAAUACCUCGCAAGACAGUCGCCCACACCAGUGCCCUGCGUGCUGAGUCAGGGCGAAGACCUCUCUGCGCAUCUCCAGAUGCGCUGCCGUGCCCCUCAGUUUGCGCCUCCGUCCCGCGUAAUUGUGGUUGUUAAUUGUUAUGUACCCAGUUCAACGUUGUUCCUUGGAACCUUGUUGCUCACUAAUCUAUGGUUGAGCCUUGGCGACAGAGGAGGCUGUCCGUUCGGCGUCGGUCCGCCCUUCGAGUAGGGGGACCCCGGAGCCACGAAGCAGCUGCAGCUGGGGCUCCGCGGCUUCUGCGGGCGUGCAGGCAUGGGAGGAGACAGGGACUCCCCCUGAGACAUCCGCCACCUCCUAGGACACUGGCUUGCAGGGGAGCCACCUCGCACUGGCCACGAACGGAAACAGUGUCCUCCUCUGCGACCAUUCGCCAUCAACCGCUGAGCUUUGCCGGCAGAUGCACACAACGGUGGAUCGCCCCUCUGCUGAUUGCUCGAGGGCGCACUCUUUGCUCCCUGCUAGAGUGCGCGGAUGCUUUGGCGACCGGUUACUAUUGGAAAGGAGCCGCCGCACGUCUUAGAAUGGGAACGCUUUCUGUUCCCCAUCGCCUCCGAGGCCCUUUGCAGCUCGGACUCUCGUAGACUCGCUCUGGAUGACGAGGCUAUCGUCGCAAGCACUCCGUCAAAACACGUCAUCGUGCCAUGAGAAGCCCAGCAGCAUCCUGAUGUGGGUCUCGAAGCCCUCGCGAAGACUCUCGCCUUGUGCGCUCGUCAAAGUAGGCUCGAAUAGAGAGCAAGGGAUCAGCCUCCACCAUGGCGGAAGACGAAGUCCUGCUCGUAGCUUCAGCUACGGUACGUUCCCACUGCUGAAGAUGUUCUAAAGCUCCGCGCUCCGGCCCAGCCUCCAAAUUUUUGAGUUGUCCCGAAAGAAUUGCUUGGAUUGGAGAUCUCCGGAACUCCCCCCAGGGUUGGGAAAGGACGGCCCAGCUGUGAGCGAGGUAGAUGUCGGCAGCCACCAAAUAGAGCUGCGUCCGCCGGUCCGAGAAAGUGUGCGGCCAAGGACGCGGUACCUGGCUCAUCCGAUGAGUAUAAGUCGCUCUAAAGCUAGGUACUCUCACAAUGUCGGUCAGGUUCGAUGAGCAGGUCGCGUCGAUAGAAACUCCUAGUUCUCUUCCUUCUUACGCUCCACGCGUAUUCUUGCGGGUCGAAUUCCCAUGAACUCAUCCAGCUUCGCACAUGCAUAGCGGGCGCCUCUGCUGCGGGGUAAUUUGCAUCCUCAGCUGGAACCUCUGGUGGUCGUCCGUCGUCGUCGAGCUCAGCAAGCAGAUAAAGAUGGAACGGAGCCGAGGGCCGAGCUACCUAGUGCAGGCGCACCUGAGGAGGUGGUGGACUUCCUACGGAGACUCUAAGAGCAGGCAUGACCCAUUCCAGAACCGGCGGCGUCGGGGAAGGUAGUCGCUUAUAUGGGAACACAGCUCUAGGCGGUGUGCGGCUCGUAAGGACUAGCUGGCAUGAGUGCUGCGUCGGAAACCGCCGCCAUGUGGAAAGGAGUCGUCAUCCUGAAUCCCGUCCCGUCAUCACUGGAGGCUUUAGACCUCGAGUGGUGAGGCUCGAGCUGCUUCGAUAGCAGUGAGUAUCCGCCCUGCUGGAUGUGGAAUGUUUUUUUUUACUUUUCUGGUCGAUCUGCUCACCCUACUCCUGCCCUGCCCCACCUGCCUCUGCCGUUGCUCGGAGGCCUGCUCUUUUCCUAGGAGGCUAAUUGACUAAGAGCCCUCAUGGGCGACGGCGUCCAGAAAGUUUGAUGGAACUAGCUCCCACGAACUCACGGAAGAAGGUGGGUCCGCUACUCCACGAGCCAAUCUGUAACACAAAGCACGCGUCAGCACGAAUAAUCGAGACUCGACCAACUCCGCCUACGGACUUGAGGCCCACAGAAACUUGCACUCACGUGCGCUAUGAGUAUUUCGCCCGUAGUCCUGCCUAUGGGUCAACCUAACCAAUGGUUCAUUUCAUUGAUUUUUCGAAAACCAACCUGUGAAUGGUAGUCUCCCCCUGUAUUUUGAGCACGGUCGUCGUAGCACAAGUACAGAGGAGAUCUGUCCCGUCGUGAAGUGGAUUCCCUGUAAUUGUGCGAUCUGACAUACUCUGGGGUCAGGUAUUUGAGAAAAACAAAAACAAAUUAUUAGUCAUUUCGCGUCAUUUCCAAACGCGCAACAAGGACCUCAGGGGUGACAGAUUAAAGUGGUAUCAGAGCCGGUUCAUCAGCUGGACAUGUGUGGCGAGUCUCGCUAUGAGCCACGGGUCGGAUGACGGGCUAACGAGCGACGUCUUACAUCGCGCUGGUGAUCUUGGGCUGUGUGUGUUGUGGACUCGACAGACGUCAGGACUGCAGCUUAAACGGGGAGUCCUGGUGACACCGCCAUAUCAACAUCGAUGAAAUGGAAGGUGUUGUUUAUUCAGGAGUUGAUAAGCACGACUUAGACACUAGCUAAAUAAUAACUGGCUUAGAGCAUUUGGGGUCUGUGUUGGUAUCAUGGGCCAACGAGUUACUCUUAAUUAAGCUUAGUGAAGCUUGGGCCUGGUCGUUACAUUGGUAAUCAGUCAAGUCGAAUUCUUUCAGCUCAUCGAAGCUACUGCUAGACACCGUCGAUUUGUUCAUGAAGUUAUUGUCGUUUCGAACUGCGAAUGAUGACCUGUCGUUCGGAUUCAGUAAUACCGAUUUUGCUGGGAGUCCACCGGGUUAUACCCAAAGCUCUCCGAGCUUUGCCUCAAUGUAAAGCUUGUGAAGCGGUGUGCGAUUUUGGAGAAGGCUGCAACGAAUCGCAAGAUAAUACCUGCACUGCGCCAAACCCUAGAAAAACUCCGGACUUGGUCACCGAAAGUUUUGGUUCAAGACCAGCUACACCACGCGAGGCUAUCUUCUUCGGGUCCGACCGAAUCCACGCCGGAGUAGAAUAUGCCGUCUCUCAAGAAUGACCACGUAGCGACGUCACGGAGCAGAAAUCCACUUCUUGAGCUUAGCGUUACAACUGUGCCGCCGCUGAAGUAUCUGGCAAUUAGCUCUGUCGCGAGAUGAUCCUCAGGUGCUCCCUACAAUACUCCGCGAGUAGAUCAGGAGUCAUCAUGAAACCGACGACAGACACUGAUCCAGAUAAGCUCGGAAGCCCUGUCAUUCAUGUCGCAUAGAAGGCUGCGCGGAGGAUUGGUGAGCCCGAAAGGCACACCGUGAACUCGUAGUGGCCGUAACGAGUCCGGAAAGGCGGUCUUUCGGCACAUCCUCAGCCCGGAUCUUUAAGCUGAUGUAGCCUCCCGACCGCAAGAUCAUCCUUGGAGUUAGCACCGACGAUCCUUUGACAAGGCUGGUCAUGGUACGAAGCCUGAACUUUCCAGUACGCGCUUUCUCAUCUUUAGAGUGACGGUCAGGUCCAGAGCGACGUGCAUCCAGACUUCUUGUACGACAUGCUCUGGCGCAGAUCGCGUCUGGAUUACGGUGGAUCGGAUGGUCUCGGUAUUACCGUUGGUGGAGUUUCGCGACUAUAAUAAACAGCUUUCAGGGUCGACAUCGGGAUGGCACCAUACCGAGGCGUCUGUUAUGGGCGUUCGAUGUCGUUCUCAGCUAUCUGCUUGGCACGCAUGUCGAAGACCGCCGGUUAGUUAGGACUACUAGAUUUAGUAGGAGACGCCACAUGAGGCAAGAUCCGCAUUGGGCGAGAGAGCGGCUUCAGACCUGCAACAGAUAGAAUCCAAGGGGCGACUAGCGCGGCCCAGGCGGAGGCCGGAACCUAGAGUUUCAGUCGUGAGUCAUGUGCUGCUCAAGUGUCGCCUUCCAGGAUCAAUACGGUUUGUUUGCGGAACAAGCUUAUCGCGCUGGUUUCGGUGGGACCCGUUCUGAGAUCCUACGAGCUGCGUUGGUCCGGUGGGCUUACCAGAUUGCUCUCAUACCGCAGUCUCGCCCGAGUGCAGCAACGUUUUUUCACGUGUCCCAUGCUUCGGAUACCACAUCCCGAUCCGUCCCCACAUCAUUCAGUCGACACGCAUUCAGCUAUGCGGGAGGAUCUCGAGCUAUGCAGUGAGGCUCCCGUUGCACGAUCCUGGUCACGUGAGGUGAACGCAGUUGCCGGAAUAGGAGCAUAUCCGUAUUCAAGGUCCAGUGGAGGAGAAGCGCGACGAGAGGGCUGCGCCUGAGGCUACUGGGAGCUUGAAUGCGUCAUGGCGGUCGAUCAUUAUCCACAGUUAUUUUGCGAGGGACGUCCUUGUNNNNNNNNNNNNNNNNNNNNNNNNNACUAAUUAUAUAGUUCUAUUAUGCCGCCGGCGCAAUUGUUAUAUAUUUGGAACGAUCUUAAAUUUACAAGAACCAAAUCGGAACAACAAUUAGACUACUAAGUUGCGCACCUAACAUAUUAACUUUUGCAACGAGCACUUAUUUCUCAUUCUACAAACAAAGAGUAAAACCAUUAUAUUGCUUAUUAUGCCUCGAGACAGUGUAAAUUUGGAACGAAUCAGAAACUUGUCAACGUUCACAAGACAACAAACAUGGACGAAAAUUAGCACUACUCAGUUUGCGCGCAACAGUAUAACUUUUGAACGAGUAUUUUUCUUCAUUGAUCAAUAGAACAAAGAGUUAAAACCUAAGUAUAUUAUUUUUUAUACCUCCAUUCGUGCUAAAUCGUAGAACGAGGUCAAUGUCAACGUUCACAAGACCAAAAUCGGAACACAUAGACUACUCAGUUGGCACCAACAGAUAUGAACUUAUGCACACGAAUACUUUUUUCUAAUUCUAUCAACAAAGAAGUAAACCCCAUAUUAUAUUGUAUCUUAUGCCCCAGAGUGUAAAUUUGGAACGUAACCAGAUGGCAAGGUUCACGUAAGAACAAAAAACAGGAACAAAAUUAGAUACUAGUUGCGGCCAAAAAGUCUAACUUUGCAACGAGUAUUUUUUCUCAUUUCUAUUAUCAGAAAGAGGUAAAACCUAAUUAUAUAGUUCUAAUUUGCCUGGAGUGUAAACUUGGAACGAAUCAGAUUCGUCAACGUGAUUAAGAAGAAAAACCAGAAAACACAUUACACUACUCUGGUUUGCAGCACUAACAGUAUAACUGCGACGUAGUACUUUUGUCUCUUUCUAUCGAACAAAAAGUGAAACCUAAUUAUCAUUCUAUUAUGCCCGGGCGAGUGUAAAUUGUGGAAGAUCUUCAACGUUCACAAAAGAACCAAAUCGGAACAACAUGAGCACUACUCAUUGCGACCUAACGUUAUAACUUUGCAACGAGUACUUUUCUGAUUUCUAUCAACAAAGAGAUAAAACCUUUAAUUAUAUCGAUAUCUAUAGUCUCGAGAGUGUAAAUUGGACGAUAUCAGAGUCAAGUUCAGAAAGAAUCAAAGAUUCGGCGAAGAACAUUAGAUACUCAGUUUUGGCCCUAACAGUUAUACUUAAUGCAACGAUCUUUUUCUACGUUCUAUCAAACAAAGAGUAAAAUACUAAUUAUAUUAUUUAUUAUACGCUCGAGAGUGUGAAUUUGGACGAAGGUCAUAUCAACGUUCACAAGAACCAGCCGGGAGACCGGUCCUUGUCCGAGAGACCGGUUCCCGAGAGCAAUACUUUCGGGACUUAGCCAAAUUUCGGCUUCUCUCGCUGGGCCAACGUUCGGGAACCGGUCCCUGCCUGCUAGGGACAGGUCUCAUCAGAGACCCCCGCAGCCCAGCCUGAUGGGACCGGUCCCUCCCUGCCAGGGACCGGUCCCCGAGAGCAUUUCUUCUCCAGUGCAGCUUUUGCACGGGUGCUCUCGCGGACACCUCCUCAAUGCACCUUAUGCAUUGUGAUCACCUUCGGACUUUCCGAAGCUUGCACGCACGACAACCAGUCGAUCUUUGACGAAGUCUAAUCCUCGAGUUUCGAGAAUUCACUUCCCUUACACUCUCCCCACUUAAAAGAGUUUCGUCCUCGAAACGAACUCAACAAUAUUAAAUUCAUCCAGAAUACUCAUACCUCGGUGGCUCACUCAAACAAGUGAGGAUGAUUCGCUCUCAUCUCCUCCUCGAGCUCCCAGGUGGCUUCGCGGUCAGCAUGAUUGCUCCACUCUCAGGGCAUAAUAGAAUAAUAUAAUUAGGUUUUACUCUUUGUUCGAUAGAAUGAGAAAAAGUACUCGUUGCAAAGUUAUACUGUUUGGGCGCAACAGAGUAGUCUAUUGUUGUUCCGGUUUUCGUUAUUGUGAACGUCGACAUCGAUUCGUUCCAAAUUUACACUCUCGGAGUAUAAUAGAACUAUAUAAUUUGGUUUUACUCUUUAUUCAAUAGAAUGAGAAAAAGUACUCGUUGCAAAGUUAUACUGUUUGGGCGCAACUCAGUGGUCUAAUUUUGUUCCGGUUUUUGUUCUUGUGAACGUUGACAUCGAUUCGUUCCAAAUUUAUACUCUCGGGGCAUAAUAGCACAAUAUAAUUAGGUUUUACUCUUUGUUCGAUAGAAUGAGAAAAAGUACUCGUUGCAAAGUUAUACUGUUAGGGUGCUACUGAAUAGUUGAAUGUUGUUCCAAUUUUGAUUCAUGUGAACGUUGACAUCGAUUCGUUCCAAAUUUACACUCUCGGGGCAUAAUAAAAUAAUAUAAUUAGGGUUUACUCUUUGCCCGAUAGAAUGAGAAAAAGUACUCGUUGCAAAGUUAUACUGUUAGUGUGCAACUGAGUAGUCUAAUAUUGUUCCGGUUUUUGUUCUUCAGAUCGUUGACAACGAUUCGUUCCAAAUUUACACUCUCAGGGCAUAAUAGAACAAUAUAAUUAGGUUUUACUCUUUGUUCGAUAGAAUGAGAAAAAGUACUCGUUGCAAAGUUAAACUGUUUUGGGCGCAACUGAGUAGUCUAAUUGUUCCGUUUUUGUUCUUGUGAACUUGACAUCGAUUCGUUCCAAAUUUACACUCUCGGGGCAUAAUAGAGAAUAUAAUUAUGUUUUACUCUUUGUUCGAUAGAAAUGAGAAAAAGUACUCGUUGCAAGUUAUACUGUUAGGCGCAACCUGAGUUGUCUAAUGUUGUUCCGGUUCUUGGUUCUUGUGAUACGUUGAAAUCGAUUCGUCAAAUUUAUUACACUCUUCGGGGGGCAUAAUAGAAGCUAUAUAAAUUAUGGUUUUAAGCUCUUAAUUCGAUUUUUAGAAAAGAGAAAAAAGUACUACGUUGCAAAGUUAUAGCCUGUUAGCACGCCAACAGAGUAGUCUUAAUUUGUUCCGGUUCACAAAGAACGAAAACCGGAAACGAACAUUAGACUAUCGGUUUUCGUUCUGUGAACGUUGACAUCGAUCGUUCCAAAAUUUACACGCCUUUGGGGCCAUUAAAUAGAACAUGAUAAUAUGUUUUAUCCUUUGUUUCGAUGCGUAGAAUGAGAAAACGUACUCUGUUUCACAAAGUUAUAGCUGUUUGGGGCCGCCCCCCCAACUGAGUAGUACUAAUUUUGGUUACCCGGAUUUUGUUCUUAUAGUGAACUGUUGACAUAACGAUUCGUUUCCGUCCUUAUAACUAUUGAAUUUAAGAGGAUUUAGACUCCCUUUUCGCUCAUGAGGGACCAANNNNNNNNNNNNNNNNNNNNNNNNNNNNNNNNNNNNNNNNNNNNNNNNNNNNNNNNNNNNNNNNNNNNNNNNNNNNNNNNNNNNNNNNNNNNNNNNNNNNNNNNNNNNNNNNNNNNNNNNNNNNNNNNNNNNNNNNNNNNNNNNNNNNNNNNNNNNNNNNNNNNNNNNNNNNNNNNNNNNNNNNNNNNNNNNNNNNNNNNNNNNNNNNNNNNNNNNNNNNNNNNNNNNNNNNNNNNNNNNNNNNNNNNNNNNNNNNNNNNNNNNNNNNNNNNNNNNNNNNNNNAAAUUUACACUCUCGGGGCAUAAUAAAAUAAUAUAAUUAGGUUUUACUCUUUGUUCGGUAGAAUGAGAAAACGUACUCGUUGCAAAGUUAUACUGUUAGGGCGCAACUGAUUAGUCUAAUGUUGUUCCGUUUUUCGUUCUUAUGAACGUUGACAUCGAUUCGUUCCAAAUUUACACACUCGGGGCAUAAUAGAGCAAUAUAAUUAGGUUUUACUCUUCGUUCGAUAGAUUCAGAAAAAGUACUCGUUGCAAAGUUAUACUGUUAGGGCGCAACUGAGUAGUCUAAUGUUGUUCCGGUUUUUGUUCUUCUGAACGUUGACAUCGAUUUGUUCCAAAUUUACACUCUCGAGGCAUAAUAGAACAAUAUAAUUAGGUUUUACUCUUUGUUCGAUAGAAUAAGAAAAAGUACUCGUUGCAACCUUAUACUGUUUGGGCGCAACUGAGUAGUCUAAUUGUCACGCCCCGCGACCAACCGCCGAUUUGGACCGGGUCGCGGCGCCGCCGACAGACCGCCGAACGGACCGGGAAUUCCCCUGUAUGCGGACAGGGUCUCCCCAGUACGUCCAAGGCGUCGCAAUCCAAACAAUCAACGAAUAUUCCAACAAGAAACGGAUAUCAUUCCAGAUUGCAUAAGGAAGUAUCAAAUACAUAAACUACUUGCUAUUACAGGCAUUUAGUUAAAUACAUCUCAGUACACCUCAAAUUAGUUUUCAUUUUUCUUCCGAUUACAAUCACAACAUAUUACAUCAUUUAUUUUCCAAGUUUGAUACAUCUUGAUUCUUGCCUUCUAGACCCCUAAGCUAGACUGCCUCAGGGUACUGCUACCUCGGUCUCUGUGGUGAGGCGCUAUCUACUGAGCUACGCCCUCGCCUCGCGCCGCCGCGCCGCACAAGAACGACCUGAAAACCCCAAAACAACGUGGGGUGAGAACCAACUCCAUGGUUCCCAGUGGGUACGGCCACCCAAGGGAAAAGCUCGACCGAUAGGUCCGAGGAGGCACUGCAACAUGUUAGUUCAACAAUAUACAACAGAUAUAUAUAUUCAAUUGAAAUACAUGCCAUGCCUCACGAUAUGCGAUAUGAAAACCAUGCAACAACUAGUAGAUCAUAUGAAUUCUACUUUUACUUGGCUACUUUAGCUCAUAACUUUACUCUAAGGUUUCUAUUACCUUAGGAUCACAACACCAACCACUGGCUUCUAAGGUUUCUAUUACCUUAGCUCAAGCCUCUAUCUCUAGCUCAUAAGGGUUCCUCUACCCUAUCAUAGCUAACCACCCGACUCGGCUUCGAGUCAAUCAUCUGCGGAUAGUCCGCGCACUGGCUGCUCAACAGCCUACCGCACUCUCUCUGACUCAGCCUCCUAGCGGCGAAAUCGUCGCACACGCUGAAUACGGCUCGAGUCACAAGACUUGACCAUCGGUGGCGAUCGCGUUGCACAUACCCAGCGUGAGCUCGAGACAUGACAUACCGUCUGGCGGCGAACGGGUCGCACCACACCCAACAACGAUCAUGUCAGACUCAGUCACCUGGAGGCACCCGCAUCGUACUUACCCAGCAUGGAUUCAGUCUGCUCUGGCGGUCUGAUCCUCAAAUGGCUUAACCAUCUGGCGGCGAAAUCGUCGCACAAACGCCACGACAAUGGUUCAAGCCCCGGGCGGUGAUCUCCAUGUGAUCGCCCCCAAUCCUCCCUCGGUACCAAGCUCGGCGGCGAAGUCGUCGCACAAACGCCCUAGCUUCUACCAGGGUCAUCACAAGUCAUGGGAUUCCGGAAUCCACUUUCCACAGGUCGAGGGUCCAUAGCCAACCCUAUACUUUCGACCUAUCUCAUCCUAGUGGCUAUACCACUAUACUCAUCAACCUAGGUUCCAAUACUCUAGGUUCUAUGUCCAUGUCACUUAACCUAGAUACACUUGCUAGGUUCUUGUCAUCUUUGCCUAGAUGUCCACUUCUAGGUUUACUAGUUCGACCUAGGUUUACUAACACUAGGUUCGAUGCCACACACCUAGAUUGUUCGACUCUAGGUUUACUAUUCAAUCUAUGUUCUUUAACACUAGGUUAGAUGCCACUCGAUCUACCUGACAACCUAGUUGUCCAAUCAACUCUACUCACACUAGAGUUAUUAACUCAUGCUUUCUACUUGGCAUUUACUCUAUGCAUCUGUGUUCAUCAUGCAUUCUAUUUAGCAUUUCCAUCUAUGCAUUAUUAUUAGUAUGCAUUCUUUACAUUAGCUAGCAUUAUUUACAUGUCAUGCUAUCGUGCUUGCUACUUGGCACUUUACUCUAUGCAUUGUUGUUACUAUGCAUUCUUUACUUAGCCUUUACUUUAUGCAUAUUUAUUAAUGCACCAUUUACUCUUGUCUACAUGCACAUGCAUCAACAUGAGAUUACAUUGCUAAGACAUAAAGGGCGACCUAGUCGCUUCGGUAAGCACAACCCACCUUAGAUAGCUUUUCCGAUUGCUCGUCGACACUUGCAAUCGGCCUCCCGCGGCACUCGGCACCCGUUUGGGCCCGAUCUCACAGUUGCUCCCCUCGAGCGCGCCGCUUCACCGUUUCAAGUGCUAGCGAUCUUCGCCUCGCCGCUACGGUGCUCGGGACCCGAUUUCACAAUUUAUAGACGUCGCCUCGGCCUCCCAGGCGGAAAUGAAGCUCCGAGCGCCCGUUUCUUCAAUAUCUUCGCAACGGCUUGUCGGAUUGCCGAACCGACUUCGCCAACGUGUUUCGUUACCUACCAAUUAGGUUUACGAAGGGUCAAAUGAGAUCAAACUCAUCUAUUUACAAAAACCCCCAUGGAUGCCCUAGAAUGCCCUCAACAUCAAAACCCCCAAAUCGAUCUAUGAAAUGGAGUGAAAUCAUCUUAGAGGCAUGCUAGGGUUCCUCUAAAUCCAUUUCUAGGGUUUAUAAACCCAUCUACAAGGAACUAUUACAAGAAGCCAUGAAACUUACCUCUUGAGAGAGCUCCAAAAUGAGAAGAAGAUGAAGAUGAAGAUGAGGAAGAGGAUCUCCUCCUUGGUCCUCUCCUUCCUUUCCUUUCCUUUCUCUUUUUCUUCUUCUCUUCUCUUUUCUCUUUUCUUUCCUUUCUUUCUUUUCCCCUUCGCACGAUCAGAGGGAGAGAGAGAGAGAGAGACUGAGGGAAAGAGAGAGAGAGAGAGAGAGAGAGAGAGAGAGAGAGAGAGAAAGGUCUCUCUAAUACCCUCUCUCAUUUUGUAACAAAAUGCUAAGAAGCCCCUCAACUUUUCGUCUCUUACACAGCCUUUACUGGGCGUUCUGCGCGCGGAGGGACCGGUCUCCCCGACCAGGGACCAGUCCCCGGGGCCUCCCCCCGCGGACACGCGUUCGGGAACCGGUCCCUCCCUGAGAGACCGGUCCUCGGGAAACCGGUUCUUCUCAGAGAGAUCGGUUCCCGAGAGCUAGACUCCUGGGACUUAGCCGAUUUUUAGCUCUCUUCACUGGUGUCGCAGGCUGGGACCGGUCCCUCCUCUGCCAGGGACCGGUUGCAUCGGCAACCCCACAGCCUUCAGCUGAUGGGACCGGUCUCUCACCUCCAGAGACCGGUCCCCGAGAGCAACUUCAGCCCAAAAUGCUGAUUGCAUUAAUUUCUCUCGCGGACUCCAUCCCAAAGCACUUCUUGGGUUUCGAGCACCAUUAGCUUUUCCAAAGCUUAUCGACUCGACCCUUGGUCGAUUCCAGACGAAGCACAACUCUCGGAUUUGGAGAAUUCCUGGGUAUGACAGAACCUCCCCUGUCCGCCCAAGGCUCUAACGACAUGUAUAAAUAGGCAAUCAAUAAGAGAUUUGCAUAUAUAAUACAAGGCUUGCACGAGGGAAAGCAACAACGAAAGCGAAAGCUCUAAGCUAAUUAAGCAACAUACAUGAUAUUUGAUUAUAUUUAAACCAAAUUCAAGUAAAACUAUUACAUUUUUCCAUCAUAUCUUUUUACAUUUAGUCAUCCACCAAAUACAUGAUUGUUUACACUUUGCAUCUCUAAAUCAACAAAAUAAAGUUGAUACAUGUAUAUCAAAAAGGAAUGACUACAAAAUGUAAAGUCCCGGUGGCCGCUACCUACGGCGCCAAACCUUUGCCUCGGUCCUCCGCCGCCCCGCUCGUGCUAGGACCUGUAGGGUUAGUGGUGUGAGAACUACAACGAAGUUCCCAGUGGGCUCGGCAUCCGACCUCGCCGACUUACCCACUAGGUCUAUCCAGGCAUAAGUAUUUCAAAGGAAGAAAAGUAACCAUUACUAAUGCAACUAAUACUAUGCCUGCAAAAAAAGUCAGUAGAUAUACAAUUUCAAUGCGAUAAUGGAAAUGCAUGCAUGCUCCAAUCAUAAUCAAACUUUGGCUCUUACCCAAUCUUACCGGUUAACUCUGUUAACCCCAAUAACUCACAACCCAAAAUCCCUUAAUAACGGGGGACUCGAACCUCCCUAGGGACCGUCAACUGGUGGGACUUUACCACGCCCAGUGGUGACCAACUCCGGAGCGCACCGCUCGAGGGGGAGCGACCUCCCUCAAGCCAAGACGAAAUGUGAGUAUCGAUCCAAUCCUCAACUUGAGGAUUCAUAGCCACUAGUCACAAUGCCAAUGUCAUGAUAGGUCUCUACCUAUUCAUUCUUACCACUUUCAAGGCUAUACCUAUAAUGAUGCCAUAAUUGGUUAAAUUAUGUUUAACGGUUCAUAACUCAAUGCCAAUCUUGUUUCUAUGUCAAUGUCACCCUUGUUUUCUAUUGUCCAAGUCCAAUCUCACAUUCACACAACUUGAGGGUCCAAUCACACAUGUCCAUUUUGGUUCUAUCAUCCUCUAUGUUCAACUACGUUAGAAGCAUAUAAAUGAAGUCAAACCAAGUUCCAUAUGUAUCUACCCUACUAUGCAUGAAUGGGUAUAUAUGUAUAUGCUCAAGAAUAGAGAAAACAGACAUAGAAGGGAAUCCAACAAUUCCGGCGUGCACCCCCCACCUCUAUUGGUUGUGUGGGUGUAGAAUAUGAAGGCCCCCGCACUUCACGAAAGCCGAUUCUGCGCCCUAUAAUCAAAAUAGUGCCAUAUUAGGCCUUUUUGUACAUGAACUACACUCUAUCAUUUUCGCAACGUUAAACGGAGUUGUCCCACGCGUUUAGGACACCCCCAAUUAGGUUUCUACGAAGUCAAUUUGUCCCCGAAAAAUCCUAGGGCAAAAGCCCUAAUUUUCAAGCCCUAAUAUUGUCAUUUAGGGUUUCCCCAUGAAUCGAUCCCAAUCUUAAGCAAACAAUAGCUUAGGAUCAUCUAAGAAGCACUCUAGUAAGGUUUCUAGACCUUUGGUACCAACUCUAGGGCUCCAAACACCACUUCCAAGGAUUCACCAUGAGAGCACUUUGAGCUCUCAUGGGUACCAUGGUAUACAUGGCUCAAAAGUGCCUCUAAAGCCUCUAGGGAGCACAAAGCUCCCAUUUUCUAAGCCAAAAUCCAAACCCUAGACUCAUUUCUACCAAAAACUCACCUUAGCCCAAGCUCCUCCAAGUCCUUCUUGUAGGAGAGCUUGUAGAACCCACCAAAGUCACCAAAUCCACCUCCUCCUUGCUUCUUCUUCUUCUUCUCCAAGCCCUAGAGCAAGAGUUCUAGAGAGAGAAAGAGAGGAAAUGAGAGGGGAGGGUGAAAAUGGCUGUGGGAGAGAGAGGGAUGACCAUAUAAGGUGUUGUAACAAUUGCACUUAAGCCCCUUCAUUUGUUUCCCCUGAUCUGCCCAGACUGGGCAUUUUUCGCCUUCGGGGACCGGUCUCCCCGACCAGGGACCGGUUCCCGAACGGGGGUUUUCCAGGACUUAGCCAAAAUUUUGAGUUUUUCAGCUGUUGCGCAGCGAGGGACCGGUCUGCCCGUCAGGGACCGGUCUCCCGAGGACCGGUCUCACCACCAGGGACCGGAUGCCUCAGGAUUUCCUGGCAGGCUACGCGCACGGGGACCGGUCUCUCCUUCAGGGACCGGUCCCCGAGAGCUCAAAAUCUGGAACUUAGCCAGAUUUUUAGAUUUGCUCUCCGGGUCCCUUUUUGCUCUGUUUAUGAACUCUAAUGCACUUAGGGUCUAUUCUAACUCGUUCAAUUUCGCGUUCCAGUCAUUUUGAUGGAACUUGGUACGAUUUACGAGGGAUGUGGUAUGUUACAGUCAUCUCAUAAGUUUGGAGAGCACCAACUAAUUCUUCUACUUUAAGUUCAUUCGGAUGUUUUACCGUUUCAAUGGCCGCAACCUUAGGACGAAAUCGUUCGGGAAGGGUUCUCAAAAUUUUUCUAACAAUUUUGGAAUCCAGAAUCUUCUUGCCUAAGUUAGUACACGUGUUUACAAUGUCUUGCAAACGAGUAUAAUAGUCGAUAAAAGAUUCAUGUUCUUCUAUACGAAUAGAAUCAAAUAUACUAGUAAGCAUUUGUAAUUUUUGAAUCUUUACCAAGCUUGUACCCUCGUGUGUAACUUGUAAAGUGUCCCAAAUUUCUUUGGCAGUUUCACACGCCGAGACACGAGAAAAUUCAGUUUUAUUUAAAGCAUUAAAUAAAGCAUUGAUACCCUUUCCGUUGAACGAAGAUAGUUUAUUUUCCUCUUUCAUACAUUUAUUUCUAGGUUUCGGACCGGUAACAUUCUCGACAACUUCGGUGGGAUGUUUCCACCCGAAUUCAAUGGCUUGCCAUACCCGCUCGUCGAUGGCAAUAAGAAACGCCCUCAUACGGACUUUCCAAUAAGCGUAAUUAGUGCCAUCGAAGAGAGGGGGUUGAUUGAUGUUACCGCCCUCGGCCAUGAUUUACAAUCUAUAUCCGCUCUGAUACCACUUGUAAGAUAUGGAUCCCGAGGAUCUAAAAGGUAAAUAACACCUAGAGGGGGGAGAAUAGGUGUAAAACGGCAAAAACAAAAACUCUCGAUGCAAAUAAAAAAGAGCGGAAAAUAAAAACAACACACCGAGAUUUUAACGUGGGAAAACUCCAAUCCGGAGUGAAAAACCCACGGGACCGAUCACACGAAGAAAAUCCACUAAGAAAACUUGAGUACAAGUGAUUUAACCAAAAUACAUGACUCAAUUUACCGAAUUCUCGUUGUUGAUUGUCUUCGCCGGUCCUCGAUCGAUAGGAAUCCUCCAAUCGACCCCGCCGCAACUCCUUGUCGCGUCAAUGCCUCAACUCCUCAAAGCGUCCACCGAAUUCUCGGCUUCACGUGAGAUCCACGUGUCGAACCUCCUUCCGGAGCUUGUAGAAUUUAUAAUUUGUGGUGAUUAAGACUUAAAAUCCCAUAAGCAAUGAGGGUUCACCUUCUAAUCAAACAUCUACUUGAUUCUCGAAGAAAAUCUCGAGUUAAAACUUAAGAAUCAUGUCGAUCAUUGAUUAGAUGAAACUUGUUAUAUGAAUAAAAUCAUAAGAAUGUGAAAACAAGUUUCUAGGGUUUUAGAACAGUAGAAAUUCAAAGCCUCAACUCAUAUGAUGACCCCCAUAGCUUAUUUAUAGGUUUAGAAAACUUAGAAGUAGACUAGGAUUGCAAAAAGUCUAUUUUAAAAACUGGUGUCAUCCUCAGAGACCGGUCCUUUCGAGGAGAUUGGCCUGUCAGAGACCGGUGCCUUGGAUGGGAGACUGGUCCCUCGCAGCGUGACAGAAAACACAACGUUCGGGAACCGGUCUCUCAUGCCAGAGACUGGUCUCUCUCUGCGAGUCAAAAAUCCCAACGUUCGGGAACCGGUCUCUCAUGCCAGAGACCAGUUGCACCGACCAGGAGACCGAUCCCUCAGAUCAGGAGACCGGUUGCAUUAGUCUUUCACGCAGAGAGAACUCUCGGGAACCGGUCUCUCAUCUCAGGGGACUGGUCCCAGCACAUUGAAAGCCUCAGUUUGUGUUUUCUAUUGCAAUCCAAGUCUUCUAAACUUAUUGUAAUUAGAUAAAUUCACCAAAAGUGAUCUAUUCUUCAUAUCUGAGGUGCCGAGCUUUCCAAAUGAGUCUUUGCUCUUCAAAUUGAAUCUUCUCUUCAAACCUUCGCAAUCAACUCUUCAAGACUCCAUUCGACUUCACGAAAUCCGCCAACCUAGAAAAUCCUUAACACGCAACAUAUCCUCCAAAACCUGAAUAGUUCGCUCUGAUUGCCCGUCUGUUGAGGAUGAAAAGCAGUGCUAAACUCGAGUCGUAUGCCAAGUGCUUCCUGCAAGCUUUUCCAAAAGUGUGAAGUAAACCGAAGGUCUCGAUCCGACACGAUCGACUUUGGAACACCGUUCAACCUCACCACUUUAUCAAGAUAUACUUGCACAAGCUUGUCACCAGACCAAGUAGUGUGGAUCGGUAGGAAAUGUCCCGACUUCGACAAACGGUUCACUACUACCCAAAUCGUAUCGUGGCCACCCGACGAACGGAGCAAUCCGACCAUGAAGUCCAUAGCAAUAUCCUCCCAUUUCCAAACGGGAAUAGGUAGGCUCUGAAGCUUUCCCGCCGGAAACCGACGCUCCGCCUUGACUUGUUGGCACACAAGACAUUGCGCUACAUAGCGUGCAAUGUCACCUUUCAUUCCCGGCCACCAAUAGAGCAAUCUUAAGUCUUGAUGGCCCUGUCACGCCCUGGGACUCGGCAUAGACCAGCCCGGUACGUGCCCAGACCCGCCAUAUGUCUGCACAUAUAAGGCAUCUACAACAAUAGCGAAUAAAAGAACAAUAAAUUGAGAAUAUCUAGAGAUAUCAGACCAAGUAUACAGCUAGGUUCUAUCAACCAGUAGAAACCACAGAAUCUAGACUGCUAAAGUAAAAUGUAAAGUAGUACAUCAUAAGUCUCAAGAUACAAAUAGUGGGUGGUCUCUACAAAAUGGUACAAGUUUCUCAACCUCUCCAAAAAGAAACAAAAGAGAGGUAGACCACCUAUCAACCAAUCCCUCGCUAGCUAGCUCGAGGCGAUUCCUUUUCCACGAUCCCGAGCCUCUCCCGGAGUGGAAGGCUCUGAAUGAAAACAUAAAACAGAGGGGCGUGAGAACUAUAAUUUAUAGUUCCCAGUAAGCAAUUACUGACCAUAGCCAAAUGCACCACUAGGCCCAAAAUAUGAGCACAUAAGAGAGUAACGAAAAGUAACUGUGAAAAGUAAAAGCAUAUGAUGAAAUGCUAUUCUACUAUGCCACAAGCAUACAUGAUGUCAACAUGGUGAACAUCUACUCUAUCCUGAUCCAAUAUGCCAAUACAUACAUACUAUGUUCUAUCAUGGCUACCAAGUAUGCUAUGAUGCAACAAGUAAUACUACAUGUCCAAAUGUCCAAUACUAUGCUAAAAGCAUGUCCAAGUAAACCAACUACUAAGCCUAUUUAGUAGUGAUUGUCAUACAUCGGUUUGAUGUCAUUGUUCAAUCUUAUUUUAGGACAUACACAAGUGUAGUCUGGCUUGUGCCGCCUAAGUGCCAGUGGUAGCUCCAGCAUUCCCACUCGAGGAAUGAGUCUAACCCUCCAGGCCCCCGUAGGCUUGUCAAUGCGGCACGCGUGAACUGCGUCGCAAAGACUAACUCCGGAGUGCCGGCUUGUAGGGAGCGACCCUCACAAGUAUGUGCGAAUGAGCACAAAUGGCAAGCAAGCGUAAUCAUCAUCUCAAGUACUCAAUCAUCAUGUCUCUAAUGGUAAUAUCCACUAGCAAUCCAACGGUCUAGUUCUAUGUCUCAAAGUGAAGUUCCAACAUUCACUGAGUCUAGUGUCUCUUUAGGACACUAGAACAUUACUAUAUCCAAGCAUGUUCUAAUUUUCAUGCCUCUUUAUGGCAUUAUUUACUAGGUUCAUACAUGUCCGAAGCUCAAUGUCGCUUUAUGACAUUAGCUUAAUAUACCAAUUCUAAGCCCAAUCCCUCUUUAUGACAUUAGCUUAUCCUAUCAAUAAUAGGUUAAUACGCAUGCUCUCUAGCAUGAUCUCACAUUGCUAAUAUGUACCUAGCAUGUAUUCCACAAUGCAUAUAAAUAUUAACAUGCAUCUAUCCACUAGCAUAUGGUUUCAAUGCGUCCGUAUGCAACUAUCAACUUAGCAAAGUUCUCAUAAUGCUACAUGCAUAUACUUUCCAAUGCAACUACCAACUUAGCAUAAUUCUCAUAAUAUUAACAUGUACAUGCAAUUCACAUAUCAUUCAAGUCUAAUGCCUCUCUAUGGCAUUACUUUGCUAGGCUCAUUCAUAGCUCAAGCCCGAUGUCGCAUUAUGACGUUAGCUCUCUGACUCACAAGUUAUUCAAGUCCAAAGCCACUUUAUGGCCUAAUAUAUUCUCGUAUGUCCAAAUGAGAUUUAUGUCCAAGGCAUAUUACAUUUGUCAUGUCUACUAUAUGAAGCAUGAUUCUAAGUCCCAAUUAGAAUGCUAAACCCAUACAUAAGUCUCACAUGCAAGCUCUCUACUAUAUAGAGGUCCGAAAAUGCAUUGUAUAUAACAUAAACAUUUCAAGCAUUCUAAAAUUCACAAAUAAUACAUCUAUUAUGAAAAUGCGUGAUUUUCUAUUUUACGAUACUUAAAUCCACAUAAAUGAGAUAUUCUCAUUUGUAGCGAGGUCAAACCCACCGAGAACUCCACGCGACCCUUCGUGCCCACGACUCUCUUAGUUCCAAGACUUUAGGUGAUGUUACGAUGCUACGAUUCCAGUUUCGUGACUUUUGGAAGCUUACACCGUGAGCUGUGACAAUCCGUACCGAAAUCGGCCUUUUCUUCAAUAUCUUCGCGUAGCCUCGUCGUAUCGCUGAACCGACUUCGUCAGCGCGUUCGUAUACCUAACAAUUAGGUUUGAAUAGGUUCAAUUUAGAUCAAACCUCUAUAUAUAGCAAAACCCCAAUUUGAGCCUUAACAUGCUACUAUUGCAAGAAAUCACCAAAUUGGAACUUGAUUCAUGCAAUUAACAUGUUAUUAGCAUCUAGGGAGUCCUCUAAACCCAGUCCUAAAGCAUAUAAUUGAAGUUCUAAAAUUCUACCAUUAAAGCCCUAGCAUAUACAUACACUCCAAAUAACCCAAAUUAAAUGGAGAAAAUAUGCUAAUCACACAUUAGAGGCUACUAGAACACUAAGCAUAAAGGAAUUAGCCCAAUUCCAAAAGCUUACCAAAAUCUGAACGCCGAGAUGGAAGCAAGCCGCUCCAACGGGCGCACGAAAGCUCGAUCUGUCGCUUCCAACGCGUUCACAAGCUCGCUCUCCGCCAACGCCGCAAAUUUCAGCGAGAGAUUUAGAGAGAUAAGGAAGAUAUUUAGAGAGAGAAAGGAGGGUUUCUCUCUCUCCCUCUCUAAACGUGUGUGUGUUGAGGGCGAUGGUGUUGGCUGUGAAGAAGAAGAUGCCUAGCAGCUUCUAUUUAUAGUCAACACCCCACAAUACUAUUCACAAUAGUAAUUUAGCAGAUACAAACUGACAUUUUUCGCCGGAGCCCUUCUGAAUGUCCGACUGAGCUCAAAUUUGACAGUCAGGCUCGGUUUUCCUUAACAUGACGAAAGAAAUUUAAAUCUUUCUGUUACGACCAUGUUUGGUUACCGAAAGCUCUACCGAACUGUAAUCUCUAGCAGAUCGUAGUCGAAUUUUAUUUUUCAUCUUCCGGGUAUCGGAUUGACAUGAAACUUUAAAUCUAGCCUCAUAAAAAUAAUCCUAACAUAUUCCCAGAUUUUCGAUAUUUUCUGACACUGUACAUUUUUUGCUAAAAUAUCAACCCCGUCUCUCACAAAAAAUUCUCAAUCUUCUGUUUUCACUCCGAUUUCCGCACGAGUCGAUCCCAACAUAUAAUUUACUUCUCUAAAUCCAAUAAAAAUAGUAUCUCACACUAUUUUUAUUUAUAUUCACUUUUAUUAAAAAUUCGGUAUGCUACACACCCCAAACCUAGAUAUGAUGCAUCGCUAUAUAUCACGAAGUCCUCACCUUGCACCGGUAGGGAGAGCACCGGAGUCGAAGUCAACCUCUCCUUCAACUCUUUGAAACUCCGGUCGCACUCGUCGCUCCAAAUGAACUUGGUGCCCGUUUGCGUUGGACGGGUAAGUGGAAUAACUAUCUUCGAGAAUCCCUCCACGAACAGUCUAUAAUAGCCCGCUAAGCCCACGAAGCUACAAACCUCCGUCACAUUAGUCGGGCGAGGCCAAUCCUGGAUCACCUCAACUUUCCUCGAGUCAACAAAAAUUCCUCCCUCGGAAAUAAUAUGUCCUAGAAAUGCAACUUCUCGGAGCCAAAAGUCACAUUUCUUCAACCUCGCAAAAAGCUUAUUCUCCCGAAGGACUUGUAGCACAAGUCUCAAAUGCUCUGCGUGCUCCUCGUCGCUACGAGAGUAGACCAAGAUGUCGACUAUAAAGACUACGACAAAUCGAUCUAGUUAAGCCCUGAAUACACGGUUCAUCAAAUCCAUGAAUGCUGCCGGGGCAUUUGUGUCACGCCCCGAGACCGAUACCAAUUUGGGCCGGCCCGAGCAUGUCAAACAGACACCGAACGGACAGAGUUUCCUCUAUCCGCCCAAGGCUCAUCACCUGUACAUUUUCAAACAAGAAGUGCACUAGCGGAAAUAUACACAAACGGCUUACACGAGGGUAAGCAAUAGCCAUGAGUGAAAGUAAGGAAAUAAACAUCUACACAAGUACUAUGAUUCACUUCUGAUCAUAUACAUUGCAUUUAACCUCAUAUUCAUAAUUCUUUACAUUGCUUGCAUAAUUUCUUUUACAUCACAUUUGCUCAAAAUAAACUUUACAAUAUUUCUUUCUUUGCUUUAUACAUCAACAUCUUAAAUCAUCAAAUACAAAAGAUGAUAAAAGGGUAUACUACUAACAAAAUAUAAAGCCCGACUCGGGUGGCCACUGUCUAGGGUGCGAUACCUUUACUGCGGUCGCUCGCCGGCUCGCUCGGUCCCGGCUCUGUGGAAAUAGUGGGGUGAGAACUACAACAAAGUUCCCAGUGGAUUCGGCCCCAAUCUCACCAACUUUCCCACUAGGACUAACUCAGGCAUAAUAGAAAGGAUAAGCAGAAUAGUAACCAAACUAUAAUCAUGAUGCUAAUAUGCCUGAACAAUAAAGCAAGAAAUAUGCUUAAUAUAAAUCAUGCAACUAUGCAAGUUUCUUGUUCUUUACUCUUUAUUCUUUAAUCUUUGUUCUUUGUUCUUUGUUCUUUGUUCUUUAAUCUCAUGGCUAACCUGGGGGUUUCGCCACAUUAACUUGCCCACAUUAAGUCCAUCAUCACGGGCCCUCAGCUGCCUCCCGCUAAGACCGUCCUCGAGUUUACUCCAACCGGUGAUGCAAAACUCCGGAGCGCAUCGCUCGAAGGGGAGCGACCGCCCUCGAGUACGGAACUCAUAGCAAGUAUGAUCGAUUCUUAACUCUAAGGCAUAUAGUUCAAUCAUUAUCUUUACACUAACUCUAGUGUUCUUUUCAUCACUUUAUUUUGCUAACUCUAGCAAUCAUUGUUCUUUAACUUUACUUGUUCUUUAUGCCAUACUUUGCAUUAACUUUAAUCUUUAUCAUUAUUCUUUUCAUCACAUUGAUUCUUUGAUGCCACACACUAACUCUAGUGUCGACUAUAUACUUUCGAAUGCCACUCGAUCUAUGCUCUUGUGUCACUUUGUUCUUUUAUAUCAUUAGGUUCUCACAUUACCUCUCAUGCAUAUAUAGGGUGUUAUAGGUUCUCAACCAACUAGAAAUGCACGUGUACUCACAUCAUGUAAUAUUUACAUAAUUAUCAUCACAUUUUACCCUACAAUGCAUGGAACAACAUAUACAUAAAUGCUCAAUUAAAUGACACAUUAGGCAUAGAAGGAAUUCCAACAAGUUUGGAUAGCACCACCCACCUUGUAGGCUUACUUAGGUGCUACAAUAAUUUUCUUGGAAUUUUUAGACUCCUAGUUCUUUACCUGCGACAAAACGAAGCCCCAUUAGGUCAUUUUUCUCAUAUCUUUAUAUUGGCUUUUCGUAACGUUAAUCCGAGCGCACCAACACGUCGGAAUUACCCCCAAUUAGGUUUCUAGAGGGUCAAUUUCAUUUUAGAACUUUUACAAGCAAAAGCCCCAAUUUGGGUGCCCUAGCUCAACCCACAUCAAAACCUAGGGUUUGAUCUCAUUAGGAAGCAAAAGAAUCUUCAAUUUACUCUAAAGACUCCAUAAAAACCAUCCUUAGUUCAAUCCAAAACCUAGUUUGGAUUCUACCAUGAGAGUGGUGAAGCUCACCUCUAAGCUUCAUCACACACACCCAACUUAUGGUUUUGAUCUCAUUAACAAGCAAAAUAAAGCUUGAAACACUUAUUAGGCUCAACUAAAACCAUUUUUAGAUCAUUUAGUUCACAUUCUAGGAUUUUACCAUGAAUAGGGUUCAAGCUUACCUCUAAGCUUGCUCCUAGAUUGCUCCAAAGAGGAAGAAGAGGAGGUGGCUUCACUCCUUAGCUUCUUCUUCACCCUCUUUCUCCUUUUCUUCUUCUUCUUUUCCUUUUUCUUUUCUUUCUUUUCCUUGUAUUCUUCUCCUCCUUCUUGUCUUCUAGAGAGAGAAAGAGAGAAGAGAGGAAAAAGCCCUCAUUGCCCUCAACUUAACCAUUGGAUUGCAUAAAUGCAAAUAGGCCCCUCAGCUUUUAUCUUAUUAAACUGCUUGAACUGGGUAGUUUUCGGGUUCGGGGACCGGUCUCCCGGACUUGGGACUGGUCCUAGAGAGCUCUCCCCGCGGGCAGCAGGGCGCACGGGCGAUGCAACCGGUCUCUCACUGGGGGACCGGUCUCUCGAGGACCAGUCUCUCGGGGCCGGUCUCUCCCCGCAGGGACCGGUUUCCGAGAGCUGGUUUUCUGGGACUUAGCCGAUUUUCAGCCUUUCUCAUUUCUCACGCGUUCAGGGACCGGUCUCUCCCACCAGGGACCGGUCCCCGAGAGCUCAAAAACUGCAGUUUGUAAAUUUUUGAUUCUUUAGCUCUCGAAAACCUCCCACAAUGCACUUUUGAUCAUUUUAACACCUUCGGACUUUCGAAGUGUACUAUCCUCGCACUUUGGUCAAUUUGACUAAAAUUCGAUAUUUAUUUUUCGAAUUUUCGGUAUAUUACAUUCUCCACCCCUUAAAAUAAUUUCAUCCGCGAAAUUACGCAUACCUUAACUUGUCGACUCAAAUAGAUGCGAAUACUCUCUCCGCAUAGUUUCCUCAAGCUCCCAAGUGGCUUCUCGCGCCGCAUGAUUGCUGUAAGGUAUCAGACUUCUAAAAUCAUGAAGUUACGGUGUACAUUUGGUUGGAAGACCAUUUGAAAGGUUCCGGUGAAGUUCGGUGAGGCCCAGAAGCAUUCGGGCGUUUCGAUGCGCGUAGGCGCUAAAACGGAGCCGAAAGGCUAUGUUGGGCCGUGAGCUAAAUCCGGCAUUAGCGAGGAUGGAAAGAUGAUGAAAACAUGUUUGGAAACAUGUUUGGAGAGUCUCUGUUCGAUUUGAGACGAAUCGGAGGUCAAACGAGCGAAAACGGGUGAAAACGGAGAAGAAACGGUGAAAAAGCUGAAAAUUUGGCUAAGUCCUUGAGGCUGAGUUCUGGACCUUCGGGGACCGGUCUCUCAGCCAAGGACCGGUCUCUCAGGGACCGGUCUCUCACCGCAAGGACCGGUCCCCGAGCGCGAAAAUGGCCCAGUUUGGGCUGUUGCAAGAGAGGCUUUGUUGAGGGGCUUUUAUGCAAUUUUGCACUAAUGAGAGUGUAUAGAGAGGGUUCUUUCUCUCUUUCUCUCAUUUCCCUCAACCCAACACCACCUCUCUCUCUCUCUAAACGUGAAGAAGAAGAAGAAGGAGAAAGAGGAGAAGAGAAGAAAGGAGAAGAAGAAGAGGGAGGAGAAGAAGAGAAGCAUCAUCACCACCAUCAUCUUCUUCUUCCUCUCAUCCUUGGAGCAAACCUAGAGAGGUAAGCUUGAUACCCUCUCAGGGUAGAUUUCUAGAGUUUGAUCCUAAUGCUUUAGAAAUGGGUUUAGUAGCCUUCCUAGAUGCUAAUGAGAUGGAUUAUGCUUAGAUCCAAGGGUUUAAUGGUGGAUUUUUGCAUAGUAGCAAAUCUAGGGCUCAAAAUGCUAGUUUUGCAAAUAGAUGGGUUUGAUCUAAAUUGGUUGUAUAUAAACCUAACUGAUAGGUCACUGAACGCGUUGGAAGCGACGGUUUGGCAAUCCGUCGAGCCGUUACAAAGAUAUCGAAGAAGAAGCCGAUUUCGGUACAGAUUGCCGCAGCUCACGGCGAAAGCUUCCUAAAAUCAUGGAAAUGGAAUCGUAGCAUCGUGGUGUCGGGGAAUAAACUCCAGAACAGACGGAUCGCGGAUAGGAGGUCAUUUGGCAGUCGCGCGUGAGUUGGGUCGAGCCGUGCGGCGUGCGCCGCAGGAGGCCGAUUGCGAGUGACGACGAGCAAUCGGAACGCUAUAAAAGGUGGGUGGUGUCCAUCCCGAAGCAAUCGGGCUCCCUUUUAUGUCUAAGUUUUUAUAUUGAUCAAUUGCAUAUUGACAUCUUGCAUUAUAGGGUGAUAAAUGAUGGUUUGGUCUUAUACCUUGCAUAUUCUUUGGUAGAAUAAUGUAUUUGGCUUAGUACUUAUAUCUAGCAUGCUUGAGGUUAAUAUAUGUGAUGUGGAACCCUAUAAUAAGAUGAUAAGUGUGGAUGAGAAUUUAGUAAUGUAUUGGCUAUUGCAUUGGAAACUUGUAAAGAACGAGUGGCAUCUAGUUGAUAGUAAACAAAAGAACGAGUGACAUAUGUGAGUCAUAGUGUAUAUGAAACCUAUGGACUAUAUGAUGAUUAUAACCCUAGAGGAUAGGGUAUUCUCGAGAUGAGGAUUGGAUCAUGCUCACGGUCUGUUUAAAUCUUGUGAUGGAAGCCCCACACAAGUAGUGCGCUCCGGAUGUUGGUCACGCCAGGGAUUGCCUAUAUGGCCCCGCCAGACGGUCUCGGGUCCGUAGUGUGAGUGAAUUCUCCCUACGUGUCGAGAUGGCUAGUGAGCUGUAGGCGAGCCUUCGGGUAAGCCAUGAGAUUAAUGAACAAGUAAAUGAGGUUAAUGAACGAGUGAAUAGCUUCACCUUUGGACAUGAUAACAGGUUAGUUGCUUACCUAUUUCAUUAUGCAUGCAUUCAUAAAUUUAUGAUUGGGCAUAGUAGAGUAGCUUUACUCCUGUCAUUACCGCUUUCCUUAUCUAUCUAUCUAUCGAUUAUCUACUUGUGCCCAACUUGGACCUAGUGGGGAGAUCGGCGGAGUCGGCGGCCGAACCCACUGGGAACUAAGGAAGUUAGUUCUCACCCCCCAUUUUACUACAGGGCCGAGCGCGAGUUCACACGGCGAGGAUCGCGGUAAGGGCCUAGCGCCCUAGUUGCAUUAGUCUACUUUCCUAUUUCUGCAUUAGAGUCACCUUUUUAUGCUUUGAGAGUAGAUGAUGUAUAGGAUGUGAGAUAUUCUGGAAUGGAUGUAAGCUUUUUAUUAUGUCUUCGAAGUUCAAUGUAUAAUCAAAUUGUAUUAUAAAGGCUGAAUGAAUGUAAUAGAUAGAUGCUCUCUCUUUAUCAUUACUUGUAUGUUUUAUACUUGUAUCUUGCUCUUGGUUGUUUUGCACUGAUUGUGCUCUCGUUGCAGUUAUCGAUUGUGUAUGUAUUCAAGUCAUUUUUCCUGGGGACUUGUUGUACACAAUCUUGUUGUUAGCCUUGGGCGGACAGGGGAGGUGCUGUCCGUCCGGCGUCUGUUCGACGCGCCCGGGCCGAACCAGAUUGGUAGCGGUCGCGGGGCGUGACAGUUGCUCCAUUGGACCUUCACAUAUGAAAUUCUGCGACUCCGCAGCGUUCUUUCUUCUCUAUCGAGGAUGCACACCGGGUACUCCUCAUAAGACAUAUCCUCACGUAACUCCACGGGCUCGUACUCUAACACAUGUGUUGAGUUGCGAAUAUACUUUUGGAGAUUUGACACAUGAAAAACAUUGUAAACUCCCGCGAGUCUCGAUGGUAGUGCGAGCUUGUACGCUACCGCACCCACACGCUCCAAUAUCUCAAAUGGUCCGACAUAACGGGGGCUUAGCUUCCCGCGGACCCCGAAUCGCUUUACUCCUCGCAUCGGCAACACUCUAAAAAAUACGCGGUCUCCAACCGCGAACUAUAAGUCUCUCCUUCGCUUGUCGGCAUAACUCUUUUGCCGAGAUUGCGCUGUCGCUAACCGUUGACGGGCAAGACGAACUCUUUCUUCCGCCUCCCGUACCACAUCCGGGCCAAGAGCCGUUCUCUUGCCCACGUCGCUCCAAUUAAUAGGAGAACGACACUUGCGUCCAUAUAGUGCCUCAAAUGGCGCCAUCGCUAUACUCUCUUGAUAACUAUUAUUAUACGCGAACUCCGCCAUCGGCAAGAAAUCAUGCCAUCCUCCUUUGUAAUCUAGUACACACGCUCGAAGUAAAUCCUCAAGGAUCUGUAUUGUCAGCUCCGACUGUCCAUCACUCUGAGGAUGAAACGCUGUGCUAAAGUCGAGCCGUGUGCCUAACGCAUCCUGCAAGCUCUUCCAAAAGUGGGAUGUGAACAUGGGGUCUCGAUCCGAUACAAUUGAUACCGGAACCCCAUGAAGUCUCACAACCUCGUCGAGAUAUACUUGAGCUAACUUGUCUCCCGACCACGUAGUAUGUAUCGGCAAGAAGUGUGCCAACUUUGUCAAUCGAUCCACUAUCAUCCAUAUCGCAUCGUGUCCGCCUUGUGAUCGAGGCAAACCGGUAAUAAAGUCCAUCGCUAUAUCUUUCCAUUUCCAAACGAGUAUUGAUAGACUUUGUAGUUUUCCCGCCGGAAACCGGCGCUCUGCUUUCACCUGUUGGCAUGUUAGACAUUGCGCCACGAACUCCCCAAUAUCUCUCUUCAUACCCGGCCACCAAUAAUGCUCUUUCAAGUUCUUGUACAUUUUAGCACCGCCGGGGUGUAUGAUAUAAGGGGACUGGUGCGCUUCUUGCAUGAUCGCCCUUCGAAUAUCACUAUCUUUGGACAUGCACCAACGAUUUCGAAAUUGAAGUGUGCCAUCGGCUCCAAUGCCAAAAUCCUCGGCACUACCGUUCUCAACUUCAUUCCGCACCUUUUGAAGAUAAGGAUAUGAAGCUUGAAGCUCUUUGAUUCUUUCCAAUAGGGUCGGUUGUACAACUAAUGCGGCAAGUGUAGUCGGCACUCCCGGCGCUACCACUUCCAACCCAAGCCUUUGCAUCUCCUUUUGCAAUAGCGGUUGAGGCGUAAUUACCAUCGCUAAGUUCUUCGCCGAUUUUCUACUUAGAGCAUCGGCCACGACAUUGGCUUUUCCGGGGUGGUAUAGUAUAGUGACAUCGUAGUCCUUCAAUAACUCCAACCACCGCCGCUGCCGCAUGUUCAAUUCCUUCUGGGUGAACAAGUACUUUAGAAUUUUAUGAUCUGUAUAGACCUCGCAAUGCUCACCAUACAAGUAAUGCCUCCAAAGCUUUAGCGCGAAGAUCACUGCGGCUAACUCGAGGUCGUGAAUCGGGUAGUUCUUCUCAUAGCUCUUCAAUUGGCGCGAUGCAUAUGCAAUGACUCGCCCAUUUUGCAUUAACACACACCCGAGACCAACAUACGAGGCAUCACUAUACACUACAAAAGUCUCCCCCGGAGUCGGCAAGGCAAGCACCGGGGUCGACGUCAACCUGUUUUUUAACUCCUCGAAGCCUCGAUCGCAAUUGUCACUCCACACGUACUUUACUCCUUUAUGCGUGAAGCGCGUUAGUGGAGUAGUUAUUUUGGCGAACCGGUCCACGAACCGCCGGUAAUAGCCCGCAAGUCCAAGAAAACUGUGGACCUCCGCUACAUUCGUCGGGCGAGACCAAUCCUUUAUUGCCUCUACUUUCUUCGGGUCUACCAAAACUCUGUCGCCCGAUGCCACAUGACCCAAGAAUGUGACCUCCCUUAGCCAAAAGUCACACUUCUUUAACUUUGCAUAGAGCUUCUUUUGCCUGAGUAUCUGCAACACAGCUCUCAAGUGCUCUUCAUUCUCCUCCUCGCUCUUCGAGUAAACUAAUACGUCGUCUAUAAACACCACGACGCAUCGAUCCAACAACGGCCUGAAGACUCGAUUCAUCAAGUCCAUAAAUGCUGUCAGGGCGUUUGUAAGCCCAAACGGCAUUACCGUGAACUCAUAAUGGCCAUACCGCGUACGGUACGCCGUUUUGUGCACAUCUUUCGGUCUAAUCUUUAAUUGAUGAUACCCCGAUUGGAGAUCAAUCUUCGAAUGCACCUUGGACCCUUGGAACUGAUUGAGCAAAUCGUCAAUCCUCGGCAACGGGUACUUGUUCUUUAUCGUUACUUUGUUCAACUCGCGAUAAUCUACGCAGAGUUGAAGUGUGCCAUUCUUUUUCUUCACAAAUAGCACCGGAGCUCCCCAUGGUGACACGCUCGGCCUCACGAAGCCUUUAUCGAGCAAGUCUUGCAACUGGCCCUUCAACUCCUUUAGCUCCACCAGUGCCAUUCUAUACAGAGCUUUCGAAACUGGCGCCGCCCCGGGAAUCAAGUCAAUGACGAACUCAACUUCCUGGUCCGGUGGCAGUCCCGGUAACUACGCCGAAAAUACAUCCGGGUACUCGCACGCUACUCGAAUAUCCCCCAACUUUGGGUACUCCUUUCGAGCAUCUACUAUGGUUGCCAAAUAGGCCUUACACCCUCCUUUGAUCAUUUUCUUCGCCCUCACAGACGAUAUGGUCGCCGCGAAGCGCCUACUUUUGCACGCUUGGUAAACCAACUUUUCUUGAUUAGGCUCACGAAAAGUGAUCACCUUGCUUUCACAAUCUAUAACCGCAUAGUACUUGGAGAGCCAGUUGGUCCCCAAGAUAACAUCGAAUCCCCACAUCUGAUCUAGCACUAGCAGAUCAAUCGGCAUAAUCCAAUCGCCUAUUUGCACUGGACACGCCAAACACUCAUUGUGGACACUGAAUGAAUGUUCUGGGGCGUUCAUGUAAGGAAGUGAAUUCUCAAAAUUCGAGAGUUGUACUUUGUCCAGGAUCGACUAUUUGUCGAGAGAAUACACUUUGGGGAAGUUAAAGAUACCCAAAGCACAAAAAGUGCCUUGGAGUUGAGUCCACGAGAGCAAAUGAUGCAAACUGCAUCAUUCGGCUGAGAUUACUCUCGGGGACCGGUCUCUGGAGGUGAGAGACCGGUUCCAUCGGCUGGGUGUAGCGGGGUUGCUUGGUGCAACCGGUCCCUGGCAGGGAGAGACCGGUUCCCGAACGUGGUCCCAGCGAGAAAUGCCGAAAUUUGGCUAAGUCCUAAAAAUCGAGCUCUCGGGGACCGGUCUCUCAGGUAAGGAUCGGUCUCCCGAGGACCGGUCUCCCGGGGAGAGACCGGUUUUCGAACGCGUGCACCUGAGGGAGGCCCUCGGGGACCUGUCCCAAGUCGGGGAGACCGGUCCCUGGCAGGGAGAGACCGGUUCCCGAACGUGGUCCCAGCGAGAAAUGCCGAAAUUUGGCUAAGUCCUAAAAAUCGAGCUCUCGGGGACCGGUCUCUCAGGUAAGGAUCGGUCUCCCGAGGACCGGUCUCCCGGGGAGAGACCGGUUUUCGAACGCGUGCACCUGAGGGAGGCCCUCGGGGACCUGUCCCAAGUCGGGGAGACCGGUCCCUGGCAGGGAGAGACCGGUUCCCGAACGUGGUCCCAGCGAGAAAUGCCGAAAUUUGGCUAAGUCCUAAAAAUCGAGCUCUCGGGGACCGGUCUCUCAGGUAAGGAUCGGUCUCCCGAGGACCGGUCUCCCGGGGAGAGACCGGUUUUCGAACGCGUGCACCUGAGGGAGGCCCUCGGGGACCUGUCCCAAGUCGGGGAGACCGGUCCCUGGCAGGGAGAGACCGGUUCCCGAACGUGGUCCCAGCGAGAAAUGCCGAAAUUUGGCUAAGUCCUAAAAAUCGAGCUCUCGGGGACCGGUCUCUCAGGUGAGGAUCGGUCUCUCGAGGACCAGUCUCCCGGGGAGAGACCGGUUUCCGAACGCGUGCACCCGAGGGAGGCCCUCGGGGACCUGUCCCAAGUCGGGAAAACCGGUCCCUCCGUGCAAAUUCUGCCCAGUGAGGGCAGUGCAAUGGAUGAAAAGUUGAGGGGUCUAAAUGCAAAAUGGCCUUUAUUAGAGAGGGAUGAGCCCCCUCUCUCCCUCACACUCUCUCAUUUAACUCUCUCUCACUCUCAUUGCUCUCUUGCUCUCUUUCUCUCUAGAAAGGAAAGGAGAAGAAGAAGAACAAGAAGGAGAGAAAGGAAUAGAAGGAGAAGUUAAGGAAGGAGAAGAAGAAGGAGAUCAAGAAGAAGGCUUUGGACACCUUCAUCUCCCUCUCCUCUUCUCUUUGGUGUAGCACAAGAGGUAAGCUCUUGAACCCUAGCUUCUAGAACUUAGGGUUUUGGGUUUUUGUGCUUUGGAAUGGGUCGAAUGGACCCUAAGCAUGCUCCUAAGUAGAUCAAUCCCAAGAAUCUAGGGAUUUAUUGGUGGUUUGCUAUAGGUGCAAACCUAGGGCACCAAAAUGGGGUUUUUGUGAAAACAUGAGAUUGAUCUCAUUUGAAGCCUUGGAAACUCUAUUAUUAGGUCACAAAACGUGGGGGCGAAGUCGGUUUUGGCAUUAGGCGAGCCGGCGUGAAGUUCUCGGCAAAAUAGGGCCGGGUUAGCAUUGACUUGGGCAAGGAAGGCUAAAGCCUUUUCGUAGCGUUCGCUAAGGACCAUUUCUAAAGCCUCUACAUCAAUAAAAGGUGGGGGGUGCCAUCCCGAAACUUUCGAACUCCUUUCUAUGUCUUAGAUUGCAUUUAAUCUCAUCUCUUACAUGUUGCAUUGUAGGAUUGCAUAGUAGCUCCAUUCCUUAUGCUUUCUAAUUGAUAACCUAGUGUACUUGGAACGCUUGGUAACUUAAAUAGGUGAAGAUUGGGUCAGAACGUGGAUCCUAUGAUGCGAAAGAAAAGAGAUGAACCCGAUGGGGGUAUUGAUGACAUAGAAAGUAGUGUUAAAUAUUAAAGAACAAACGAGUGGCAUCCAAAUGUUAAAGGAUAGCGAGUGGUAUUAAUGUAGUGUAAUGACACUAGAGGUCGAUGGACCUAGGAAUAGGCAGAUUCCUUAGAAAAUGCCUUGUGAACAAUGAAUUUAGAAAAGCUAAAUAGCAUUGCAUGAAUGUCGGGAACAAAUGAUCCCACGAGAGACGUUGACUCUAGUUGUAGAGCAUCCUCACUUGGAGAGGAUUUGAUUGGGUUGUUGACCCUUGUUGUAGAGUGUCCUCACUUGGAGAGGAUAGAUCUUAGCUCACAGUCUGCGUUUGGGGUGGUAUAGCCAUCCUAUCCCCACAUGGAGGGGAUUGUCGUCGAGUACUCCGGAGUGUCGCACGACUAGGACCACUUGGAGGUCCGGACCAUAUGGAGGUCCGCAGACGGUCCCAGGCUUGGGUGCACUUGGAACUCCCUCCCCACUUUGGGAUUGAAAGGUGAGUUAUGGGCGAGCCCUAGGGCCUCGCCACAGAUUGGGUAAACAGAAAGUUAAAGGUUUAAUAAUGUUAUUGAACAUUGCUAUUCGAACAUGGAUCGAAUUUGUUAGCAUGGUAGCAAACCUUUAUUAUAUGAUGCAUGCAUUCAUAUUCAUGAUUAUGGGCAUAGUAGCAUAGUUUUUCUACUAUCGCAUUUACUGCUUUCAGAUACAUAUCUAUCUAUCUAUCUGUUGUUACUUGUGCCCGCUGGACCUAGUGGGGAGGUCGGCAGAGUCGGCGGCCGAGCUCACUGGGAACUAUGGAAGAUAGUUCUCACCCUACUCUAUUUUCAGUGGUAGGUACAGGGCUGUCGAGAGAGGACCGCGGCAAGGGCAUCGCGCCCGUUCAGUGAGACCGUGGUAGUAUAGUAGCUUUCCUUUUUGCAUUAGUACACCUAUAUAUUUGAGAGAUUCAUUGUAGGUGAGGAUGAGAGAGCUAUGUAUUUUGCGAUGAAAAAUGUAUUCGUUUAAAGAAAAUGAUGUAAAUGAAAAUGGUGAAACUAUUGUAAUAGCUAGUAAAGUACUCUCUUUAUUUCACAUGCUUUAUCUUGUGGAUUACUUACUCUUUGUUGUUGCUGGCACUGUUUGUGCCCUUGUGAAUGUGUAUGUUUAGAAUUUAAAUUCCUCGGUAAAUUCUUGUACACAUUCCUGUUGCUGAGCCUUGGGCGGACAGGAGAGGUGCUGUCCGUUCGGCGGUCCGACGGCGCGCCCGAAUCGUGCCAAAUUGGUAGUGGUUUCGGGGCGGGGCGUGACAGUUCACCCACCAGUAAUCCUCGUUGUAUACCAUCUCUAUGCCAUGAGUUUUAGCAAAUGACGUGCUAAUGAAUGAAUGAGAUGCGCCUAUAUCAAAUACUGCUCUAGCUCUAGUGCCUUUAAUCACAAUUAUACCUGCCACGACGUUGUCGGGUGGUGCAGGCUCCUGCUCCUCCACCUGAGCGGCAAGACUCGGCCGCUAGGCGCUCUCGAUCCCUCUGGCUGACACGGUGAUGACGCGCGCCCAGCCGACAUCACUGGUGGUAACCCCGCAAGCUGUCUCGGGGUAGACGGUGCUGAUGCCGCCGUCGGCGCAGACGACGUCCAGCUCGGGCACUCCCGAAUAAGAUGUCCCGGUUGGCCGCACUUGAAACACUUGCCAUCGCGCUGCGGGCAAGUCGACACUCGGUGCUCACCGCCGCAAAUAACACAUCGAGGAGGUCUCUAGUUCCUCGACUGCUGUCGGGGAUACCGAGGGGGUUUCUUAGCAUUCGGCUGGCCCCUGACACCACCCGAGAUUCGCUUCUUGCCCUUGUCCUUGCUAUCAGCCAUAGCCUCCCUUUCUUUACGUACAUAGGCGGUACCGUGCUACGCCCACAAAGCUCUAUUGAAGACCUCCGCAAAGGUCGUCAGCUUCAGAAUCUGCACCUUUUCAUAAAUCCUCGGUUGGAGUCCUCGCGAGAACCAAUCAGCCCGAUCCCGAUCAUCUCUAACAACAUCGGGAACGGAGUCGAUAAUGUGGGAGAACUCUUGCUCAUAUUCCCCCACCGAUCGGUCGCCCUGUCGCAACUUGCGAAACUUUUCUUGCAACCUCCGCUUCACCGUGUCGGGAAAGUAGUUCGCGAAGACUGUUCUCUUGAACUCCUCCCAUAGCACAAGCGGAAGACCGGCAAGUCGAUCCCGCUUAACUCGUUUCCACCACACCAUCGCCGCCUUCUCAAGACAAUGGGUUGCAAGGUAUACUUUGUCCUUCUCCGAGGUAUUGAGAUCCUCGAAGAGCGUCUCCAUCGAGUCAAUCCACGACUCCACGACCGCUGGCUCCAACAAACCGCCCUCGAAGGUAGGUGGGUCGAACUUCUUAAACUGGAUGAGAGCCGCCAACGUGCGCUCCCGCUCCGCCUCUACCGCCGCACUAUCGGGAUUUGAGAUUCCCGAUCCGGCCGGUACUACCGUAACUGGCAUAGCCGCAACCUGCUCCGCCGCUAAACCCUCGACCGCAACAGGGGGCGCAGAAGGCCUGACACCCGCUUGCGUCGCCGCCGCCUGUUGUCGCUCAAUAGCCUCUUGGAGCCUUUGGAUUUGCUCCCCUUGGCUUCGCAUAGACUCUGCUUGCUGCCGCACCACUCCAAUAAGCGCAGCCACUUGAUCCCUAAGCUCUCCGCCGCCACUCGCUCCGGAUCGCUCGGGCUCCGCACUCGGCUCCUCAGGCAUCGACCUUGUCUGCGGUCGUCCACGAGGUGCCAUUGCUUCCUGAAAAGAAGCAACUCGCAUUAGCUACAUGACCAACAUUAUUUGACCAUACCCAAUUCGGCGAAAGCAACUUAUACAUUCGUUCUCGCCCCAAGCAUCAUGUCGUCGGCCGCCUGACACAAAACAAGGAGUAGGAAACAAAUGAAAAUUAAACUUAGCCUUUAAUCACAUUAGAGACGUCCCAACUUAACCCAAUCACAUGCUUUCGCUAAUUUUGAAUCCACGUCACUCACGUUUCCUAGAUCCUUAAGGUCUUCCAAUCCUAAGGGUCUCUAGGUCCAUUCCUAUUCUUUCACUCGAGUCUCUGAUACCACGAUAUCGGUCACGCCCCGGGAUCGAUACCAACUUGGGUCGGCCCGAGCACGUCAAACAGACGCCGAACGGACAGAGUUUCCUCUAUCUGCCCAAGGCUCAUCACCUGUAUAUUUUCAAACAAGAAGUGCACUAGCGUAAACAUACACAAACGGCUUACACGAGGGUAAGCAAUAGCCAUGAGUGAAAGUAAAGAAAUAAACAUUUGCACAAGUACUAUGAUUCAGUUCUGAUCACAUACAUUGCAUUUAACCUCAUAUUCAUAAUUCUUUACAUUGCUUGCAUCAUUUCUUUUACAUCACAUUUGCUCAAAAUAAACUUUACAAUCUUUCUUUCUUUGCUUUAUACAUCAACAUCUUAAAUCAUCGAAUACAAAAGAUGAUAAAAGGGUAUACUACUAACAAAAUAUAAAGCCCGACUCGGGUGGCCACUGUCUAGGGUGCGAUACCUUUACCGCGGUUGCUCGCCGGCUCGCUUGGUCCCGGCUCUGUAGAAAUAGUGGGGUGAGAACUACAACAAAGUUCCCAGUGGGUUCGGCCCCAAUCUCACCGACUUUCCCACUAGGACUAACUCAGGCAUAAUAGAAAGGAUAAGCAGAAUAGUAACAAAACUAUAAUCAUGAUACUAAUAUGCCUGAACAAUAAAGCAAGAAAUAUGCUCAAUGUAAAUUAUGCAAGUAUGCAAGUUCUUUGUUAUUUACUCUUUAUUUUUUAAUCUUUGUUCUUUGUUCUUUGUUCUUUAAUCUCACGGCUAACCUGAGGGUUUCGCCACAUUAACUUGCCCACAUUAAGUCCAUCAUCGCGGGCCCUCAGCUGCCUCCCGCUAAGACCGUCCUCGGGUUUACUCCAACCCGUGAUGCAAAACUCCGGAGCGCAUCGCUCGAGGGGGAGCGACCGCCCUCAAGCACGGAACUCAUAGCAAGUAUGAUCGAUCCUUAAUUCUAAGGUAUAUAGUUCAAUCAUUGUUCUUUAACUUUACUCGUUCUUUAUGCCAUACUUUGCAUUAACUUUAAUCUUUAUCAUUGUUCUUUUCAUCACAUUGAUUCUUUGUUGCCACACAGUAACUCUAGUGUCGACUAUAUACUUUCGAAUGCCACUCGAUCUAUGCUCUUGUGUCACUUUGUUCUUUUAUCUCAUUAGGUUCUCACAUUACCUCUCAUGCAUAUAUAGGGUGUUAUAAGUUCUCAACCAACUAGAAAUGCACGUGUACUCACAUCAUGUAACAUUUACAUAAUUAUCAUCACAUUUUACCCUACAAUGCAUGCAACAACAUAUACAUAAAUGCUCAAUUAAAUGACACAUUAGGCAUAGAAGGAAUUCCAACAAGUUUGGAUAGCACCACCCACCUUGUAGGCUUACUUAGGUGCUACAAUAAUUUUCUUGGGAUUUUUAGACUCCUAGUUCUUCUCCUGCGGCAAAACGAAGCCCUAUUAGGUCAUUUUGCUCAUAUCUUUACAUUGGCUUUCGUAACGUUAAUCAGAGCGCACCAACGCAUCGGAAUUAUCCCCAAUUAGAUUUCUAGAGGGUCAAUUUCAUUUUAGAACCUUUACAAGCAAAAGCCCCAAUUUGGGUGCCCUAGCUCAACCCACAUCAAAACCUAGGGUUUGAUCUCAUUAGGAAGCAAAAGAAGCUUCAAUCUACUCUAGAGACUCCAUAAAAACCAUCCUUAGUUCAAUCCAAAACCUAGUUUGGAUUCUACCAUGAGAGGGGUGAAGCUCACCUCUGAGCUUCAUCACACAAACCCAACCCAUGGUUUUGAUCUCAUUAACAAGCAAAAUAAAGCUUAAAACACUUAUUAGGCUCAACUAAAACUAUUUUUAGGUCACUUAGUUCACAUUCUAGGGUUUUACCAUGAAUAGGGUUCAAGCUUACCUCUAAGCUUGCUCCUAGGUUGCUCCAAAGAGGAAGAAGAGGAAGUGGCUUCACUCCUUAGCUUCUUCUUCACCCUCUUUCUCCUUUUCUUCUUCUUUUCCUUUUUCUUUUCUUUCUUUUCCUUGUCUUCUUCUCCUCCUUCUUGUCUUCUAGAGAGAGAAAGAGAGAAGAGAGGGAGUGUGAGGGGGAGAAUGAGAGGAAAAAGCCCUCAUUGCCCUCAACUUAACUAUUGGGUUGCAUAAAUGCAAAUAGGCCCCUCAGCUUUUAUCUUAUUAAACUGCUUGAACUGGGCAGUUUUCGGGUUCGGGGACCGGUCUUCCCGACUUAGGACCGGUCCUAAAGAGCUCUCCCCGCGGGCAGCAGGGCGCAUGCGCGAUGCAACCGGUCUCUCACUAGGGGACCGGUCUCUCCCCGUAGGGACCGAUCCCUCCCCGUAGGGAUCGAUUCCCGAGAGGUGGUUUUCUGGGACUUUGCCGAUUUUCGGCCUUUCUCAUUUCUCACGUGUUCGGGGACCGGUCUCUCCCACCAGGGACCGGUCCCCGAGAGCUCAAAAACUGCAGUUUGCAGAUUUUUGAUUUUUUAGCUCUCGAAAACCUCCCACAAUGUACUUUUGAUCAUUUUAACACCUUCGGACUUUGCGAAGUGUACCAUCCUCGCACUUUGGUCAAUUUGACUAAAGUUCGAUAUUUAUUUU
rnacentral:lncRNA from 1 species